AAAAAAAAAAAAAACUAACCGUCAUUAGUAUGUCAUUGUGGUUACGCAGUUGAACUGAUGACAAGCACAACUCUUUUAGUCAUUCAUAUGUAUAGAACCACCAGUCAAAAUAGUACUUCUAAGAAAUAGCGUAUGAUAAUAUAAAAUAAAAGUGCAAUAGAAUUCUAAAAGAAUGAAUCAAACUACGAUGAAAUAAAAUAUACAACAAUGAACCUUCUGCUCUAUAUUUUUCUCCAAAAAUGCAUAGAAACAGAUUGCUAAAGUCAAAACUUACCUUAAUGAUUGGACGGGGAAUAUUCCACCAGACUAUAGCUCUCUAUCUUGUAUAUGGUGAAGGUAAACUACCACUUCUUAUAAUCUUAAUAAAGGCAUUCUUAUGGAUGCAAAAUGAGAAAUCAAUAUGGUGUUAGUAGGCAAUAAUAGUCCUCCCGUCCUUAGUGUACUGAGUUAAAGUAGCAAAUGAUGAUAACAAAACUUUGGACAUAAAGUAGACCAGAUAAUGAUGGUAGGGCAAAAAUAUGAGUUUUUAGUUACAUAUCGCCUUUUUUGGUUUUUACACAUUAAUUUUGUUUGAGCUUUAAUGUUAACGCUUUGUACUUAUUAUUUGUCUUUUGGUUGUAAGACAUUUUUCUGAGCUUUUGAGCAAUUUUGGGACUAAGAUAGAUACCUUGAAACUUUAAAGUUUGAGUAAAAACUAGAUAAUUAACUUGGGAUCGCAUUUGAGGAUCGAGAAGCAUGCAACAAAAUGAAGAACUCGUAACUAAAGUGAGCUAAGAUAUGGACAAAGUGACACAAGUAAGCCACCCUUUUAAGAUACAACCCGGCAUUGAAUAUGAGAUAAGAAAAGAAAAAUAAGCAUAGAUGCAAUACAAUAACAGAUAAUUGAUGAAACAUACGCAAAUAUAUGAUCAAAGUUGAUCAUUGAAAGAUGAUUGAAGCCUCUAUUACGGGUAGAAAAUAGACAAAAUAAUGCACAUGCUAGUAGAGCACCGAUUAAUUCCUAGAAAAUAAAUCAGAAACGAUGAAAUUUAAUGUUAUUGAUACUUGUUACAACAUUAAAUAAUCAUAUUAUUUCACAAAAUCAAUUCACGUGCAGCAACAUACGUCUAAUAUUAACUUGGAAAGACCAAAAUAGGCCACAAUACCUAAUCCCAAAGAUGCUCCAUAAUUUUUUUGAUUGCUCAUUCAAGAACUAUAAUUUUUAGCUAUGGAACUUAAUCAUUUUCUUCUUCCUCCUGGAUACUCAAUACAAAAUUUACCUAAUAAAAGAUUUGUGGUUUUCUUAAUUGAGAAAGCUUUUCAUGUUUACUGGAAAUAUCAAUUGUUUCAGCCAGUAACAAAGAUUAGAUGUUGAGGCUCAAGGUGGUAUGCUAAAACCCUAAAGAGAGAACAAUUUGAUUUUCUCAACAAUAUUUAUAUGUUCUUUCAUCUGAGAGAACCCAAUGCAGGCUAAGACAAAACUCUAGCUUCCAAGAGGAGAAGACACGUAAUUUCUAUCAACGAUUAUAAUAAUUCGAACACACCAAUGGAACAACACAAAUAAAUAACACUUAGAAGAAUGAAGAUAGGAAUAUCUCAUCUCAAGUAACUACCAGCUAUGAUGCUAAGUCAAACUACAACUAUGUUUCAAUCAAAGUAAAAAGUAUUUGAUAUUCUCGAGAAGAAGUUACAUUAGAACAGUCAGGUUGCAACUAAGUUCCAAAAUAUUUUCCCACAAAUUUGAAAAAAUUCCAUGAGUAAUAGCAUUUAUCAUUUCCAAUCAAUAUUAGCAAUACAUCAAACUUCAUCUAAACAACUAUUAAAAGUUAUAACAAUGUACUUUGACAAAUAAAGUUAUUUUUUGUUCUUGUAUGUAUAAUUUGUGUCUCAUCUAUUAAAAUGUAGAAUACUAUAUGAAUAAUGUUAUACUAACGGAGCCGAUUAUAGCUGUAAGCAGUUGAUAUCGAAGAAUCAAAUUGUUUAUAACUUCACCCUGGUUAGGAGAAUUUGAUUCAGGUGUACACUAAUGCAAUAUAAAAGGAAUGCUUUUAAAAAGAGGAGAAGAUCAAGAUGAAAUAGAAGUCUACCAAAUUAUCAAACACAUUCGACUUACAAUGAAAUCUACAAUAAACUACACUUUGAUACGUAUUUAGAAUUUAUCACUGAAAACUGAAACUAAUUAUCAAUUUUCAUAGAAAAGAUGAAUCUAUAGUCUUUAUAUGGAAGAGAAAUUUCAUCGAAUACCUAAUAUGCACAAUGAAGCUGACACUUAACAAAUCACUCAUCCAAAACAAAUAAACAUCGGGAAAAAUGUAAGGAUUAUUAGAAGAUUGAAGGAAAAAUUAAAGAUGAGAAAAGAAGAAUUACAAAAAUGUACCUUACAAAUCAUUUCAAAGUUCAAGAAAAAAUUGAAACCUUAAAAUUUCAACAACAGUUUAGCCAAAUGUAAAAAAAAAUUCACAAAACAGCACAACAGUAACAACUAUGAACACUCACCUAAGGAGAUGAAGGAGCUCAGUGAUGAAGAAAAUGAUUAGAUUGAAAAACCUUUUUUUCAACAAUUAGAUUGAAACCGAGAAUGGGGCUUUGCAUUCUGAUCCGCAACUAUGUUCAUUCUUACCAGUGCAGCUGGCGAUAUAUCAGUAAAACUCAUAUCAAACUCACUGAUAAUGAUGAAAACAACCCUUGAUCGACAAGCUGGGAGGUCGACGGUCAGUUGCUUCCCAAAGCGCUUGUAUAUAGUAGUAAUAUAUAUAUAUAUAUAUAUUAAUUUUUAUGUUCUUUCAUUUCUUAAAAAAAUGUCGACACUGCUUGUAUAAGGUUCUGCAUAUGUCAUUGUACAUGAAUACCUCUAGUUGCAUGAUGCCAUUUCUUGUUUAUAAAUUUCAUAGAAAUAGAAGAGUUUAUGCUAUGUACAAUGCUAUCGUCAAGUCACUUUUAUAUGUUCUAGAAAAGUAGUUGUUUUAUUUAAAGAUUAUAUGUUUCAUAUUUAUAACAGAUAAUUUGGUUCAUUUUCAAGAUUAAAAAUUCUACAAUUUUUGAAGGUUUAUCUAUAUAUCUUUUUUAGGUUACGUAAAAAUAUAAAUGAAUUGAUCAAAUUAACAGUAUAUAUAACUUAAAACUUUAAAUAUAAUCAAGCAAUAAGAGUCAAGUCAACUUAACAUUUUUGUCUCUUCUGAUACAUACUUUCUAGCCACCCUCUAUAAAUAGCAUACCUUUUUUGGCUGCAAAAUCAAAUGAACAUCUAUAUAUAUCUCAUCAAUAAGGUUGUCUUCAAAGAAAAUUAAAAAAAGGAAAAGUUAAUGGUGGAACACUAGUAGACAAAAAAUGUGAGUAGUUGGCAGUAAAUAGGUAGUAUCUUUAUAAUUAGUGAGGGGGAAGAGGGGUUUUUCUUUGGUCAUGCAUGCAAUCACGACCAGUGCCUUCCAAGGGGCUACACCAGAUUAUUCAAUUGUACAUGUCAAUCACCCCGAGCCUCUCGUAGUCAAAUUCAAUCAUGCUAACAAGUCCCAAAAUAUUUUAUAGAUUUAUGUGAAGUCUCAAGUCAACCAACGAUAUGUUAACACUAAAAAAGGGUUGUGUUCCUCAAUCUAAAUUUUAAUCCUUGUAAAACAACAUUGCACAAAAGAACCUUCUUAAACCCUUAAGGUCUCAACUUGGACCUUCCCACUGAGUCCAAAAAUGUGAUAUAAGCUAUCCAAAUUGUCAAAACAAGGAAUGGAGUAUAAAUGUACAAAAUGGGGUUUGGAUUGUUACAUUGGGUUUAGUCUUGAGGGCUCGAUGAUGUCUCAAUAUGUUGAGCUAUUUGAUGAUUUACAAACAACUAAAGAAGAAUCAAGUCCUUAGAAAGUGUCAAUAUGGAAAUUAUAGUGUUUAUGAUUGACAAACAACCACAGAAACCAAAUCCAUAACAUGGCCAUUGAAGGAACUGCAUUGCCGAAGUUCUAUUACAUAGUGAAAGAACUAGGUCCUUCUCAAAUAACUAGAGCAAAGCAAAUUUUAAUGCAAGAAGGAUUUGUUGAGGAAUUGAGUUUAUAGGAUAAACACAUGGAUCAAGGAAAAAGGAUACGACAUGAAAAUAUUACUAUAAUUGCACAAAAGAAAAGAGCUAUGUAUUUAGGAGAUAAACACGUGGAGGUCCAAAAAAAAUAAGGAAACCAAAUUCAAGUAGAAUUGGAUUCCAUGACCAAGUUCUAGUGGAAUUUGGAGCAAGAAACCAAAUCACUACACCUAUAUAAUCAUUACAUUUUUCCUAUUGAACUUAUGGUAUUCACAUAAAUUGAGAAUCAUUCUUGGCAAAUAACAGUUAUUAUGAGAUAGUGUCUUGUGAGAUUCAAACGAACGAUCAAUAGAAGACCAUAUCGACUAUGUCUUCUUUUAGCAAACUUAGUAUCUUUUUACCAAGCUAUAACUCAUAUAUUGUAUCCACUGGACUUAGUAGUCCCUCCGUUCGGUUUUACUUGAUAUAUUUUGAAUUGGCAUACCUAUUAAGAAACAUAAUUAAUAACAUGACUAUUUUACUAUAAUACCCCCGUUAAAUUAUGUUUACAUUGUAUUUUGAAAUUAAUUUGGAGAAAAAAUAAUUAAUGAAAAGAGUAAAAUAGAAAAAAAGAAGUUGUCUUUUCUUGAUAUGUCUAAACUAACAAGUAAAAGUAAAAAAUUAAUAAGGAAAUUAGUGACAAGUAAAAGCGAAUGGAGGGAGUAACUCUUAAGCUGCAUUUUAAAAAAAAAAAUAAGAUUAGGACAUCUGAAUCUGAAUGCAUAUAUGAAUAAUUAAGAUAUUGUCUCUAAAUCUAAACACUGAAUGAUUAAGACUGUUUAUUUUUCAAUAUCUGAAUGUGUAUAAUUCAUUUAUUUGUAACUAUAAUAAAAAUAUAAUUCCAAUAAAAAAUUAAUUAUAUAUUAAAAAUAUUUAAUUUAAUAAAUAAAAUUAUUAUUCAAUCAGAAAAAUAAAAUAUUUAUGUUUCUAAUAAUGAUGGAGAUGGUUUGUAAUGGUAGUGGUGGUAAUAGUUGGUUGUAGUGGCUAGUAUUGUUGGCGGUAAUAGUUGUGAUGGUAGAGGUGUUGGUGUUGUAGUAAGCGUCAUGAUGGUGGUGAUUGGUAGUGUUGGUAGUAGUUUUGUGAUGGUGAAGUUGAUUAAUGUUAGUAGUUGACAGUGUUGAUGGUAGUGACUGAGGAAUGUGUGUAGUUAGCGACAAUUCUAAUUGUGAGGGUGGUGGUCAUGAUUUGUAGUAGGGAUUGACCAUACUAGUGGCAGUGACUGAUAGUGGUGGAGAUUGUGCCAAUGGUGAUAAUGGUAGUGGUGGUGAUUGAAGAAUGUGUGGUGGUUGAUGGCGUGUUGGUGAUAAUUGGUAAUGGUGCUAAUUGUGAUGGUGGAGUUGGUUAGUAAUAAGGAUUGACUGCAGUGAAUAGUGAUGAUGAAGGUGGUAGUAAUAGGGGUGAUGAUAAAUAUAAUUAUAAUGAUGGAGGUAGUAGGUGUGGUAGUGACUGAUAAUAGUGGUUGGCAGCGCUGGUUGUGUUAGGUUCAAAAUUGAGAGAGUGUCACACGGAAGCCUAUAAUUUAUAAAAUAAAACGGUGAUAAUUCAGAUGACAAAUAAAAAUAUACUAAAGACAUAUUAUUAAUAUGAUUCGGUCAAACGAUCUACAUAUAAAAAACUAAUAUUAGAAAAACAUAAGAUCUACUGGGAGAAAAUCUCCCCUAAACAAGACUCUUUAAAGACUACAUUGUGAAUACUAUUGUAUUAUCGUAUGAGAACGGUGGAUCUUCUAUUUAUAGAGUUCCAAAACCUUUCCUCUUAGAAAGAGGUUAGCCAAAUAUGAAAAGGUUUUAUAGUUUUCUUUCAGAAAAAGUAAAAAUAAUUAUGGUAUUACUUUUAUUUUUCUUUCAAGAAAAAUAAAACUUAAACUUGGUAAGAAAAUCAGAACAAAUAUCCUAACAAAUCUCUUCUUUUGGCUUGAUUUUCUUGACAUAAUUUGAUCCACCUUAUUCGUAUGCAUGAUAUUUACACAAUCUUCAUCAUUGUUGCUUGCCAAGGUUAAAAAUAAGAUUUAAAAUAUUAUGGUUAAAAGUGGAUUAAAAAUAAAUAUUUUAUUUUUAUUUUUAAAGAUGCAACAAUAUGAAUGUUGAAAUAUGAUUAAAACUUCUUCUCCACACGUAGUUGGAUAAAAAAUAUUCAUUAUCAUCAAAUUGAUUGCAAAUUGAUUAAAAUCGCCUUAAACUUGUCUUCAACCUCGUUUCACCAAACCAUUGGACCUUUGAACCGUAGGAUCUGAUACCACUUGUUGGGUUCGAAAUCAAGAGGGCGUCAUGCGGAAGCUUGUAAUUUGCAAAAGAAGAUGGUGAUAAUUUAGAUGACAAAUAAAAAUAGGAAAAAGACAUGUUUCCCCCCUAAAGUUGUAAUGAAAACUCACUUUAGCCAUUAAACUUAACUUGUAAUUAUUUACCCCCCUUAACAACUUUCAAGUGAAUUAAAUUCAGCCUUAAAAUCACAAUCUCACUCUCACAACGGAGAGUGCAACACACACGCAUCAUGUCAUUGCCAAAUUAGUGCCAUGUCAUUGCCACGUAAGAAAUAAAAUUUAUUUUGAAAAAAGUAAUCCCACACACAUACUAUUUUUAUAUAUAUUUUUUAAAAAAGUAAAAAAUAUAUAUGUACUAUUUAUAUAUAUAUGCCCCCUCCCCCAUUUUCCUUCUUCAUCAGUAUCCCCUCCUCUUUCUUAUCCAGAUUGCCCCUCCUCCCCCCUCCUCCCCCUUCUCCACACCCGAAUCUAUCUACAAAUCAAAAUCAACCACACCCACAUCAAAAAAAUAAUCAAAAUCCAAUCUUUAACACUCCAACGAUCACCCAAAUGAAAAUCUAAUAUUAGAAAAAUAUAAAACCUACUAGUAGAAAAUCUCUCCUAAACAAAAUUCUUUAAAGACUACGUUGUGCAUAUUAUUAUGUUAUUGUAUGAGAAGGGAGGAUCUUCUAUUUAUAAAGUUCUAAAAAUUUUUCUCUUAGAAAGAGGUUAGCCAAAUAUGAAAAAGUUUUAUAUUUUCCUUUCAAAAAAAGUAAAAGUAAUUAUGGUAUUACUUCUAUUUUUCUUUUAAGAAAAAUAAAACUUAAAUUUAGUAAGAAAAUCAGGACAAAACCUCUAAGAUGUUGUGCUUGACAAUGGUAAUGGUGGUUGCCAAUGGUGAUGGUGAUGGUGAUUAUGAUGACAAAGAUGGUAAUUAAGUGGUGGUGACUGAUGAUUGUGAAUAGGAAUAUCUUACCUUUAAAUGGUAUUAAGACUUUGUUCUGCAUCUAAAUAGUUAAGACUCAUUCAGAUCAAUUAAGUGCUUAAAUCUUAAUGAAAAUAAAUGUACUAAAUGGCUAAACCAUUCAGAUUUAAACCUCCAUUAAGCGCAAAUAAAUGAGGUCUUGUAUGGGCAGAUUUGGUGUUAUAUUCAUGACAUUUCCUUACCUAUCUUCUUCCUCUAUCUCAAAAUAGUUGGCAUGUUGGUUAAAAAAAAUUAUUUUAAAAUAGUUGACAUGUUUAAAAGAUGAAGAGAUAAAUAACCAUUUUUUUCCACUAUACCCUUAGUAAUCAAGACUAUUUCCAUAUUAAUUGAAGAAGAUUUAUCUAAUUAAGAUUAAUAGGGUUAUAUUAGUCAAUUUGCACUCCUUAUUAAUUUCUUUUUAAGAGUUGUUCAAAAAAUAAAUAUGUCAAGUAAUCAAUACACAUACACACACACACACAUAUAUAUAUAUAUAUACAUAUAUAUAUAUAUACACACACACAUACACAUAUAUAUAUAAGAAACUCUUAGACGAUCCUCUGUGGCAUGUCUUAGAGGCCUCCAUUCCCAUUUUUCUUUUUUCUCCUUUUUUAAUUUUUUUUCUUAUUUUUUCCUUAUUUUAUAAUUGAAUAAUUAAUCAUAUUCUGUCCUAUUUAUUAAGUAUCAUUAAAUUCUUUACUAGCCAUAUUAAUUUAUUGUCAAUAAGUUAUUAUAUUAAUUAUUAAUUACUGUACAUAGAAUUGAAAAGCCUCUCCAAUUGUGUAUUUCUUAUUUUUAAUCUCUUUCAAUUAUUCGUCUAUAAGUAUGUGUAUAAACAAAGUAAUGUGCCUUUUUUAUCAAAGAUUUUUUAAUCUUUCUCUAAUUAAAUAAUGAUAAUAUCUUUUAAUAUUUCAAGUAUUUUUUUAAUAAAAUAUUUAUAAGGAGUAGCUAUUUUUUUUAUAUACAAUGUAUUUGAAAAGAGUAACUAUUCAUAACUGAUACCUCUUAAAUUUAUACAUUCAAUAGUAUUCAUAACUCCCAUAAUUUUUAUGUCUAUAACUCCCAUACAUUAAUUUAUAAAUUUAUAAUACCUUAUGGUAUUCCUCUAUUUUACCUAUAUAAACUCGUAUUUGUUUCAUGAAGACUCCCAUUCAAAAUUAUUUUUUUUCUUCUCCAUCUCUUUUGUUUGUAAAUUAUAACACGUAAUAAGAAGAAGUAUAUGAAGGCAAAAUAUUUUAUUCUUAAAUAUUGUCUCAUGUUUAUGUAAUUGAUAUUCUUUCUUACUUUUAACGUUUUUUUGCUUUACAUAUUUGUUAUCCUCCAGCAGUAAAUAUGGUCAGGAAAAUCAAUAUUAAGGUAAUUUUAUAGUAAUGCGAUCAAUUUUUUUAAGAUGUAUAAUAUAGUUUAGAUUUCUUUCCUCUUUUCUAUGAAUUUUUUUAUUGAUCUAUUUGGAAUAGAAAUAUUAUAAAUAUCAUACAUAGUGCAGUAUCAUAAAUAUUUAUUCUCAAAUAUUCUGUCAUGUUUAUGUAGUUGAUAUUCUUUCUUAUUUUGAAUGUUUCCUUUUUUUUACAUAUUUGUUAUCCUCCUUCAAGUAAAUAUGAGCAUGAAAAUUAAUAUUAAGGAAAUUUUAUAGUAGUGUGAUCGAUUUUUUUUUAAAAUGUAUAAUAUAGUUUAGAUUCCUUUCAUAUUUUUUAUGUAAUUUUUUUAUUGAUAUAUUUGAAAUAAAAAUAUUAUAAAUAUCAUAUAUAGUAAAAUAUCAUAUUAACAAUUGUCACAUUCUUGUGUUUUAUAUUAUUAUAAUUAAUAGUUUAUUUAUUUAUUUUAUUUAUUCAUAACUUCAGCUUAAUUUGAUUUAUUUUCAUAAUUAAUAAUUAAUAUAAUAACUUAUUGAUAAUAAAUUAAUAUGAUUGUUAAAGAAUUUAAUGAUACUUAAUAAAUAGGAUAGAAUAUGAUUAAUUAUUCACUUAUAAAAUAAAGAAAAAUACAAAAAAGGUCAAAAAAUAAUGAAAAAAUAGGAAUGGGGGCCUUAGAAGUAUGUCACAUCAGCAUAUUUCUAGAGAAAAUUGAAGGAAAAAUAUCUUUUAAGUCGUGAAUGAAGAAUUGGUGACGUUGACCAACUUAAAGGGUCAAACAUAAUUAGAAAACUUGAUUAAUAUUUUUAAAACUUUUUAAUCUUUUCAAAAAUACAAAUCAACCCAAUCCACACCCCUUUUCAAUCCAAAUCAUCAAUCGUCUCUCGACAACUUCUCUCAACCAGCAGUUCUGCAAAUUUCUCCUUUCAAUCCCCAGCGACUUAAACCUACGAUGAAAAAUAGUUGGGCUUUGAGUUUCUUUUCGAUUUCAACCGUCAAUCAACGUGACAGUCUUGCUCUCCGGACACAACAACUUUGAAUUCUUCAUCGUUCCUUUUCUUCUUUCAUAGGUAAAAAAUUAUGGUCUUUUUAGUUUUGAAGAAAAUGAGGAACUUGAGCUAACUUCUCUUAUCGUAUUGGUUAACAAUUUCAAUAUUUGUUGCUUUAAUUUGAAAUACGGUCUGAAUAAAAUCCUAAUUUCUAGUAUUUUUUUCUCUUUUCUUUUCUUCUCUUCUCUUUUGUUGUUUGAUUUCAAAGUUUAAUUUAUUGUGCCCAUUGCUGGGUUGAUUUUUUCUUAUUCUUGAUAAAACUGGUGAUACUGUUGUUGUUCUGUUGAACAAAAUCGUGCUACUAUUUUUUUUCUCCAACAGAUUAUUUAUCUGGUGCAACAUAUUAACCAUCUGAUGCAACAGCUUUAGCAUAUGAUAUAACAGAUCAAUCAUCUGAUGCAACAGAGGAACUAUUAUAUGAAAAUUUUGAUGCAACAUAUUAAACAUCGGAUGCAACAGAUUAACAAUAUAAUGCAACAGAUUAAUCAUCUGAUGUAACAGAGGAACCAUUGGAUAAAAAUCUAGCACAACAAAUUUAACAUAUGAUGCAACAGUUUAGUCAUGUGAUACAACAGAUUAACCAUCUGGUGCAACGAAGAAACUAUCAGAUUAAAGAUUUGAUGCAACAGAUGAACCUCGUGUUGGAUAAAAUCCUAUCAACUCUUCCAAUAGGACAUAUCUAAGACUUGAUUUUUCCAACUGAGUAUUCAUCUGUUGCGAUAGACGACCCUUCUGUUGGAAGAAAUCUAAACAAUAUUAAUUGUUGAUAACUGUUCCAACAAAUUAUUCAUAUGUUGCAACAGAUGUAUGACCUGUUGUACAGACUAUUCAUUUUUCUCAACUGAUAAGUGAUAUAUUUUGUAUUGUCAUAAUAGAUUACUCAGUCGUUGCUACAGUUAGUUAACUAUUUCAAUAGAUUACUCAUAUGUUGCAACAGAUGUGUGAUCUAUUGCACAAACUAUUUAUCUUUCUCAAUAGAUGAGUGAUAUGUUUUAUAUUAUCGUAAUAGAUUACUCAACCGUUGCUAUAGGUUAUUUAACUGUUCUAAUAGAUUACUCAUAUGUUACAAUAGAUGUGUGAUCUUGCACAAACCAUUUAUCUUUCUCAAUAGAUGAAUGAUAUAUUUUGUAUUGUUGCAAUAGAUUACUCAUCCAUUGCAACAGGUUAUUUAACUAUUAUAAUAGAUCACUCAUAUGUUGCAACAGAUGUAUGAUCCAUUGCACAGACCAUUCAUCUGUCUUAAAAGAUGAGUGAUAUGUUUUGUGUUAUUACAACAGAUUACUCAUCCAUUGUAAUAGGUCAGUAUUUGGUGCAACAGAUAACCUACCUGGUGUAGAUGUAUGAUUUGUUGCAACUAUUAUUUUACUAUUUUGCAUGUUAGAUUUAUUGUUAUUCAUUUUUAAUGAUGCAUUAAUCAACUAUAAUAUAUUUUUUAUGUUCCUAUUAAUUUUAGAUAAUAUGGCUCCCAAAAGAAUAAAAACUGAAUCAAGACCAAGUAAAGGAACAAGUGAAGCAGCUAGGCUACAUCCACCACUCUAUGAGCUUGCUUUACAAGCGUUAUCUCAAUCAAGAGCAGAAUAUGAUGAACAUGGAGAGGAGAAAUGUAUCAAAAGAGAUGAUCCAAAUUCUAAUAAGCUCUUUCACCAAAGAGUUGAUCAAAGCCUUCAGCAUUGAUCGUUAUCCUGUGAGAAUGCAGUAUAAUGGUGCCACAGAUUUAACGGGUGAUUUCAUGGUUAAGUCAUCCAUGGAAAAAAUUUUCAACGCCUUCAAAAAAAUACUUUGUGAACCAAAAUUGGAUGCUUAUUUUAGGGACAGCUGCUUUGGAAAAAAUCUUGAUUUGCUGGAGGACAACAAUGCUCAAGCGUAGGUUUAUGUAUGAAAACAAAGAUAAGAUAGAUGAAGUGUGGAUAAAUUACUGUAGCAUGCCUAUUUGUUUUGGUUGGAAGGAGUUUUGCAUAGUUACUGGACUAAAAUGUUAUCCUGCUCCUCCUUCUUAUGUUAUACCUAUUCUAACCCAAAAAAAUACCCCGCACACUCAAAAAAGGAAAAGAUAAGUCGUGUGAUCGUGAUGACCUGGUGUCCAUUGUUGAUCCAAGCUUCAAAAAUAAAAAUUUAACAGAAGUGUUGAAAGGUAAAAGAAUUUCAAAGAAAAACAAGAAGUCAUUGUGCUUGGUUUGUUUUGUACAUAAUAUUCUUUGGGCAAGAGACGUUAACAACAACAUAAGCGUUGGUUUAAUAAAUCUCUCUGAGUAUCUUGAGGCGUUUAAUAGCUAUCCUUGGGGUUAUGAAAUCUUCAAAAUGACUGUCAAAUAUUUGUUGACUUCGUUAGCGCCAAAGACAAUCAACUUAUAUGGCUUUCCAUGGGCUUUCGUGGUAAAUGUUUCUUUUUUUUAUUAUGAUAUCAUUCAUUUUUUACUCAAUAAUAGUUUUGAUUUAUUGACGUUAUUUUAUAGUCUUGGGAGUUUGAAGUUAUUCCUUAUUUGCGACAACAAGUGAACUACCAGGAAGAAGUUUUCUGCCUAAGAAUCUUGAGAUAGUUGUCGGUCAAAACUGAUAAAAAUGCAAAAAAUUUUAAUCUCUUCAAUCCCCCGAAGGAUGCAGUAAGUAUAAUUAUAAUUAAGUUUUUGUUUUAAUUAAUAAUUUUUUGAACAAUCUAAUCAUCAUUCUAAUAUAUGUAAUGAUUUAUGUUAGAUUUUGCAUCCAUCGCUAGUUUCGACCAAUCGAGAGUUGAAGAUGCCAUUUUUUCUUAAUUUAUGAUCUGUGCAAACUUUAUUGGACCCUAAGGUCAUUGAAAGAAUAAAAAUGGAAUUGUUUAGAGCAACAAACAAUAUAAGAAAAAUAAUUUUGGAGGGUGGGCUUGUUGUUGUUGAUGGUCUUAGUGGUGAUGGAGCUGUUGGUGGUGGUAGUGGUGAUGUUGUAGGUGCUAAUGAUGCUCCUCUUACUGUAUUUAAAACAAACUAUUAUGAGUAUAAUCAUACUGGUUAUACAGAUUUUGCCUCUCCCAGCGAAUAUUCUGCAUGCAAAUGUCACGACGGCAAGGCGAAACAUAAUGUAGUGAUUAAUGCUAUUAAUGCAUUAACUGCUUCUGUAAAAGAAUUGACAUCUAAGAGGGUGUCAUUCCAUCAAAGAGAAUUUUAUAUCCAUCCACUCCAUUAGAGAUUAAGGCUAAGAGGAGAAGGAAAAUAAUUUCCAAGGUAUUAUCAAACAUCCAAAAAAAGUGAAAUUGUAACUCCUCUGUUCGUGUGUUACACUGAGAAAUGUACAAUGUCCAAAGGGGAGCAACAUGAGCUAAAGAAGGUGAAUAUAUAUGUCUGUUCCAACUAACAAACAAACACAUAUCUAUUUCAACUGAUGACAAAUCUACUGAAAAUUAUCAAAUAGAUAUAUAUGUUUGUUUCAACAGUUGACUAACUUGUUGCAUCAAAUAAAGUAUCUGUUGCAACAUAUGUCUCGUCUGUUUUUAGCAAAUCAAACAGCUCUUCGUACCACUUUUCUUUGUACCAACAGUUGACCACUCUUCUGUCGCGCCCUAUUUUUCUCGCGGAAGGAGAGAUUCGACUUGCCAAACUCUUUUGGGAUGCGUUAAAAAAGGGUGUGAAAGUCGUCACCUAAUGUAUUAAGGUGUAUUAGGGCACCGGUCUAGGCUACUACAAAACUAUUUUGUUAUUUUGUCUUAGUUCACCAAAAAUUUGGGUAAGGGUUCAAAUUACUUCAAAAGGAAGGUGUUAGGCACCUUUCGAGGUCCACAAAGGUGGUUUCCGGCCAAAUUCGUACUUUACAUGGGGAUUCUAUGUGAUCAAAUAAAAGUCUUUUGUUUUAUUAUUAAUUUUACAUUUAGCUAAGUGGUAAAGUAAUUAACAAAUAUUUAACUAAUUUAUUUUAACUAUUAAUCAUCUAAGUGAUCAAAUAUAUAAAUAAGACAAGCGAGAAGAAAAAAAUGAUAUAAUUUAUAACAAAGGGGACUGCUUAUGUAACAGACUAACUACCCCAAAUAAAUGAACAUGUAAAGUAAAUAAACGACUAAAAAGAAAUCGUCCAAGUCAAACAAAGAAAUAUUUUGGUCCCAUUCGGAUCAGAAACCCAACUUGUUAAUCAUCAUCUGACCCAAGGGUUGAACUCUUAGACAAGUAAUAAUGUCAUUAGCCUCGUUGUUAAUAUCUAUUGGAAUCAUCAUUUCCGAAUGACUACCCGUCCCACCCCACCUAGGAUGGAUGUCAAGUCUAAAGGCAUUCUAUGACAAGGAUAAAACUAACGUUUUUAGUAAUACUUAUUGUCCUACCUAUCGCUCAAGAGGCAUUGGACUUUGCUAUUUUGGAUUUGUGUUCUAGACUAAAAGAAAGCUAUGUUGCCUAGGACUCAAAGAGCGAACAUAUUGGACAACAAGUAGCACGUAAUAAUCUCAAGUUAGCCUCUUGAUUAAUUAACGUCAAUUACUGUGAUAGGAUGUAAAUACAAGCAAAUUAUUUAUUAUGUUGUUAACCUAUAGACAUGAUAUCUAAAUGUUCAACAAGUAGUGAUAAAAGACAAUUGUGAUUCAUGUAUGCAAUGAUGUAAUGUGUGUUCAAAAAAGUUUUCAAGGUGUGAUAAUUGUGUCAAGAGAUGUGCUCGCGAAUUAAGUGUUAUAAACUAUAAUGAGAAUAUAAGAAACUAGUAAAAUAUUAAAGGAUGCGUUAACAUGUUACGGAUGCACUUAAAUAUGGAGAACAGAUUAACAUGUAGAAAAUGUAGAGAAUUAUUAGUAUUUUAGCAUGCUGGAAGUCAACUAAACAUGUUGAAAAAUGAAUUAAACAGGCUGAAGAAGUUAAUUAAACAUGCUAAAAAAUUAAUUAAUCAUGCCGAAAGUUACUUAAUCAUGCUGAAAAGUUACUUAAACAUGCUGAAAAAAAUUAAUUAAUCAUGCUGAAAAUAACGUUAAGGCGCAUUUUAAACAGGCUAAAAUUAGAUUCAUUAUGCCAAAAAUUAGAUUUUUAAUGAACAGUGAAUUAACACGUGGGUCACACAAGAAAUUAAUAUGAACAUGCUAAAUGUGCCUAGGUAAACAUGUAAAAACGUUGACACAGUUAUUUUAAUGUAGACAUGCUGGAAACUCAAUUUAAACAUGCUGAAAAAUAUUAAAUACAUUGUUCCACAUGCUAAAAAUGCUCAAGUAGACUAUUUAACAAGUAGGACUGAAAACGCUCAAGUAGACUAUUUACCAAGUAGGAAACGUUUAACGUAAUAACUUGCAUGUUAACAUACAAAAUGCUUGAAUUAAUUGUUAAUCAUGUAAAAAAAAUAUUACUAGGCCUAUAAACUAGUUUAGAUAUACUAACAUGCUAAAAAUCAAUUCAAUGUGAUAAAAAUACAUCAAUAUGCUCAAUGUGAAUAUAAGGUGUCGAUUUUAGUUAGAUUAAGAAUAAUUAAUAAAUCGUAGAACAUGAUUCAUAUUAGUAAAUCCUAAUUUUGUGCCUAGAUGAUUCUUGUAACACGUAUUACGCAUAACCCUAGGCUGCCUACCUAUAUCGUUCAUAGAGCACGUAAAUUCCCGCCUCCGAAGCAGUCCCCCAAAUUUAUUUAUUACAAUUAUAAUAAUGUUUUUACAAAGUAUUACAAAUCAAAUAAGAAACCAAACUAAACUAAUACAACCCAGUUAUAUAACUAUCCCGGCGAUUCUUUGAAACCCCGUAAUUGUCUAUUUAAACCUGCGAGACAAGAUAUGAUGGCAAGCAAAUAGGAAUAUAUAAUAACAACAUCGAAUUAUUCCUAGACAUGCUUUCUUAAGGCUUUCACAGCAUGAUGCAAUCAACACACAUAGGGUAUGAAAAUUACAUUAUUUUGGAAACUUACCGGUGAGCAACAACAAAAGAAAUAACAAGAAUAACAAAAGCCAGGCACUUGUAACAGUGAAAGAUGUUUUAGUAAGCCCCGAAGAACAGUAGAAGAAACCUCAAAAGUAUCUAAUUACUUUUGUUUUAGAGAGUAGUAGUAAUAAUUGUAAUAGAACUUAAAAGCUUGUAAACUUGAGAAGUCUGAGGGUUUUUUGUAUAUAGAGAGUGUAUAGGGAGUGAAAGAGGGUGAUAAGAGAUCCCCAAAUAAUAAGAAAGGGCAUUGUUUAUAUAAUAAAAGAGUCAAGACAAAUAACGGAAAAAGAAUAUCUUUUGUCAAUCAAUUAAGAAAAAAUAAAAUCAGUCCAUCAAUCAAUGACAAUUUUUCAUAAAUAUUCCACCUAUAUUAAUCAAGUAACUUAAAUCAGCCUAAGCAUAGAAGGAAGAGAAAUAUCAAUCAACAUAGAGCAUAUUUGAUGUAAUCAAUCAACAAAAUUAUCCUUAAAUAUUAAGAUCACACUCAAUAAUAUAAAAUUAGUCAAAAUAAUCAAAUUAUCCAUCAAUUCAAAUUUUCUUAAUUAAGUAGAGUGAAUCAAUCAGCACACAUUUACCAUAAAUAGAUUUAAAAAUAUAAAAUAAAAAACACUAAAAAUACAGAUAUGCAUCCGCUUUUACUGAUUAGAAAAUAUGAAACAAUUAAUCACAAAUUAUUUUAAUUGCAUGAUUUUCAAAAGUUUUCAUACACAACCUGAUAAUGUAAAUCAGACAGAUCCCCGUAAUUAAGCACGAAACAGUUAAUGUUAUUUUGCACAUAAAUCAGACAUGCCAAUGAACAUAUGAACAUCACAAUUCCAUCGUAUGCAUAACAAAAAAAAUUAAAGUGAACAUUUGGGGUUUGGACAGUUCACACAGCAACAGGUGUUUUGACACACGGAUAUAAACACAUAAACGUACAUUACUUGCAAGAAUCAAUUCACAAUUAAUAAUUAAGUUUUGUCAAUUCCAAAUGAAAUAAAAAAAUGUCGACAAAAAAUAAAAAUAUAUAAGAAGAUGAUAACUUUUAAAAUAGAAAUGGGGAAAUCAAACCUUGGACAGAUCCUUAAGAAUCCGUCAUGAGGAUGAACGUUUUCUGGUGACUCGAACUGAAGUAGCGGUGGUAGGAGGUGGCUGAUUGUUUCGCCGGCUGGGGAUGUUCGACGGCGUCAGUAACGGAGCAGCGACGAGGUACUGGGCCUUCUCCGGUGAAGCAGCGGCGGGGAAGGGCGAACUAGUCGCGAUGGCGAUGACUUGUGCUGGCAGAUCUGGGCAUUGACAGAGGAGAGUCGUGACGCCACGGCUGGAGGCGGUUGUUUCACUGGCGGUUGCUGCAGAUCUGGACGGAGGCGGUGGAGCGGUGAUUGAGGAGUGAGGGAAACGGUGGUGCUAGUGGCGGCGAGGUCGCGAUGGAACGGGUAAGGAGGAGGACGGGAGAGGUGGGUGAGAGAGAGGGAGAAAGAGGCGGGUGAGAGAGGGAGGUGGAGGCUGAUGAAAAUAGUAAUGAGAUUAGGAUUUUGGGUUGUUGGAUUAAAAAGAAAAGAAAGGUGUAGAUCAAAUCUCAGCUGUUAGAUCAAUUUUGAUCAACGAUUAGAAUUUUAAGUCUAUGUGGAUUUAGAAUAGCUAGGAUCGCAAGAAAUUGGGUUAAAAUUGUAAUGGAUUGAGUAGAAUAGGUUGUAAUUGUAAGGAAUUUGAACAAUAUUGGACUAAAAGGUUAAUAAAUUGUGCACGAUAAUUUUAAUUUAGGCUGUUAUUUAAAUUAAAGUAGAGAUAAUAAUAUAUGAUAAUAAUAAUAAAUAACAAUAAUAAAUAAUAAAUAACAAAUAAUAAUAAUAAAUAAUAAAUAAAAUAAAAAAUAAUAAAUUAUAAUAAUAAAUAAUAAUAUAUAAUAACAAUGUCAAUAAAUAAUAAUAAAUAAAAAUAAUAAUAUCAGUAAAUAGCAUUAAAUAAUGAAAAACUAGACAAUGUAUUUGUAAAAAUGUGAAUGUUCACAAUUGCGUAAUUUACUUAUUAAAAUAUCGUAUUUGAUUUUAAAAAUGAUGCUAAGAGAUAAUAAAAUAAUUUAUGCAUUAUAUAAAUUAUAAGUGAAACACGUUAGCAUGUAUUUAAGGUAAAAAAAAAUAAUAUGUAAAAAUAUUAAUAAUUAAAAUUAAAUAAUUUUGAUAAAAUAAAGCCUAAAAGUAAUAUUGGGAGGUCAAAAUUGGGUAUCAACAGCUGCCCCUUCAUUGUUUAAGAAUGAUGAAAGAAUUUUCAAGCAACGAAAGUUGACAUAGUAGCCAAUUUUGUCCGACCGAGAUGACAGUUUGCUAGGAAGAAAGCAACGAGAGGUGUUUAAAAGAGUGUGGACGAGACUUUGGCUUUAAGUCGCCUACGUAUCUUUGUUUUUACGAGAAUCAGGCCGUGUGUAGUUCUAGAUUCAGGAAUGAAUAAUAUUCCUAAAGAAUAUUAAUAACAAAAGUAGGGGCAUUGAUAAUGGUAUCGUAGAUCGAUGAGACGAUUACAACAACAUAUGGAAAAGUUUGAAAACUUUGAGGUAAGUAAGGUGAUGGAUGAGUUAAAGUGGUGGAUGACUAUAUGGAGUAAUAUUCCAAAAACAGAAACAAAAAUUAUCUCUGUUUGUUAUUCCUUCUUUGUUACUUGUGUCUUUGCAUCACUCAAUAACAAAAAUUAGGUAUGUAAGAAAUAAACAAUUGAUAAACGUAAUGUAAAUGAAGAAAUAAAAAAAGUGUAUCCGUCGUAUCGUGGAAUCGUGUGAUCAGCUACUUGGUUUCUCAUUAUGGGAUCGGCUCUCGGAAUUCUCCAUGCAUUGUGAAACCGUGUGAUCAGCUACUUGGUUUCUCAUCGUGGGAUUAGCUUUUGGGCUUCUCCAUGUAUCGUGAAUUCAUGUGAUCAAUUACUUGGCUUCUCAUUGUGGAAUUAUGUAUCGUUAAUUCAUUGAAUCAGCUAUUAGGCUGCUCAUGAUAAGAUAAUCUUUACCUAUUAGUCUUGCCAUUUUUAGCUCGACUGGAUAAAAUGGUUAGCACGAAUGUACAUAUAUGUAUAAAAGAUUAAACAAUGUAGUAAAAAUAACCAUAACAAAAGGAAAUAAGAAAGCGUAUCUUUUCACAAGAGGGCAACGCUUUGUUCAUAUAGAUUUAAAGAGGUUAUGCUUAAUCCACACCAUAUCCAGUAAAGCAUCAACAUUUUGUAACACCGCGGUGAUUGUGCUUAAAAUGUUCAGUAUUAGAAAAUAGAUUUUUAUUUUUGAGUAAACCGAUCGAUUUCCAGAGGACAAAGCUUAGCCUCAGGAAGAUUCUUGAUGGAGUCGUGCUUAACUCCAUCGAAUUUUCAAAACAAUGCUUAGUUUGGAUGAUUUCUCGAGAGAGGGUAGUGCUUAACCUAUGAUUUCUCGAGAGAGGGUAGUGCUUAACCCAGCUAACUUUCAAAGACAAUGCUUAGCCUUAGUCAAUUUUCUCGAAAAAGGCUAGUGCUUAACCCACUUGACUUUCUAAGGACAGUGCUUAGCCUAGAGAGUUUUAGAUUGAGUGGUGCUUAAAUCCAUCGAAUUUCUAAAACAUUGCUUAGUUCCGAUGAUUUCUUGAGAGCGGGUAGUGUUUAACCCAACUAACUUUCAAGGACAAUGCUUAGCGUAGUGCUUAACCCACUUGACUUUCCAAGGACAGUGCUUAGCCUUAGAGAGUUUUAGAUAGAGUAGUGCUUAACUCCAUCGAAUUUCCAAAACAUUGCUUAGUUCGGAUAAUUUCUCAAGAGCAGGUAGUGUUUAACCCAACUAACUUUCAAGGACAAUGCUUAGCCUCAGUCAGUUUUCUCGAAAGAGAGUAGUGCUUAACCGACUUGAAUUUCCUAGGACAGUGCUUAGCCUUAGAGAGUUUUAGAUAGAGUAGUGCUUAACUCCCUCGAGUUUCUGAAACAAUGCUUAGUUCGGAUGAUUUCUCAAGAGAGGGUAGUGCUUAACCCAACUAACUUUCAAGGACAAUGCUUAGUCUUAAUCAGUUUUCUCGAAAGAGGGUAGUGCUUAACCCACUUGAGCUUCCAAGGACAGUGCUUAGCCUUAGAGAGUUUUAGAUAGAGUAGUUCUUAAUAACAUCGAGUUUUCGUUACAAUGCUUAGUUCGAAUGUGUAACACCCCGUAUUCAAGUACGUGUAUUGGUGUAUUCAAGUACGUGUAUUGGUCUUAUUUAUAUGGAAUUAAUUUUUUUAUUUUAUUUAUACCGGAAUUUGCCCGUCGAUGGUUUCAUGCGAAGGUUAUUGAAUAACCUUUCCAACGAUAUAAAGAUUUUCAAAAAUGGAUAGGUUUUGGAUAUAAUCGAGCACAUUCAAAACUAUAAAACGGUGGCCAGAAUAUUUGGGAAUAGUAAAUGUGCAGGAAAAUUUCCUGCACACAAACUACUGAGGUCAGCCGAAUUUUUGGGUCAACUUUGAAUGAUCAUAAAUCCCUUAAUAUAAUGAAUUGGGAGAUCUGUGACCUAUGAAAAGGAAGAUCUUGAGUCUUAUUUCCAAUGCAAUUGGUUUCAUCCAAAUUCAACGUCUGAGUAAGGAGUUAUACUCGUUUUACUUCAGCCUAUCAAAACAGAUUUUUAGGGUCAACUUCAAACGACCAUAACUCCUUGUACAGGACGAACUGGGUGGCCUACCUUAUAUGAAAUGAAAGCCCUUUAAAUUAUCCUUCCAACGAUACUAAUUUCAACCAAAUCCGAUAUCGGAGCAAAUAGUUAUGGUCUAUCUACUUUAGCUUACCAAAACAGUCCACCAAAGAACAGAUUUGACAUUAUUUAAAUUUUAAAGGCAUUUUGGUCAUUUUCUAUUAUAUUAUGGAUGGGAAUAUAUGUAUAUGAGUUCAAACACUCAUUUUCAUCAUCAAUCAUUGAGAAAGAACAAACCCUAGCCAAAUUUGACCUUUAAAUUACUUUAGAUUCAACCGUAGAAAUUCUAAAGUAAUCCGAUAACUGCGUUUGUCAUCUCGAGAGCUUCGAAUGGCACCUAUUAUUUGUGCAAANNNNNNNNNNNNNNNNNNNNNNNNNNNNNNNNNNNNNNNNNNNNNNNNNNNNNNNNNNNNNNNNNNNNNNNNNNNNNNNNNNNNNNNNNNNNNNNNNNNNNNNNNNNNNNNNNNNNNNNNNNNNNNNNNNNNNNNNNNNNNNNNNNNNNNNNNNNNNNNNNNNNNNNNNNNNNNNNNNNNNNNNNNNNNNNNNNNNNNNNNNNNNNNNNNNNNNNNNNNNNNNNNNNNNNNNNNNNNNNNNNNNNNNNNNNNNNNNNNNNNNNNNNNNNNNNNNNNNNNNNNNNNNNNNNNNNNNNNNNNNNNNNNNNNNNNNNNNNNNNNNNNNNNNNNNNNNNNNNNNNNNNNNNNNNNNNNNNNNNNNNNNNNNNNNNNNNNNNNNNNNNNNNNNNNNNNNNNNNNNNNNNNNNNNNNNNNNNNNNNNNNNNNNNNNNNNNNNNNNNNNNNNNNNNNNNNNNNNNNNNNNNNNNNNNNNNNNNNNNNNNNNNNNNNNNNNNNNNNNNNNNNNNNNNNNNNNNNNNNNNNNNNNNNNNNNNNNNNNNNNNNNNNNNNNNNNNNNNNNNNNNNNNNNNNNNNNNNNNNNNNNNNNNNNNNNNNNNNNNNNNNNNNNNNNNNNNNNNNNNNNNNNNNNNNNNNNNNNNNNNNNNNNNNNNNNNNNNNNNNNNNNNNNNNNNNNNNNNNNNNNNNNNNNNNNNNNNNNNNNNNNNNNNNNNNNNNNNNNNNNNNNNNNNNNNNNNNNNNNNNNNNNNNNNNNNNNNNNNNNNNNNNNNNNNNNNNNNNNNNNNNNNNNNNNNNNNNNNNNNNNNNNNNNNNNNNNNNNNNNNNNNNNNNNNNNNNNNNNNNNNNNNNNNNNNNNNNNNNNNNNNNNNNNNNNNNNNNNNNNNNNNNNNNNNNNNNNNNNNNNNNNNNNNNNNNNNNNNNNNNNNNNNNNNNNNNNNNNNNNNNNNNNNNNNNNNNNNNNNNNNNNNNNNNNNNNNNNNNNNNNNNNNNNNNNNNNNNNNNNNNNNNNNNNNNNNNNNNNNNNNNNNNNNNNNNNNNNNNNNNNNNNNNNNNNNNNNNNNNNNNNNNNNNNNNNNNNNNNNNNNNNNNNNNNNNNNNNNNNNNNNNNNNNNNNNNNNNNNNNNNNNNNNNNNNNNNNNNNNNNNNNNNNNNNNNNNNNNNNNNNNNNNNNNNNNNNNNNNNNNNNNNNNNNNNNNNNNNNNNNNNNNNNNNNNNNNNNNNNNNNNNNNNNNNNNNNNNNNNNNNNNNNNNNNNNNNNNNNNNNNNNNNNNNNNNNNNNNNNNNNNNNNNNNNNNNNNNNNNNNNNNNNNNNNNNNNNNNNNNNNNNNNNNNNNNNNNNNNNNNNNNNNNNNNNNNNNNNNNNNNNNNNNNNNNNNNNNNNNNNNNNNNNNNNNNNNNNNNNNNNNNNNNNNNNNNNNNNNNNNNNNNNNNNNNNNNNNNNNNNNNNNNNNNNNNNNNNNNNNNNNNNNNNNNNNNNNNNCCCCACGGGGGACCUGCAUUUCAUGCUGCAGGCACAGGUACCUCAGCUCAUACACCGCACAAGUAGGAGCCAGGAUAUCCAGCUGCUUUUGGUGAGCUCCAGUUUGCUUCGGGGCUUUCCGUGUCAUAUCCAGUCACUUUUGGUAUUGUAUAGAAGUUAGUUAUAUGGCGGGGGGUGUCCCGACCUUAGUUAAACUCUAUGUAUUGUCUAGAGGCUUUGUAGACCUAAUGUACAGUCAAAGUGGUGUUUUGUUAAUAGAUGUGAUGGCUUAAAUGACCAAGUAUUGUAUAUACAUAUAUAUAUGUGUGCUCGAGCUUAUAUAGGUGAUUAUUUCCUUUUAUAUGCGACAUGAUGCUGUCCGAAUUUUGGGUUGUCAUAGAGCUAUGCAUGGUAAGUAUAAGGUUAUGAGCUGAUUCUCCCGGGCCUCCUCGGUUACGGGUGCCAGUCCGCCCCAAUAGGAUUUGAGGUGUGAUAGGAUGAUUUAUCGAGAGUGGGUAUUGCUUAACCCAACUAACUUUCAAGGACAAUGCUUAGCCUUAGUCAGUUUUCUCGAAAGAGGGUAGUGCUUAACCCACUUAAUUUUCCAAGGAUAGUUCUUAGCCUUAGAAAGUUUUAGAUAGAGUAGUGCUUAACUCCAUUGAGUUUCUGAAAUAAUGUUUAGUCUGGAUGAUUUAUCGAGACUGGGUAGUGCUUAACCCAACUAACUUUCAAGGACAAUGCUUAGCCUUAGUUAGUUUCUAAAAAAAAGACAGUUUUUAACCCACUCAGAAUGCAAAACGAUAAUACUUAACCUUAUGUAUUCUGAUGGUGUAUAGCAUACUUAAGAUUUUUACUCAUCAUUUUAUUCCUGCACUCAAAGAAAAACUGUUAGUUUUUUUAAAAAAGGGAAAGAUUGAUUCGUGUCUCUGUCGGCUCCUUUGUUCAGGUCCCCAAUUCAUUGUAUUUAUAUCACUUUCUUGAGAUUUCAUCCUUUAUGAAAUUUUUGAGGAUUCCUCAAAAAUUUCUGGCCCAGUUCAUGGCCUCAAUCUUGCUAGCCUUGAAUUUGUUGAAAUGCUUCUUGAUAGAAUUUUUGAGACCCUCUCAAAAAUUCUUCCCCAGUUACAUGUCCUAUUCGUCUUGAACUUGUAGGAUCAUAGAAUUUUUAAAAUCCUGUCAAAAAAUUUUCUCCAGUUACGUGCUUCAGGAAAAUAUAAAAAUUUUAUUAUGAUAAGACCGAAAUCCACAGGAGCGCCUACGUAUCCCUCUUAAACGGGAAUCUGGUCGAACAUAGUUCAAAUUACAUAAGAGAAAUUCAUAUUUUCCAAGCAUAUGUAAAGGUUAUAGUAACUUAAUUUCUUGAGAGACUAGAAUGAAUAACGUGAUGCCUCUUUCUUAACGUUAGAUAGAUGCCAAUGCUUAAUCAACAUCAAGAUAUGGCCCCAUCACAUUUAUCACCUUGGUAUCAAUCAAUGCUUGAAUUUUGUCCUUUAAAGCAUGACAUUCCUCUGUGGCAUGGCCUGUCAUCCCUGAAUGGUAAGCAUAGAUUUUGGAAUGAUCAAUCCAUUUCGCAUAUGGAUUCAUUAUAAUUGCAGGAAUUGGAGUAAUGUAGCCAUCAACCCUUAAUCUCUUAUAAAGAUAGUCUACAGGUUUGGUCAAAGGAGUGUACUGUCUUGACUGAUUUUUCUGACGCUUAGCUCAAGUUUUGAUGAAUUGAUUGGGUCGUAGAGCUAUUGGUGAAUUUGGAUAAGCUAAUGGUUGUUGGAAGGUAGUUGGAGGUAUUUGGAAGUGGGGAGGUUGUUGAAAUGGAUUUGAAGGUGCUUGAUAUAUGGGUGUUUGGUAUUGAAGUGGGGGAUAUGGUGUUUGGUAACUUGGAAGGGUUUUGGGAUCUUGCAUAGUCAAGACAACAUUUACUUCCUUCAUAUUGUUAUUCUCAUCAUCUUGUGAAGUCUUUAUCUCUUAUAGUGCCUCUAAAUCUGUUAUCAUGCCAUUUUUAAUUCCUUCUUCAAUUCUCUUGCCCAAUUUGACGAUGUCAACAAGCUUUUGAUCCUCUACAAGAAUCAUCCUUCCAUAAUAUUGUGGCUCUUGGGCGCAAAUGAAGAAUUCCUUCAUUUCAUUUUCAUCUAAAGAAGGGCGCACUUUAAAAGCUUCACGUAUCCAUCUCAUUCCAUAUUCUUGAAACGAUUCUGUAGGUUUCUUUUUUUAACUUCUGAAUAUAGAACCAAUCAUGCGCAUUCUCAACAUUGAACCCAAAUCUUUCUACGAAAUCAGAGGCCAUAUCGAUCCAUUUUGACCAUUUUAUUGCAUCUUUUGUGACAUACCAUGAUAAGGCAUCUCCAGUAAAGCUCCUCAUGAAUAAUUUAAUAAGAAUUUUCUUGUUUUUACCGACUCCUGCCAACUUUUCACAGUAUAAUUUCAAAUGGACUUUCGGAUCUCUAGUCCCAUUGUACAAUUCAAAUCUAGGAGGUUUGUAUCCCUCCGGCAGUUCAACAUCAGGGUAUAUGCACAAAUCUUCAUAACUUAGCCCAUUUAACCCCUUAUUACCUUCAAGUUGUUCCAAUCUUUCAACCACGAAUUACAUAAGGGCGACGUUUGUCGGAGGUUUGGAUUUAUAUUGAUGGUGGGUAAAUGGGAUCGUUUUGACAUAACUUGGGUCUAAAGUAUGGAUGAUUUGAUGAGGAAUAUUUUUGGCAAACGUUGGUGGUGUAUUAUGGGCAUAUGAUAUUGUUUGAUAAUUUAAUAGAGCUGGAUAUACAUGAAAUUGUGGUGGACAAGAAUGUAGAUGUGAGUUAUGUUUAGGUAGCGUGUAUAUGUGGCUUGAAUUAUUUGGGGAUGGUGAAAUAGAAAGUGGUGGUAAGAGGUGGCUUGUGAAUGUGGCAUUAGAUUUAACAACAGUGUUACCCCCAAUUUGUGGUUUGAGAGGAGCAUUCAAAGCAAGGGGUAAAUUAGACAAGUUACGGGCUUAUGACAAUUCUCCUUGUAGUUGAAGAAUUAUUUGUUCCAUUUGUACGAUCAUCUCACCAUGCUCAUUUCUAGUAUCGUUGUUAUCACCCAUUUCUUUGUCUUGAUGACUGAGUCUUAAGAGAAGGAGACCGAGCCCUUUUUCAGUUGGUGUAAUGGGCAAGAGAAUGCACGAAUCAAUCCUUUGGGUAUGGGAGAAAAUAAAUAAUGAAAAAAUAAAAAGAGUCAAGUUAGUAAGGUAUAGGUGACAUAUAGGAAAAGAAUAAACCUGUUAUUUUGUAACAAAUAAAACAUUUCGUAAUGGACAGGCCCUUAUGUUCCUGUACCACUCAAAGAAAACGUUAGUUCAAGAGAAAUGGUUGUCCUAUAUUUGAAUAUCGUAGCUGUAAUCUGCCCUUAAUAUGCUCAGGAAUUGGGCUUAUUAGCCCGACAUUUUGGCAGUGUAAUUGAAAAUAAGAGAAAGAAAAUGUAUUUUUUAAAGAUUAAGACCGGACCCAAAGUGGGCUGCCUAUGUAUCCAAAUGGAGGUCAGCUUGAACGUAGUUCAUGAGGGUAGGGUAAGGAUAAAGAGGCCUAAAUGUUUGUCUUGGGGGAUGAGAAGGAGGGCUAGAGUUUUUUCGGAUAUUGAGGGAGGGGUAGCUGAUGACGAGUUCUUUCGAUUGACAAUUCAGUCCACAAUAGCUGAUGAUUAAGUUCACAAAAUCAUCAUAUGAAACAUCACUUUGGACUAUCAUAGCUAUUGUCUCUAGCAUUUCGCCCUCCUUCUAACACCAUAUAUAUCGAUUGCUCUUCUCGAUCCAUUGACCAUGACAAUCCACCCCUAUUGUUAUUGAUCCCUCCAUUAGUGGUACCUAAAUAAAGUCAUUUGUUAAAAAUAGUUAAUAGUGAUUCCAUAGUGUCGUAAAUGAAUCCUAACAGAUAUGUAAUCUAUUCCAACAGGUAAGUGAUCAAUCACAAUAGAUUACUUACCUGUUGGGAUUCAAGUUACGCUCCUGAAGCUGAUUUCAACAAACGAGUCAUCUGUUGUAACAGGUGAAUGAAUCAUAUGUUGCAACAGACUAUAUAUCUGUUGUAACAGAUAAAGCACCUGUUGGGAUAGAUGUUAUGAUACUAAGGCACCUUUGAAGCUGAUUCUAACAAAUGAGUGACGUGUUGCAAUAGAUAAUUAACCUAUUGCGACAGAUAACUUACAAAUUGCAACAGACAACGAUCUGUUGGAAUUGAAGUUAGGUUCUAUCGCAAUAGGUUACUAAUAUAUUACAACAGAUAUUUAUCGUCUAUUAGAAUCGAGUUCAGUUUUUGUUACGACAGGUUAAUAAUCUAUUGUAACAGAUAUUUACCCUGUUGCAACAGACAACACGUCUGUUGGAAUCGAGUUUAGGUUAUAUUGCAAUAGGUUACUAAUCUAUUACAACAUAUAUUUAUCAUGUUAUACCAGAUAACUAAUUUGUUGCAAUAGAUGGGUCAUAUGUUGCAACAAAUAACCCAUCUAUUCGAUUCAUGUUACGACACUAUAGAACCAUAAACACGAAUCCAACAUAUGAGUCUUCCGUUGAAACAAAUCUGUUUAAACAGAUGGAUCUUAUGUUCAUUCAUGCUCGCGUGCUAUCUAUUAUUGAAAAACAGCACAAUAGCAGUUACUCAGAUGACAAAUUCAACUAAAAAUCAUAAUUUGACUUACCAAAGUCUCCUAUGAAGUAAUGCCAAAGUGGAAAGUGAUGUACGAAAUAAAAUUUGACCUAAGAAAUUGGUCAAAUAACAACAGUAGCGGUAACAACAUAAACAACAACAACACUGGUCAACGAGAAGAAGAUGAAGAUGAUAAUGAAGUAGAAGAUGAUGAUAAUGAAGCAGAAGAUGAUGAAUAAAGCAGCAGCAACAAUGAACAACAAAAAUCGCUAAGAGAGAGAAAACAACAAUGGAUGAGAAGAGAAAGAGACAUUUUUUUUUCCUCUGUUUCUCGUUAUAUUAGGUAAACAUUUGGAUCAAAGUGUAAAUUUAAAAACUUCUGGGCUAUCUCAAACUUACACAACUUUCUUAAUCCAUUAUAAAGUAAUUGCCACCUCCACUCAAUUAUUAAGACUUGUGUCACCUACACCUCGUUUUAAAACUCUUUUGUCACCUACAGCCCAAAACCCCAUAUUUCUAAGCCUUCUUCAUAUACAUACGUAUAUAUGAAAAAAAUUUAAGAUGUCUAAUAUAGUUUAGAUUUCUUUCCUUUUUUCUAUGUAAUUUUUUUUAUUGAUAUAUUUGGAAUAUAAAUAUUACAAAUAUCAUAUAUAGUGCAAUAUCAUAUUAACAAUUAUAACAUUCUUGUGUUUUAUAUUAUUAUAAUUAAUUAUCUUAUUUUAUUUAUUCAUAACUUCAGCUUACUUUGCUUCAUUUUCAUAACUUUUAAAAAUAUUUAUUUGAUGUGUAAAAGAAUGCCGUCAUAAGCGAAUGUAACACUAAAGGCACAAGAUAGAAAUUAUAAUCAACAUGUGCAUAGAAGAUCAAGUACUCCUACAAAAGAUAGAGGUUAAAACAAAAAAUAAUAUUUUCAACUUAAUCCUUAGAUUAUGGUUUUAAAAUAUGACCUCUUAUUCCAUUUACUUCAUCACUCAUACAUCCUAAAUUAUUUAUUCUGCUAUGUAUAUAUAAAAAAGUAGGUACUUAAAAACGAGCAAAGGAUUUUAAUUUUAUUGUUGAAAAAAAAAAUACUAUUAUGUCUCAAAUUAAGAUCAAUAAAGAUCUAAAAUGUCUUGACUGGAAUAUUAAUGUUAUAUACUACUUCAUUACAAAAUAGUGAAAUGUAUUCAUUUACUAAAUUUUUUAUAGUCACACGAAGCACGGUUAAUUUCACUAGUUUGAGAUGAAGGGAGUAUAAUAUUGAGACUGUUUAGUAGAAUUUCUCUCUUUGCUGCUUUACUUUGCAUGUUAUAGCUUAGUGGGUUAGCCUUAGUGUUAAUUAGUAACUCGUUAGGUGCCUUGUCGUGGCCUAGACCCAUAUUUGAGUCUUGAAGAAAAUUCUAACAACAGUAGAAAUGCUUAUGUUUUAUUUUUCUGAAGGCAGAAAAAAAUAAAAUUAAAUAAAUGAAUUAUUCAUUCAAAUUUUAGUUUGAAAUUUAUGUGUUAAUCAACCUAUUUUUCUUUUUAUUAAUCCUAAAACUGGGAUAGAAUUAAGGAGGUUUACAUAUAGAUAUAUGAAUGACCUGUUUGUGUAAAAAAUUCUUUAUAUUGACUGUGUAUAUAACUUAAAAUCUAAAUGUAAUUAGGCAACAAGAAUCAGUCAAAUUAACUUCCUCUCUUCUACUACGCUCUGCAACCUAACCACCCUCCAAAAAUAGCAUACUGUCUUUUUCUGGAAAUCAAUGAACACAUCUAGAACUCAUAUCAAUCAAUGAACACAUCCAGCACUCAUAUCAAUAAGGUUCUUAUCCGUACAAAAGAAAAUUAAAGAAACAAAGGGAAAGUAAAUGUGUAGUAGGGCAGUAAACCAAUACUCUCUUUUAUCUUAAUUUAUAUGGUACAAUUAACGUUUUGGAGUUCAAACUUGUAAACUUUGAUCACGAGUUCAGACAUAGAAACUUUAGGUUUUUGAAAGAAAAUCAUAUUUUUGAAAUUACACAAAAGAAUUAUUAUAAACCACAACAGUUAACAACUUGUAAAAUUUAAAAGGAAUAUAAAGAAAUUUCAAUAAAAGAAAAACUUGUUUGACUCAUAAAAUUCUAACCGUGUCACAUAAAUUGGGUCAGAGGAUGUAGUAGCUUAAUAAUUACUAAGGGGGUUGGGUGGGGUUCUUAGGCCAUGCAUGAACUAAACUCACACCAUCUGUUCUAUAUAUAUAUAUCUGAUUAUUGUUCUCAAUUUUGUUCCCAAAAUUAGCACUUGGCUUUUAGUCAUGGAGAGAGUAAAAAUAUUUGAAUUCAUCUUUGUUGCCACUUUCUUGGUAAUGAGUAGUAGUUGUGUUUUGGGAUACAAUGUUCCUUCAAUUUUCAUAUUUGGAGAUUCUAUACUUGAUUCUGGUAGCAAUCACUACAAAAAGAAUCGCUCAGUACAAGCUGAUUUUCCACCAUAUGGUUCCAAUUUUUUUCACCAUCCAACUGGUAGAUUCACAAAUGGUCGAACCGUUACAGACUUCAUUUGUGAGUUCUUAUUACUCCUCGGAAAUAGAAUUUCCUUUGAUAGGAAGCACUUUUAUUUAUCCCGCUCUAAAAGAAAAAAAAAAGAAAUAUAAUGAUAUAUGUAGUUCGUUUAUCCCAUCUUAUAUAUUCAUAAUAUAAAUUUUUUUAUGCUAUCAUGUCAUUUGAAAUAUUAGUAUAAAUAACUAAUAAUAAAUUUGGGAUAUUGCUUAUUCAAGAGUAUUUGGAUCCCCUUAAUAUGAGGGAAGCAUAUAUUGUUGUGGUAAAGGAGAUUCAAAAGUUAUUUUAGGAUGUAGGUUCAAAUUUUAUGUGAAAUAUUCCUUACACAUUUCUUGAAUUUCCUUGCUAAAAUUUUUCAGUUCACCACUUGUCCAUAACAUGUGAAACUAUUAUACUGAAGAUUUAAACAAGCAACUUUUUAUAAAAUGUUAAAAUGCAUUUUAUAGGGGAUAUAAAAGUAUCAUUUUACCGUCGGUGGAUAUAAGGUGAAUUUUUUUCUUGUAACUCCAAAAUUAGCUAUUCAAGAUGUGGUUAUAGUACUUUAUUUAGUUUUCAAAAUAAUUUGAUUAAGCAAUAUUUAAGUUCACAUUGAAAAUUAGAUGUCUUAAUCCAAACAUGAAAAAUUAUGUAUUCUUUUUAUCUCAAUUUAUGAGAUACUUUUCGUUUUUCAGGAGUUUAAGUUUGACUGUAAAUUUGAAUAUAAAAGCUUCUAAGUUUUUUCAAAUAAAAUUUAUAUAUUUAGAAAUUAAAUAAAUAGUAUUAUAAGUUACAAUUAGGGGUGUUCAUAAUUUGAUUUAGAUUGAUUUUGGAGUAAAGACACCCAAAGUCAGACUUUUAAUUAUUAAAAUCAAAUCAAACUAAACCAAAUAUAAUUCAUAUCCAUCAAUUUUGUUAUUGUCGGUUUGAUUUGGUUCUUUUUAUGAAUGAGCUUAAGGUAUAAAUCUCAUAAUUUUCUCAUGAGUAAAUCUCAUAAUUGUUUCUUAAAAGAACCAAAUCAAAUAUAUAUAUAUAUAUANNNNNNNNNNNNNNNUAUAUAUAAUUGUGUAUAUAAUUUAUUGGUUUCAGUUUAUUUUUAAUAAAACCAAACCAAACCAAACCAAUUAUUGUUAGUUUUGAAAACUUAAAUUCAAAUCAAACCAAAAUCAAUUUUUUAUUUAAUCAGUUUGGUUCAUCUUUUUGAUUCGGAUUGAUUUCUAACUAAACCAUAAAUACCCUUAGUCACAAUAAUUGAGUUCAAAACAUUUAAAAGAUAUUUAAAAAAAUUAUGAUAAAAAAAUAGUCUUAUUUGAAUUUCGAAAUUCGAAAAAUACUUUAUAAAUUGAGAUGGAAAAAGUAAUUCUUUUUGAGAUGGGGUAAUAUUUGUCAUAUGGAUUUUUUAUUAGUUAUUUUUGGUUUGAUGAAAAAUUAUUGCAUGCAGCUGAAUUUAUUGGGAUUCCCCUACAAAAGCCAUACCUUCAUGAGUUAGUAAAUGGAAAUUGGAAGGAGUAUUCAUCGAAAGGCAUCAACUUUGCUAGUGGUGGUAGUGGAGUUCUACGAACAACUAAUCAGCAUUUGGUAAGAAAUUUUACAAGGACUUAGCUUGUUGAUAUGCUUGUAUUAACAUCUUUUAAUUUACUAUGGUUAGCACAGAAAUAUGCACGUUACUGACAAAGAAUGCUAAAAUUUUUACCGUCAUUAGUUAAUUGUCAUUGAAUUCAGUGUUGUUAUAGGCUUUAGGGACAUUUACAAAGAGCAUAAAAUAUAUUUAUCAUUAAUAAUUACAUCUAAAAAGAUAACUUAGCGACAAUUAAGCUAUUGCAGUUAACUAAUUCUCACUAAAUUUUUUUUUGAUGUAGUGAUAUCACUCUUAUUUUUCUCCUCCUUUCUUCUAAUGAGCCUGAAUCCUAAUUAAAUGGGGCUUACCAUACAAAAAAAUAAAGUAUGUAUGAUAUAUUGAUGUCAGAAAGAAAUAUUGAACUAUCAAUAUAUAAAAGUUAUAUUAACAAUAUCAUUAUAUAUUUAACUUAAAUACUUAGAUAAUUCAAAUAUUUUUAUAUGAUCAUAGUAAUUGACUUGCUAUAUUAGAAGAUUACCUAACUUAUUUUUGCAAGUAUUUACCUGCCUUUUAAAUCAUCUGAUAUCAAUACAUAUAGGAGCUAAACUCAUAGUAUGAAUUAAGGAUUUAUCUAUACACAAUUAAUCAAUAAUGCAUCGGUAGUGUAUAGAUUUUUACACUAUCAAUCCAAUUUACUCAGCUAUAACAUAUGUAUUGUUACUCUAUUUUUCAUGUGAUCGCAUCAGACUUGCUCUACAGAUUUACAUAUGAAUAUUAUCCAAAUAACAUGACCAUGGUGAUAUCAGACUUGCUUUAUUUUUCAUGUUAUCAUAUCAGACUGGACUUUUUUCUUCUUUUGGCCAUAUGAAUUGAUAUUAAUUUUGUGACAUUUGAAACAUAUAGGGAGUGACACCAAUUGAAGAGCAAGUUGAACAAUUCAAAACCUCAGCCCAACAAAACCACAUAAACAACGAACAAGUUCAAGAGUCACUCAUAAUAUUCACAUCAGGCUCCAAUGACAUGUACAUAUACUUCCAACCAUCUGGUGUCCCAAAACUGACCCCCGAUGCAUAUGUUAGGCCAUGCUAGCUCAAGUUACAAACUUUGUUGAUCAAAUUUGCAAGUUAGGGGCUCGCCGGAUCGCCUUGAUUUCAUUAGGCCCAGUUGGCUGUAUCCCAGCCAGGGUCAACUUGCCCGGUGCACCAGUUAACAAAUUUUACGGUAAAAUGAACACUAUGGUCAAAAACUAUAAUGUGGGGUGGGAGAGUUUGGUAAAAGGGAUAGAUACCAAUCAAGUAUCCAGGUUCAUUUGCUGUGUAUGGAGCUAUGUACAAGACUAUUAUGAACUUCAGAGCUAAUCCUAAACGAUAUGGUAAUUUCUUAAACUUCUUUAUUCACAUUUUAUGAUUGAUUUAUUUUCUUUAUGCCCUCAACUUACAUCUAUGGCCUCCAAUUUUGGGUGUGCAUAAGUAAACGAACUUAAACUUGUAUAAAAUUGAACAAGUAGACACAUGUGUUCUAUGAGGCUUCCUACAAUUUGCGUCCUAUGUGUAUUAUAUGCCACAUAGGCGCGCGUGUCUAUUUGUUCAACUUUAUACAAGUUCAAGUGCCUACUGUGCUCAUCCAAAGUUUGAUGGCAUAGAUGCCAGUUGAGACAAAGUUAAAGGGCAGGUUUAUGUUUUACGGUUAUUUUCAACUUUAUUCCAAGUAUAAGGGACAUUUUCUGUUAUUAUCUCUAACUUUGACACUAUCAUGUUAACUUUAUUUAUGAUUUAUGUACAAGUCAAGAUAGAUUCUAAACUAACACAUGAUGAUUUGUUAUCACAUCUAUAGGCUUUUCAGAUGCAACUAAUGCAUGUUGUGGUAAUGGAACACUUGGAGGGGCAUUGCAAUGUGGUAAAGAAGGCUACAAGUUAUGUGCAAACCCCAAUGAGUACUUGUUCUGGGAUUUUUUUCAUCCAUCAGAGCAUGCUUAUAAUCAUGUCUCGAAGAUACUGUGGGCUGGAACCAAUUCUCAAGUCCGACCUGUGAAUCUCAAGACACUGGCCAACAUGACCUUCAUUCAACGUUAAUCAAGGAAUUUAAUUUGCCUUUUGAAAAUCUUAAAAUAGAGAAUAAGGGGUCCUUGUCUUUCAUUUCAAAGUUUAUGUUAUGAUGUUUUAAUCUCUCUAGCUUUAAGGAAGGGUAAGGUCACGUACACUCUAAUUCUCAAAUUUUACUUUGUGAAAUUACACUCUGUGUGUUGUUGUUAAUAUUCUGUAUUCAUAUGCAUAUUUUUUUCUUCUCAUGUUUUUUUUGAGCUUAUUGAACUUAUAUCACAUAUAAAAAAAGCAUAGACAAAUUCAAGAUUUAAACUCUCACUCAACACUGAUACAAUUAAUUGUGUUUAGAAAUAGAGAGUGAAGUCUUGUCUUUCAUUUCAGAAUGUUAUGGUGUUUAUAUGUAUAUUUCUUUAUUUCUCGUUGAAGAAUUUAAUCAAACACACAGUUUGCAGAAUUAUUGAAUUUAUUUCACUAGUCAGAAAAUGUAAUCACAUACAAAGACGAACUACACGAUAUAACAUAAUAGUCUAAAAUCGGAGCUUGUUAUAAAGUUGUUCCAAUACAUCGAGUAGAAGAAUCUUCACAAGAAUUUUCAAUGAACUUGACAGAAGGAAGAAGAAAACUUUUUCUUGUUUGCAUUUGUUUUUCAGGGAGGGAGAAAAGUUAGUUGUUUCUCUUCAAAGAACUCUUUUAUAAAUUCAAAGGGACACAAGUUUUUAGAUAGUUGUGUUUCUUUUUCUUUUUUCUAAUUAAAAUAUUCAACUAAUUAUUGCUCCCUUCGUUUCAAAAUGAAUGACCUACUUUCCUUUUGGGUUCGUUUAAAAAAGAAUGAUCCCUUUUCUUUUGAGAUAAUGCAUCAAAAUCACCCUAAACUUGUCACUCCAACUUACUUUAGCACUUAAACUUAAUAUGUAUUUAUUUACCCCCGUAAUAUCUUUAAAGUGCAUCAAAUUCACCUCUUAUGCUAACGUGAUAUUUAAAAAAAAAAAACACGUGAAAUUAAUCGAAUUUAUAAGGAGAGUUGGAUUUUUAGUCACUAAUUUAUGAUAUUUUUUUGAUGGAUAGAGAAAUUGAUGAUGAUGGAUGUAUAUAUAUAUAUUAUGUGGCGGUGGUGCGGUGGUGUGGUUGGUGGAGGACGGUGGGGGGAGGGGUGGCGGGCUGUAGCAGAUAAGGGGAAAAUGGGGGUGGGUGGGUGUAAGUGGGUUGUUGAUUCCUUGAUCUGCUUUGUGAAGCUGAAUCUGCCAUUGAUGAGCUUGAUAGGUAAACAAACAGGGGAAGCAGAAUUUGGGGCCUUAUGGUGGACAUGCUAGCUUUGACCUUACGCAGGUGCUUGCAAGUAGAUGAUGGAUGCACCUGUCCACAAAAAAUCGAUGGUGGUAUUGAAUUUUUCAAGUGGGUUGAGUUUUCCAGCAAAAAUUCACCAAAAAAUAUGGCAGGUGUAGUUGUGUGGGGGUGGAUGGGGAUGUGUUUAGGUGUGGAAGUGUAGGGGUGGACGGGGAUGCUACCUAUCUACCUACCUAUCUAUCUAUCUAUCUAUCUAUCUAUCUAUCCCUCCGUCCGUUCAUCCAUCCUUCCAUCCGUCCAUCCAUUUGUCCAUCAGUCUGUCCAUCCAUCCAUCCAUCCAUCCAUCCGUCCAUCCCUCCAUCCAUCAAUCCAUCCAUCCAUCUAUAUAUAUCUAUCUAUCUAUUUAUCUAUCUAUCUAUCUGUCUAUUUAUCUAUAUAUAUAUAUAUAUAUAUAUAUAUAUAGCGAGUGUGAUGCACUCUCCGUAAUGAGAGUGUUGUUGUAUUUUUAAGGUGGUAUAUAAUCACUUCAAAAAGAUUUAGGGGGGUAAAUAAUUAUCCGUAAAGUUUAAGUUCUAAAGUAAGUUUUCAGGACAAGUUCAGGGGGCUUUUUGAUAUAUUAUCUCUUUUCUUUUUUUGGUAACACUUUAAUUACAGCUUUCCACAUGGCAUGUUUAAAACCACAAGAUUAACGGACAUUUUGGUACAUUUGAUACAACUUUAAUUUAAGGCCACAAGAUUCAAAAGUUUUAUUUAGUUUCUUAAACUUUGUGCCAAAUCAAAGUAGGUCAUUCUUUUUGAAACGGGGGAGUAUUUUUUAUCUCUUAAUAUGGAUCUAUGUUGAUCCACAUGGGUGAUUUGAUCCAAUUUUCUUCAUCUCUAACUCACCAUAGUAGGUCAACUCUCAUUCCUAUUCUGUAGCAUUCAUUGAUUAGACCGUUUGACCAGUGAAUACUUCGAGAGCUUUGUUGUUAUACAUCUGUUAGGAAUAUACAACAUCUCUAUCAAUGAAACUUAGAGAAUAUUAGAGUAUGCAGUGCCCUAGAUCAUUUAUCACAUUCACAUUUCUCAUAAUCUCUUUUUCUUAAUUUUGAACUUGUCGCACUAACAAGCAUAAAUGACCGAUCAAUGAACACAAUUAAUGUGAUAAUUCUUAAUGAUCUUCCGCAUCUCAAAAAUCUCUUAAUCUUCCUUCAAACCAAAUCAAUCAUGAUGUCUUAGCAAUAUACUAAGAUAGCAAAAACAAAUUGAAUUUUAAGAAACUGAUUAAAGUCAUGAGGAUAUAAUGUGAAAAAUUACAUAUAAUUUUCAGAGUUUCACACAAUAACAAGUAGAGACUAAAGUUGUAUCGCCCUUAUGGAUCACUAGAUGCAUAUAUGAUAUGAAACAUGUAUCACAGUAUUGGCUCUUUUUUCAUCGAGCAUAUGUCUUUUAUUAAUUAAAUAUUGUGCAGAUAAUAGUUCAGACAACUCAUGUCUAACUUUGAGUUCACAAAUCUACUCAAUCAUUUUAUUCUCCAGAACUCACAUCCGACAUUAAAAAUAGACUAACUCAUUUUAAUCACAUAUAAUUAAAUGCAACCUAAAAACGAUAUUUUGAUUAUAAACUUUUAACUUUCUUUUAUCAUCACUUCUGAUAAUAAUAAGUUUAUAACUGUCUCAUCGCAACUGCUUUUCACUUAGACAAUAAAGGUGAUUGUCGUGAAUAGUUCAAUUUUUUUAUCUGUUUAAUAUACUUUUUAUUCUUAAAAAUUUAUGUACAUCACAUAAAAAUAAUAUAUGUAUAUGAACCAAUAAGAAUGAAUUUACAUGAACAUGAUAUGAAAAAAAAAUAUAAAUACAUCAACAUCUAUGUAAAUUUAACGAUCUUACAUGUAUUUCAUAGGCAUCACAUGAUAUGAAUUUUGUUAAUGGAUUUACUAUCAUGUGAUGCGUAGAUAUGUAUUUCACGUUCACUUUCUUUUUUACAAUUAUAUCUCUUGCAAAAUUAUACUUUAUGUAAAUAUGUUUUGUCUUGCCAUGAUAUUCAGAAUUCUUUGUGUAAGCUAUUGCAAUCUGACUAUCACAACAUAUUAUGACAUGUUAGACAACAUCCCUUACACAUCCAAGUAGAUCAAAAAAAUGUUUAAGUCAAAUAACUUAUUGUACAACAGAUAAAAGUACUACAAAUUCAAUUUUCAUUAUAGAUAAGGCUAUGCAAGAUUGCUUCUUUGUACUCCAUGAUAUGACCAUUGUUAAGCAAGAAUACAUAUUCAGAGGUAAAUUUUCUCUCCGUUAAAUCUCCUCCCUUAUCAACUAUAUAAUCUUGAAGUUGUAGAUCAUUUCUUUGAUAAUAUAAGAAAUAAUUGGCCGUGUAUUUAAGAUACCUCAAUAUCCUUAAUUGCUUUUUGAUGUUGUGAUUCUGGAUCGAAUUGAUAUAUACUAACUAACCUAAUGACUUAACAGAUAACAAAUUUAGUACAUAUCAUUACAUACAUAAGACUUCCGACUAAAUUGGCAUACAUAACUUUUCAAAAUUGUCCUUCUCAUGUGGAGUCUAAGGGCACAUUUUUCGAUUUAAAACUUCACUUUUAGAAAUUGGAGUUUUAUGAGUUUGCAAUCUUGCAUAUUAAAGUGAUCAAGACUUUCUUAAUGUAAGGUUCUUAUGAAAGAUAUAAUAAUCUUUUCAAACGAUCUUUUGAAAUCUUAACUCCAAGAAUGUUUGACUCUUAACCCACAUCUUUUAUCUCAAAAGUAGAUGAUAAGCACUCUUUUAUUUCCUUUACAUAGUCUAUGUCAAUUGCAGUUGUAAGUAUAUCAUCUAACUAAAAUGAUAAGAUUACAAAAAUUAUCUUUGAAUCUUUUGAUGCAUACAUAGUGAUCUUCAUGAAUAAUAACCAUACGGUAUUAUGAAAUUAUGGGAAUGUAAGUACCAUCUUCUAGGAGAUUGUUUAAUGACAUAAACCUAUCUACGAAGCUAACAUACUUUAUAUUCUUUGCCCUUCUUAAUGAAACCUAUAGGUAGUUCUAUAUAGAUUUCUUCUUCUAGUUAUUCAUUAAGAAAUGCAGUGUAAGACCCCACAGAAUCCUAUUUGUUUGAGUCCUUUAAAGAAUGCUAAAAGAGGUCCCGGACUUAGAAAUUUUUAGCUAAGUGUUAGGACUUAGUCAUUUCUAAAGCCCUCAAACUUUGAGUAAUUUAUUUAUGACCUUAGAAAGUUAGUUUUCAAGUUGAUUCAUGAUAGGAAAAGUCAAUAGUACAUCUCGAGUGAGUUUUGGAAUUCUUAGACAAGCGUAAGGACAUGUUUGAAACUCCAAAACAGUUACUCAGGGGGAUUAGCCCGCGGCGCCCUAUCCAGUCCGGUGCUGGGGGAGCCCGCGAUGCAGACCGUGGCGCCUGCCCAGAGCAGCACUCCAUAACCCGCGGCUCCCUGGCCAGUCUGAGGUAAUUUCUGCAGUUUUGUUCUGGAUUUUUAAGGGCAAAUGGGUCAUUUUUCCUUUACCCAAUAGCUCCAUAACACGGGAUUAAAUCCCCAACUAGCAUAAUUGCUAAUCCUUUUCAUAAAAUCCUCUCAAGAACAAGCCCUAGCUUCAUUAGUUUCAAGAAUCAAGUCUCAAAAACUCACCACAAACUCUAUGAAAUUAACAAUCAAGGUAUGUUAGGUGUUCAUCCAAGGGUUCCCUUCCACCCUCGGAGUUCAAGAACCUCUUUUAAACUACAAGCUGAUUGCUUUUAUGGAUUUCAUGUUGAAUUUGAUUGUAUUCAUGAUUAUGAUGUUGUUUGGGUUUCUAAUCCAUGUUUUAUGAUAAGAUUAAUGUGAAGUAAUUAACCUAUGUAUAGUCAUGUGGAUUUAUGUUAAAAGUCCCUUGAAAUUGUAAGUUUGGAUUGUAAUCAUGAUCCCUACAUAUUUAUUAUCAUUAUGUGCAUGAACUAUGCUCCCUAAGUGUUUGAUAAAAUAUUCAUGUAGGUUGAAUUUGAAUAGAGAAAUUAAAAAAUAUUAGCAUGUAUACAAGUUUCUACCAUGUAUGUUUGAUAAAAUGCCUUAAUAGAUGAAUUGUGACAAAGUGGCUAGUUACCAUACUUUUAAGAUUGUGCUAUGUUUUACUUUCAAUGCUAUCGAGUCCUGGAGGUAUUCAAUACCCAAAAUCUAGCUAUUUACUUAGAAUUUCAGUAGCUACAAAAUAGUCUCAGUGAUGUCACAUACAGUAGUACUUAGUCCGUUAUAAAGCUCAGUGUAUUCAGUUAGUUAACAGAACUCAGUGAACUCAAUCCAGUUCAUUCAAUUAUCAUGAUCAGUAACAGUUCAGUCAAGCCUAGUAUAGUCUAGAAAUCAAUUUAGUGUUCUUUCAGUUGGGAGUAGGAUUCAGCAUUGAGCGAACCCAGGGAUGGGGGAUUCCUGCUAGUACAGGGUUUGACCCUUAGUAGCAAUCCCUGCAUUAUAGGACUACAUAGCCAGCGUAGGUUAAGAUAUCUUCCUGCCAGAUAAGAGUUGACCAAUCUUGUAUGGGUUUUCCUGCCAGUGAGGGUUAAUAAAAUAUCUUCCUGUCAGAUAGGGUUAACUCAUAGCCGAUGUUAGUAUCCCUUGGCAAGGUGCUAACACCCUUCCAACUGGGGUCACAGGUUGGAUCCCAACUCAGUUUAUAAGUGGGAUAUGUUGGUUAGAUGAACACUCCCACAGUUAUAGUUUUAAUUUUAGUCUCGGUAUAAAAUCUCAGUUCAGUUUCACAAAACCAGGACUGUCAGACAUAGUUACCAACCUCAGUACAGAACUAAGUUUAGUUUCACAGAAUUAGGAUUGUUAAAAAUAGUCACCCAACUAUCAGUAAUUCAGUUACCAGCUAUCUCAAUUAUAGUAAAGUAGAUUUAUAUGCAACAUUGCAUAGUCAAUAUUUACAACAGUUUCAGUUAUAUAUAUGUACUCUCAAUCAGUUAUACUUAUGUUACUCAACCAAUUAUUAUUCAUGCAUAUGAACCCUUGCCUAUCAGCCAACCUCACUUAGCAUACCGAUAUAUUCAAAGUACUGAUGCAUAUCCUUUCUUUUGCUGUAAUUCCCCAUAGAGUCCUCUUCCAGUUUGAACCUUAGAGCGUAUUCAGUAAAGCAGAAAUCUGAGUCUAAAAAUUUCAGAAUUACCUUCUCAAGUAUGAAAUAUUUUUAAUCGUGUGGAAUUUCCCUAAUUUAUACUUUUUGUCAUGUAUAGCAUUGAAUAAUCUUUCCAACAAUACCAAAUUUGCCCAAAUCAGACACUCGGGUGAAGAGUUAGAGCCAUUUUAGUGAAACAGUAUGCCACCUGGCACCUUAGUGCGUCGCGGAGCUAGCCAAAAUGGAAAUUGCCAAAAUCCAGUGAAACUCCAAGAUUCCACCGCAUCGCAGUAUAUUUCCAGUUUGUAAUCCCGGAGGCAAUGUGAUUUCCACCGCGUCGCGCCGUCGUGCAGUUUCCCAAUUGUCCAAAUUCUAGUAAACUGGUGCGAUUAUGGCGCGUUAUGGUGCACUGUGUCAACAAGUAAAAUCAGGAAUUUUUCAGUUUAAUUCCAAGGGCUUUUUGGUCUUUUCCCCUUUUCCCCAGCCUCUAUAAAUACCCGGCAAAGGGACCUCAGCCUCAUUUCUCUUCCACUUCCAAAAAAUUAGGGUUUCCAAAAUCAAAAUCCCCCCUUUUUCUCUUCAAGCAAAAAUCAAGAAAAAUCAAGAAAGAUCUAGAGAAAUCAAGAAAUCUUUCCAAAGGCCUUUAAGAAAAGAGUCUUCCCAAGGUAUGUAGAUGUUGAUUCUUGGGUCCUUUUCAUCCAAGAAGUUCAAGCACCUUUUUAAAAAAAAAAUUUAAAGAUUUUAUGUUUGUGAGAUUCCAUGAUUUGUAUGAGUUGAAAUUGAUGUUAUAUGUGUUGUUGAGUCUCGAUUCAUAUUUGUUUACAAGAUUUAUGGGCUUUGACCCUAGUAUGUGGGAUUUAUAUAAUGUUUGUGAUGAGCCCUCUUGAAGUUUUUUUCUAUGUGAUGUGUUCAUAAUAUUUAGGUGUAGAAAUGGUAGAAUAAGCAGAGCAUGUCCCCCAUAGGUUUAUUGAAAGCUUGGAUGAAGCAUAAGGGCCAUGAUAGUAUGUUGAAUAAGAAACCCCAAAUUGUGAGUUAGUUUAUGCAUGCCUAGUGUUUGAUAAAAUGCCCAAGUGGAUGAAUUAUUCCAUAAUGGUAGAAAAUUCCCAAAUAAGUGUGAACCCAUGCAUGUCUAGUGUUUGUUGAAGGACUUUAGUGAACAAGUGGAGAUGUGAUAGUAGUAAAUUCCCCAAUUAUGUGCUCUUUGAUAUAUGUUAAGCUUUUAAUACAUGCCAAGUGGUUACCAAGUAAGUUGAGACAUGAUAGUAUGAAGUUUUCCCUAAAUCAUGUGAUGUCCAAAUACAUCUCAAGACUGAUUUAGGUGUGGAGUACUUGAGGUAGGACCUUGUUGAAGGAAGUAUAAUCUAGUAGCAUGUUUCCCUACGCUAGUAUAUGUUGAUGGUUCCUAAAUGCUUGACGCGAUGCCUUAAUGAUUGUAAAGGUAAAGGUAUGUUAUGUUUCCUAAUUACUUGAAGAGAUGCUUGAAUGAUAAUGAUGAUGAAUGAAUGACUAUGAUGAUGAAUGAACGAUUGUGAUAAUGAUGAAUGAACGAUUGUGAUGAUGAUGAAUGAAUGGUUAUGAUGAUGGAGGAAUGAUUAUGCUUUAUUUUAUGUUAUCGAGUCAUGAGGGUAUUUAUACUCGAUAAUUUAGCUGCUGUCUAAAGCCCGUGUCAGUUUCACGAUAAUUCCAGUCGAGCCAUGACUCUCAGAACUCAGUGAAUUAUAGAACGCAGUAUCCUCAGACAGUUACAGAACUUAAAAAAUCUCAAUUAUCUCGAUAAUCUCUGUAUUGCUAGUAAUAUAGCCUCAGUCCUAUAAUUAGCUUAGAUCUAAUAGUAUUCAAGUGUUUAGUUAUGACCUCAGAAGUGAUUCAAACAAUCUAUUCAAGCUCUGUAUCAUCAGUCAGAUACCGCGAUUUAAUACCAUUUUCGUCAAAUACAACACUAAGUGAUCUCAGCGUAACUCAGUCAGAUCUUUUGAGAAACAUAAUCAGUAUCAGAUUCAGUUCAGUUGUGUUCAGUUAUGAAUUCAAUCACAGUCUUUCAGUUGGGAGUAGAAACUAGCACCGAGCGAGGGAAAGAAUGACGGCUUCUCCCGUCAGAGAGAGAGAGGCCAGAGUCAUUAGUAGCAAUUCCUGACCUCCAGAACUGCGUAGCCAGCGUAGGAUACAGGCGUCACCAUUAGGAAAAGGUUGUCACCUUCAGAGAGAGAGUAUUUGACUAUUAUAUUGCCUUAGGUUGACUUCCUGAUAAGGGUCAUCCAUCAGAGAGGAUUGACCAGAGAGAGGUCUUUACCUGUGGCACGGGAUUGACACCCUUCCAAUUGGGGUUACAGGUUGGACCCCACCUGUGGUAGGUCAGGGCAUAUCGGUUAAGUAACUAUUUCCCACAGUUUCAGUUUUAAUUUCAGAAUCAGUCUCAGUUUCUGUAUAAAUCUUUAGAAAUUAGGACUGUCAGAUACAGUCAUCUAUCAUUAUGAGGAACUCAGAUAGUUUCAUUAAUUCAUGGACCAUCCCGUCAGAUAAGCUUGGUCUCAUAUAUAGUUAUUUGAUAUCAUAUUCAGAGAUAUGCCACCAGACAGGCUUGAUUCACAGUCUCAGAUUCUAUGAGUGUCCUUGUUGUGAAAUUCAAAUAUAUCAUAUUUCUUAUCAUUGAUAAUAGUUUCUGAAAUCAUCUGUUAGAGAGGUUGACCUCUAAUCCUGUCAGUCGAAAGCAGUAAAGCUCAGAAUUUAGUCCUUGAUGUAAGUGCAUCCAGAUCUUGAGUUAUCAGUAUCAGAUGAGUAGUAAUUCAAUAUCUCAGUGUCAGUAGUGAGUUCAGUCUGUAGUAAGGCAGUACCUGAGUUUUAGUCUCUAGAGUUAUGAUGAUUGUGACUAUGGUCUAUGCAUUUAUGUAUAUGUAUGUGUUCUCGUGCGGCAUUAUAAUGAUUACUCAGUUUAGAUAUUAUGCAUGCAUGAGCCCUUGUAUUUAGCCUUACCCCAUCUACAUACUCAGUACAUUUCUGUACUGACGUAUUUGUGCUAUGGUAUUUUAUUUGGCACCAUAGGUUCAGAGGCACAGGACCCAGAGUUUUCUCAGCAGUUCAGUCCCAGUAAGCAGCAGUAGUCGUAGCAGUGAGUCCUCUUUUUUUGAGAAUGAAUUUCAGUUUACUAUUAUGGCAUCAAACUUUGUUUAUAUUUUCAGUAGACAGAGUUAGUUGGGGACAUAUCCCAUCAACUCUAUAGUUCAGAGAGUUUAGAGGCUUCUCAGAUAGAUGUAUUAGUAUUCUGUUUUCAGUUUUGAGUAUGUAUAGAUGUGUUGAACCUUAUGGCCAGUUUCCAUAUUUAUUUCAGAUAUUAAGCAGUGUACAGGUACAGAUAUCAGAAAAGGGUUAGCUUAUGGUCCUUUGGGGUCAUAAGCACCGUGUGACAUCUAGGGAUGGGAUCUCAGGUCAUUACAUUUGCACUAUGAUGUCUUAUAUCACAGGUUCAGACACACGGGCUCCUGAUCGUACUUAGCAGCCCAGCCUAUCAAUAACAGAUUGAGUGGUGAGUCCUCAUAAUUCGAGGAUAGAGUUAUCAUUUUAGUAUUUUAGUAGUUUAGUAUAAUCAAUAGAUGAAGUUAGUUGGGUACUUGUCCCAUCAACUCCAUAUUCAGACAGUUAGAGUCUUUCAGACGAUUAUUUUAGUCAAUGUUUAGUUUUUAGUAUUUAUUUAUCAGUAUUUGAUUUCAGUUAUGAACCUUAUGGUAGAUUUAGCCUAAUUUCCAUAUUUAUUUUAGUACUAUUAUUCAGUGAUUGCAGUAGGUACCAGUCAUGGGUUAGCUUAUGGUCCUUCUGGAUUAUGAGCAUCGUAUGAUAUCCGAGGUGUAUACUCGGGGCAUUACAAACUUGGUAUUAGAGCCUAAGGUUCAAUAGAGUACUAGGAAGUCUGAAAGCCACAUCUAGUAGAGUCUUGUGCAUGGGUGUGUAGCGUGCCACACUUAUGGAUGAGAGGCUAUGAGGCAUUUUAGGAAAAGUUUCCUUUUUUUAGUAUUCAUAUCGUGUGCGUGAGCAUGAGCUCAAAUUAAAUUCUCUGUCUAAUCCAAUGUUUUUCUCCAUUUACAAAAUAUUCCUCUAAAAAGGACUAAUAGAAGAAGGACUGGAAAUCAGCCAGUACCUCCGCCCAUUCAGGCAGAUCCCCUGGAUGAGCAUGUGUUCCACACAAAAUUCAGAGCAGCUUUUACCACUUUGGCUCAUUCUGUGGUAGCCCAGAAUGCACGCUCGGCUACCGUUCAGGCCAACCUAGUGGCUAAUACUAUUGUAGCUAGAAUUUAGAAAUUCACCCAAAUGAAUCCUUUAUCAUUUACAGGGUCUAAGCCUAAGAAGGACCCGCAAGAAUUCCUUGACAUGGUGCAGAAAGUCAUGGAUAUCAUUGGGGUGACUUUCAAUGAGUGUGAUGAGUUAACUGCAUAUCAAUUACAGGAUGUGUAUCAUACAUGGUUUAAGCAAUGCAAGGCAGAUAGAGGUGCAGAUGUAGGGCCCAUAGAAUGGGAGGAGUUUGCUACUACUUUCCUUGAUAGGUUCUUCCCAUUGGAGUUGAGGGAGGCUAAAGUUUUGGAGUUUAUUAAUCUGAAAUAGGGCAACAUAACAGUGAAAGAGUAUUCUCUCAAGUUUACUCAGCUAUCCAAAUAUGCCCCUCAUGUGGUAGCAGAUAGCAGAUCUAAGAUGAGUAAGUUUGUGUCAGGUGUGUCUAACAGUAUGGUAAAGAAGUGUAGGACUGCAAUGCUAAUUAAGGAGAUGGACAUAUCUAGGCUCAUGGUGCAUGCUCAGCAGAUAGAAAAGGCUAAGAAUAAGGAGAAGGAGAGGGAGAAUAAGAAAGCUAGAAAAAAGUAGCUUCAACUUUACCCAGCCUAAGUAAGAGGGUGGUAAUCGUCCUCAGUUCUACUUGAAAUCUUUAGUUCCAUCUCUGUCCUUAGUCAAUGCUCCAGUACCGAAAUUCAGAUAUGGAAAUAAACAUAGGCACCAGGCUUUAAACCUCAGGGUAGUGUUAGCAGUGCCCGAAUAAAUCUUCUUUGCCAUAAGUGUGAUAAAAACUAUCAUGGUGUCUAUAGAGCUGGCAGUGAUGUAUGUUUUAGAUGUGGAAACCAGUCCAUAGGGUCAUAGAGUGUCCUCGGGUGGGUUCAUAGAGUCAGGAUAACCGUCUCUUAGCUCAGCCUGAUCGCUCGAAUCAGCAGGGUAUCGCUUCCAGUGCCACCAGUGGGCAGUGCAGAAAUAGACUCUAUGUACUUCAGUCCUGGAAGGAUCAGGAAAGUUCUCCUUAUAUGGUCACUGGUGCGUUACAAGUCUAUUAUUUACAUGUUUAUGCUUUGCUAGAUCCAGGAGCUUCUUUGUCCUUCGUAACUCCUUAUAUAGUUGUUGACUUCGGAGUCAGUCCCUAAAUCCUAGCAGAGCCCUUCUCAGUCUCUACCCUAGUGGGUAAAUCUAUCAUAGCCCAAUGGGUAUACAGGAACUAUCUGGUUAUGGUAUCUCAGAAAGUUACUUCAGCAGACUUAGUAAAGUUAGAGAUGACAGAUUUUGACAUCAUUCUCAGUAUGGAUUAGCUUCAUUCAUGCUAUGCUUUAAUUGACUGCAGAAAUAGAAUUGUCUAUUUUUAGUUUUCGAAUAAAGCUGUCCUAGAAUGGAGGGGUAGUACUUCAGUACUUAGGGGUCAACUUGAUUCCUACCUAAGGGCGAGGAAAAUGAUAUUCAAGGGGUGUGUCUACCAUCUUGUUCGAGUUAAGGAUUCUAGUUCUGAGACUCCCAGCCUUAAGUCAGUUUCAGUAGUAUGUGAAUUUCUAGAUGUGUUUCUUGAAGAUCUUCCUGAGGUCUCUAUCGAGUGGGAAAUUGACUUCAGAAUAGACCUUCUUCGAGAUACUCAGCCUAUCUCUAUCCCGCUAUACAGAAUGGAUCCAGUAGAACUUAGGGAAUUAAAUGAACAAUUGAAGGAUCUCUUAGAUAAGGGAUUUAUCAGGACCAGUGUCUCCCCUCGGGGUGCACCAGUUCUUUUUCUGCAAAAGAAAGACGGUUCUCUCAAAAUGUUUAUUGACUACCAUCAGUUAAACAAAGUCAAGGUUAAGAACAAGUAUUCUCUUCCCAAAAUCAAUGACUUGUUUGACUAACUUCAGAGUGCCAGUUACUUUUCUAAGAUAGACCUUAGAUCAGGCUACCAUCAGCUUUGAGUCAGAGAAUGUGACAUCCCGAAAAUAGCUUUUAGAACUCAGUAUGGUCACUUUGAAUUCUUAGUCAUGUCAUUUGGUUUUACCAAUGCCCCAGCAACUUUCAUGGACUUGAUGAACCGUGUGUUUAAGUAGUACUUGGACAUAUUUGUUAUAGUGUUCAUUGAUGACAUUCUUGUCAACUCACUCAGUGAACAUAAUCAUGCAGACCAUCUCAAAAUAGUGUUGCAAACCCUCAAAUCCCAUCAGUUGUUUGCCAAAUUCAGAAAAUACAAAUUUUGGCUAAGGUCAGUAGCUUUCCUUGGUCAUAUAGUUUCUGGUGAUAACAUUAGAGUUGAUCCCUAAAUGACCGAAGCAGUAAGGAACUAGCCUAGACCCAUCUCUCUAUCAGAUAUUAGGAUUUUAUUGGGUUUGCUGGCUAUUACUGAUGGUUUAUUGAGGGAUUUUCGUCUAUUGCAUCCCCAUGUCUAGAUUAACUCAGAAGAAAAUCAAGUUUCAGUGGUCAGACUCUUGUGAGAAGAGUUUUCAGAAGUUGAAGACUCGACUCACUACAGCCCCAAUUUUAAAUUUACCAGGUGGUUCAGAUGGUUUUUGUAAUGCUUUCAGAGCUGGUUUGGGGUGUGUUUUGAUGCAGAGAGGUAAGAUCAUAGCUUAUGCCUCUAGACAGCUUAAGCCACAUAAAAAGAAUUAUUCCACUUAUGAUCUUGAGUUAGCAGCUGCUGUGUUUGGCUUAAAGAUUUGGAGGCAUUACUUGUAUAGAGUACAUGUUGAUGUGUUCACAAACCAUAAAAGCCUGCAGUAUGUGUUUUCUCAGAAAGAUAUAAACCUGCAUCAGAGAAGGUGGUUAGGGUUGUUGAAAGAUUAUGAUAUGAGUGUUUUACACCAUCCGAGCAAGGCCAAUGUAGUGGCUGAUGCUCUCAGUAGAUUAUCCAUGGGCAGUGUGGCUCACGUUGAGGAUGGUAAGAAGAAGUUAGUUCAGGAAUUUUAUUAACUUGCCCGAUUAGGUAUUCGGUUAGUUGAUUCAGCAGAGGGUAGUGUCUGGGUGCAGAAUAGUUUAGAACCAUCCCUAGUUUCUGAAGUAAAAGAAAAGCAGUACAGGGAUCCAGGUUAAUUAAACUGAAAGAGUCAGUCAGAGAUCAGAGAGUAGAGGUUUUCUCCUAGGGGAGAGAUGGUGUGUUGUGUUGCCAGGGUCAAUUAUGUAUGCCAUGUAUAGAUAACGUGAGACUGCAGAUUCUUGAAAAAACAUAUGGUGUGUGCUACUCAAUUCACCCAGGGGCCACCAAGAUGUACCGUGACUUGUGGGAAUCUAUUGGUGAAGUGGGAUGAAGGGAGACAUUGCAGAGUUUGUAGCUAAGUGCUCAAUAUGUUAGCAGUUUAAGAUCGAGCAUCAGAAGCCUAGUGGGUCUAUGCAGGAGUUCAGUAUUUCCACUUAGAAGUGGGAGGAAGUGAACAUGGAUUUUAUGAUGGGUCUGUCUCGUGCUCUUCACCAGCAUGAUUUGAUUUGGGUCAUUGUGGAUAGGAUGACCAAAUCAACUCAUUUUUUACCAUUUCAUACCUCUUAUUCAGCCGAGGAUUAUGCCAAGCUCUAUGUUAGAGAGUUGUUCACAUUGCAUAGAGUUCUGUUGUCCAUCACUUCAGAAAGAGAUACGCAGUUCAAAUCUCAUUUUUGUAAAUCAUUCCAAAAGAGUCUUGGUACCCAAGUUCACCUCAACAUAGCUUUCCACCCAUAAACAGAUGGUCAAGCAGAAAGGACUAUUCAGACUCUAGAAGAUAUGUUAAGAACAUACGUUGUUGAUUGUAAAGGUAGUUGGGAUUACCACUUGCCUUUGAUUGAAUUCGCAUAUAAUAACAGCUAUUAUUCUAGCAUUUAGAUGGCCCCAUUUGAGAUGCUUUAUGAAAGGAGAUAUAUAUCUCCCAUUGGUUUGUUUAAAGUGCGUGAGGCUGCAGUGGUAGGGCUUGGCUUGGUAUUUGAUACCUUAUAAAAAGUUUAGUUGAUUAGGGAAAUAUUUAAGACAGCUCAGAGCCGACAGAAAUCAUAUGCAGAUGUGCGAAGAAAAGAUCUAGAGUUUGAGAUUGGUGAUUAUGUGUAUUUGAAAAUCUUGCUUAUGAAAGGAGUGAAGAGGUUUGACCAAAAAGGGAAACUCAGUCUCCAAUAUGUCUGUCCUUAUCAAAUUCUCAGUCAUUUUGAAAAGGUGGUUUACGAGCUUGAGUUGCCUUCAGAUAUAGCUUCGAUGCAUCCAGUGUUUCAUGUCUCUUUGCUAAAGAAAUGUAUAGGUGACCCAGCAGUUGUAGUCCUUAUAGAGGGUAUAGGCGUUUAGAACAGUCUCUCUUAUGAGAAAAUCCUAAUCAAAAUCCUCGAUUAUCAGGUUUGCAUACUGAGGAACAAAGAAGUCCCUCUAGUCAAAGUUCUUUGGCGAAAUUAGUCCGUUGAGGGAGCUACUUGGAAGCAGAAGCAGACAUGAGGACCAAGUAUCCUCACCUCAUCUCCACAAUAGCAGACUUAGCUCAAGGUAACAGUCUUCCUUGGAUUUAUUCAGUUCCAUGUUUAGAAUUUUCUUUACGAGUUUGAUAUCAAUUUAGUUGCAUAACAUCCUCAUAUUAUGCAUACAUUCAUAAAAUAGCUCAGUCAUGUGUCAUUUCUUCAGAAUUAAGUCAUGCUUCAGUUGUGCAUGUUUAGUAUUUAAGCUCAGUCUAUCAGUAUUCUCAGCUUAGUCAGUCUCAUUCGAGGACGAAUGUUCCCAAGGGGGAGAUAUUGUAAGACCCCACAGAAUACUAAUCGUUUGAGUCCUUUAAAGAAUGCCAAAAGAGUUCCCAGACUUUGAAAAUUUCAGCUAAGUGUUAGGACUUAGUCAUUUCUAAAGUCCUCAAAUUUUGAGGAAUUUAUUUACAACCUUUACGAUAUGAGAAAGUUAGUUUUUAAUUUGAUUCAUGAUCAGGGAAGUCAAUAGUACAUAUUAGGUGAAUUUUGAAAUUUUUGGACAAGUGUAAGGGCGUGUUUGAAACUCCAAAACACUGACUCAGGGCGAUUAGCCCGCGGCGCUCUUCCCAGUUCGGUGCUGGGGGGAGCCCGCGAUACAGACCGCGAUACCCAACCCAAAGUAGCGCUCUAGAGCCCACGGUACCUUGCCCAGUCCAGUCCAGGUAAUUUCUGCAGCUUUGUUCCGCAUUUUUAAGGGCAAAGGGGUCAUUUUUCCUCCACCCAAUAGCUCCAUAACAUAAGAUUAAAUCCCCAAAUAACAUAAUUGCUCGUCCUUUUCACAAAAUCCUCUUAAGAACAAGCCCUUGCUUCAUCAAGUUCAAGAAUCAAGUCUCAAGAACUCACCACAAAUUUCAUGAAAUUAACAAUCAAGGUAUGUUAGAUGUUCAUCCAAGGGUUCCCUUCCACCCUCGAAGUUUAAGAACCUCUUUUAAACUACAAGAUAAUUAUUUUUAUGGAUUUCAUGUUGAAUUUGAUUGUAUUCAUGAUUAUGAUGUUGUUUGGGUUUCUAAUCCAUGUUUUAUGACAAGAUUCAUGUGAAGUAAUUAACCUAUGUAUAGUCAUGUGGAUUAUGUUAAAAGUCCCUUGAAAUUGUGAGUUUGGAUUGUAAUCAUGUUCCCUAUGUAUUUAUUAUCAUUAUGUGCAUGAACUAUGCUCCCCAAGUGUUUGAUAAAAUAUUUAUGUGGGUUGAAUUUGACUAAAGAAAUCCUAACAUGUUAGCAUGUAUACAAGUUUAUACCAUGUAUAUUUGAUAAAAUGCCUCAAUGGAUGAAUUAUGACAACAUGGCUAGUUAUCAUACUUUCAAGAUUUCGCUAUGUUUUACUUUCAAUGAUAUUGAGUCCUGGGGGUAUUCAAUACCCGAAAUCUAGCUUUUACUUAGAAUUUUAAUAGCUACGGAAUAGUCUCAGUGAUGUCACAUACAGUAGUACUCAGCCAGUUAUAGAACUCAGUGUAUUCAGUUAGUUAACAGAACUCAGUGAACUCAGUCCAGUUCAGUCAGUUAGCACGAUCAGUAAUAGUUCAGUCAAGCCUAGUACAGGGUUUGACCCUUAGUAGCAAUCCAUGCAUUACAGAACUACAUAGCCAGUGUAGGUUGAGAUGUCUUCCUGCCAGAUAAGGGUUGACCAAUCUCGUAUGAGUUUUCCUUCCAGUGAGGGUUGACAAAAUGUUUUCCUGCCAAAUAGGGUUAACUCAUAGCCAGUGUUAGUAUCCUUUGUCAAGGUGCUAACACCCUUCCAACUGGGGUCACACAUUGGACCGCAACUCAGUUUAUAAUCGGGGUAUGUCAGCUAGAUGAACACUCCCACUGUUAUAGUUUUAGUUUGAGUUUCAGUCUCAGUAUAAAAAAUCAGUUCAGUUUCAUAGAACCAGGACUACCAGGCACAGUCAUCCAGCUCAGUACGAAACUAAGUUUAGUUCCACAGAAUCAGCACUAUCAGAAAUAGUCACCCAGCUAUCAGUAACUUAGUUAUCAGUAAUUUAGUUACUAGCGAUCUCAAUUAUAGUAAAUUAGAUUUACAUGCAAUAUUGCAUAGCCAGUAUUUACAGCAGUUUCAGAUGUAUAUAUACUCUCAAUCAGUUAUACUCAUGUUACUCAGCCAGUUACUAUUCAUGCAUAUGACCCCUUGCAUAUCAGCCUACCUCACUUAGCAUACCAGUACAUUAAAAGUACUGAUGCAUACCCUUUGUUUUGUGCUAUGAUGUCUUAUAUCAUAGGUUCAGACGUAUGAACUCUUGACGUACUUAGCAGCCCAGCCUAUCAGCAGCAGAUUUAGUGGUGAGUCCUCAUAAUUCGAGGGCAGAGUUAUCAUUUUAGUAUUUCAUUAGUUCAGUAUAAUCAGUAGAUGGAGUUAGUUGGGGACUUGUCCCAUCAACUCUAUAUUAAGACAGUUAGAAUCUUUUAGAUAACUAUUUCAGACAGAUGUUCAGUUUUGUAUUUAUUUAUCAGUAUUUGAUUUCAGCUAUGAACCUUAUGGUAAAUUCAGCCUAAUUCCCAUAUUUAUUUUAGUACUAUUAUUCAGUGAUUGCAACAGGUACUAGUCAUGGGUUAGCUUAUGGUCUUUCGGGAUUAUGAGCACCGUGUGACGUCUGAGGUGCAGACUUGGGGCGUUACAUUCAGUUUUCACAAGCACUUUAUAUAAUUCAAGAUCCAACAUAGACACAAUAGACAAAAUUAACCUUAUUGAAGAAAAGCAUACAACAGAUAAAAAAAUUUCUUCACAAUCAAUUUUUGUCUGUUGUGUUUACCCCUUAGCUACGGGGAAAGCUUUAAAUCUUUUGAUACUACUGUCUUUCUUUCGCUUGAUCUUGAUAAUUCAUUUAUCUCCAAUAGUUUUUUGCUCUAUUGGUAGAUUAAUCAAUUCUCCCACUCAGUUAGAUUUUAUUAACUUCAUCUCCUCUUUCAUUAUUUUUAAUUAUUUUCUUGAAUAGGAUAUGUAAGAAUCUCAUUUAUAUUUUUUGGCUCUUCAUUAUCUGGAGUAAAUACUUUCCUUUCAAUCUCAAAUCGACAAUGAAAAAUUUAAGAAUAAAUUAUUCUUUGAGGUUGAGAUUGACAAAUUAAUUUAUCAAUUGGUGAGUUACUCCCACUUGGACCAGCAAUAUCACUAGAAUUUGUAGUAAUAGAAAUUGAUCCAGUGUCAUCAACAUGACUCUCAUUCAAAUCCAUUAGAAAACCAGUAGUUAGUUGGUCUGAUACAUAGUUUCAUGAAGAGAUAAUUCUCGACCUAUAUCGCACUACUUAGAAAAACCAUUCUCUAUGAAUGUAACAUCAAAUGACUUAACUUCAGUUCCAGUGUCACUAUCCUGUUCACCUAUGAACACAACCCUUUAUACUGUUCAAAAUAUCGUAUAAAAAUAUACUUUCUUCCUCUUGGAUAUAAUCUUUCAUAUUAGAAAAAGAGGUUAUGAAUAAAAGUAACAUAACCCUAAGACCUUAAAAUGUUCAAGUCAAACUUUUGUUUAGUUCAUAACUCAUACGACAUAGUUGUAACUGAUUUUUGAAGGGACACGAUUAAGUACAAAUACAGUAGCGAACAACGCAUCACCUCAAUAGGUCAUAGGCAAUUUUGUGUGUGUCAUCAUUGACCUAAUCAUGUUUAACAAGGUUCUAUUUCUUUAUUGUUCCGCAACACCCUUUUGUUGUGGAGUGUAAGGAGUAUUUAAUUGUCUUUGAAUUUUCUUUUCAUCAGAUAAUUGUUUAAACUUAUGACAAAUACUCUCUUUCUUGAUCAGUUCUUAGAGCUUUAAUUUUUAUUUUUUAUCCAAUUGAUUCUCAACUAAAUUCAUAAACUCAAUGAGCUCAACGCUUCAGAUUUGCGAGAAGUCAAAUAUACCUAACCGAAUCAAGUAAAAUCAUCAUUAAAAGUGAUGAAAUAAAUAACACCAUGUCUUUUUCUUACAUUCAUUGGAUCACAGAUAUCAUAAUGAUUUAAUUGCAAUAGAGUGUCCGUGCUUGCGCCUUUUUCAAAUGAUUUUCUUGAAGUUUUUCGACUAGGCAAGAUUUACAAAAAAAUAAUUCUACUUUAUCUAUUGUGCCAAAUGGUCCUCCUUUAGCAAAACGAUUCAUUCUUUGAACACCAAUACGACCAAGCCUAGCAUGUCAUAUAUUUACAUCAUUCUCAUAAUUUGAAGCUGAUGUAAAUAAGGAAAACUGUUAUUAUUAUUAUUGAGACUUUAAAUAACAUCCAAUCCAUCAAAAAAAUCGAUCAUAAAAAAAUCAGUAUCAUAUUUUGUCUUGGCCAAAUACAAAUUCAUACCAUGUUCAUGAAAAAAAUUAAAUCCUAACUUAAUCAAUAUUCUAACAAAACCUAGAUUUCGGCGUAUUAUUGGGGUAAAUAGUACAUUAUAUAGAUACAAAGUUCAUCCACCACAUAUUUCAAGUUUAAAGGUAUCAAUCUUUUUGACCUCCUCUGUAUAGUUAUUUACUAUAUACACUCAUUUGAAUUCUUUUGAAAUUUAUCAAAAAUUUAUGAAAGCAUCUCUUUUCAUCGCUAUAUGCUCUAUGGCUGCUAAGUCUACAAUUCACAUAGGAAGUGAUUCAGUUAAAAAGUAGAACAAGAAGAAUUUACAUCACAAUUUAAAUUAUUAAUAUUGUGUACCUUUUAGGCUUAGGACAAUCGCGAGCAAAGUGUCUUGUUCUCAUAGUUUUAGCACUUGAGAUUAGCUAUAUUCACUUUUUUCUUUUUCUUGGGAGCAGAAAUAUUUUUCUAUCCUUGUUCAUUAGUCUUCGACUUUUUUGAAACUUUUUCUUCUCUCUUAUUUUGAGAAAAUUCACCUCACUUGUGUUUCUCAUCAUGCUCAUAUUUUGAACCUAAACUAGUCAUAUGCACAUUUGUAACGACGUAGUCUACUCCUAAGCGCUCUUCCUCGAAUUUUAAAUGAUGCUUAGCAUCUUCCACAAUUUUGAUGCUAACAUUGUGGAUUAAGUGUAUUUUUAUGUUUUUCUAGAUUUGGGAUAAGGAACAAAUCACAACUUGAAGUUGUUUCUUUUUUAUCAACACAUGACUGGCAUCUUUUAGUUCAUUCACCAUAUUUGACAUAUGAUGCGGAUGCUUACACAUAGUGUGAUCAGGGUGUUACUUAUAAGUAUCAAACUUAAUAGUAAGAGUCCUUAGCUUAGCAACUGAAGUAUGACUAGAUUUUUAUUUUAGUUCAGGCUACAUGUCCUUGGCAUCACCAUACUUUUGAAAUUCUCUCAUAAUAUCAUUAUCCAUGUUACUUAGCAAUGUAGUACACACAAGAAUUUUUUUUACAAUCCUGAUAUGACUCAAGAUGUUUCACAUGUUGCGGGGUAUCACUAUUUUUAGAAAAUAUCAUAGACACAUUAAGAGCUUCAAGAGCCUCUAGCUCUUUCAGGACAUAUUGAAUUUUCAUACUCCAUAUUUCAUAAUUAUCACUGUUAAGCUUAUCAUCCUUAUUAAGCUAACGAAAAUAUUCUUUGUAGUAGUUGACAUACUUGUUAGACAAGUAUAAAGUAUCAUGACACAACUAUGUACUUUAUUUUAGCCUAAAUUUAUAUACAUAAUAAUUCUGAAAAAUAAUCAACUAUGUCAAUAUUCAUUUUUCAUCGGGUUUAGAUUCAAAAGUUCUCAAAGUUCCCAAUCAUCAUCCGAAUUUCAAUGUAUCAUAAAUCCAAAAUAAUCAAUCAUCUAAAAAUCACUUAUCUUAAAUCACGUAAAUUCAAUAUUAAACAUACAUAAAUUCUAUAACAAAUAUAGAAACAUUCAUUAGUUGAGAGUAACUACAUAAAAUAUUCAAUAAAUUAAUAUAUACGCAUGCAUUUUUUCUAUAUUAUGUCUCAUAGACAAUUAUUUAAGAAAAAUAUAAAUGCACCUGUAACUCAAUUUUUCCUUUCCUAUUUUUUUUUUUAAGAAUAAUUAUUUCUCAAAAUGCAGAAAAUCAUGUCACAAAUAUUACUAAUAAAGCACUAUCAUGCCACUGUUAGUGAAAAUUUUAAGACUAAAUAGCAAAAAUUAAUCUUAUAUGGACAAGAAAAGAUAAUCCACUGAAACUAUAUCACUAGACAAAUUUCUUUUUUUAACUCCAUUAAGUAAACAUAUUUUUGUUAGAGACAGACUCAGAAGGCAUAUCACUAUAAGAUUCUGACAUUGGUGUGGGUUAUACUCAACUUUAACCUAAUAAUUUUUAUUCUCUAAUAUAGUAAUCACCCAACUCGUGAAUUACUGGGUUGUCUCACUGUUACUAUCCAAUUCUCAGAUCAUGAUGACACCUACCAUAACUUACCAGUAGGUAAGCUAAUUCAUAUUUCUAAAUAAUUAACAACAAAUUAAUAAGAAAACAGAAGCAAAACUAAAUAAAAGAGAAGAAGAUAUAAGAAGGAAGUAAAUACAUUUUCAAAAUCUGGUGAGGUCAAUAUAAGAUCUUCUAAUAAAACAAGAGUACAAAGUAGAAUACAUAAUGAAUGUAUACAAAGCUAUAUCUGAUAUACAGAAAUAGAGAUCUAUCUAAUGGUAAGAGGGAGAGAAAGGACAACUCCAGACGUCAGGAGCUUACCCUAAAUCUACGAUCCAUCGCUGCUUCGUACAAUGCACACAUCAAUAAUGAUAAUUUGUACUAUAAUCUGCAGGCUACAAAAGUGUAGUAUGAGUACCAAACAUGAGGUACUUUAUAGGCAUCGAUCGAUUGAGCUCCAAAGAUAAUGUAGGUACAAAUAACAUGUAAAGCAGGAAUAUAACUAUAGACAACUACUUAGGAAAUGAAACUUAAAAGUGCUAAUGAAAAAGUAAAGGUAAACUAUCAGGUAGUAUCAGUAAUCAGGAACAAAGCACGAUUUUGUAAGUAACUAGUCCAUAUUCUAAGUAGUUAUUCCAUAUACGAUAGUAUAAUGAAUAAAGAGAUAUACAAUAUAUAAUUGUAGUAGGAAGAAAGGGAAUGAUAUAUGAAUAGUAGCCAAAGAGGAAUAUAUGUGACUACGCUAUAUGAAUAACCAAGUAUGAAGAAACUACUAUUAGGGAGCUUAUCCAAUAUUACCAAAAUCAUAAGCAAUAAGAGGUUUAAUACUAGUAUAAACAAGGUCUCUAACUGAAAUGUGCAUAGAAAAGAGAUAGUCUAAUGAUAAUCAAUUCUUACCAUAAUAAAGAAUAAGAGAACUCAAAAGUGUACCUAUAACCUCGGAUAUUAAUCUGUAGCCAACCUGCCAUGAACUAGACAAUAAUAACUAGUAAAUAUGUAACUGGCUAACCCAAAUAAAUAAUGACCUAUUAGGGCUCCAAUAAGCCGAGAAGGCAAAAGAAAAUACUCAAUAACCAACAACCAUAUCCUGUACCUAUACAACCCCCAUAAGACCGAUAGAUACAAGUGCCAAACAAUUAUACUAGUGGUAGACAAUCUAUAAUAAUGAAUGAAUGCAAGGAUAAUUCAGUCCAAUCAACCAAUCAAGCUCAAUGAAUGCAAGGAUAAUUCAGUACCAUCAAACAAUCGAGUGCUAGAAUGUACCAAGUGUAUAUGCCUCCUCCUGCUCAGUAGAUCACAAAGGCAGGACCUACAAUGAUCAUCUUUUUUGAUACCGUGACUCAUCAGAUGAAGGGGUACAUAGGGGACUCAAAAUAUUAAUAUACACUGUCAAAUUUCGAACUAGAGCUUUUAGUAACCAUCAUAAUCAAUCUACUCCAUCUAGUACCAGAGAAAAAUAAGAGUGUAAUAAUUUCUCGAACGUGAAUCGAGGCUAAAUGAGUAUAAGUUUAUAAAUUCAUUAUCCGAAAUCAAAUAUGGGACUAAAAUAAUACAAUAAUAUAAAAAUAGUUGAAAUCUCUCUCGACCAUAGUGAAAUAAGUAGUGAUAAAAUGAAGGAAUCAAUAAUGGAUCAGAAUAAGCCCCUGUCAAUUUUUGUAGUAGUACAUUUAGUUUAAAAUAUCAUAAUUCAGUAAUAAGGGUGGUACAACUUUUAUUUUCAAAGAAUCAAUUUUAAAAGCUAAUAAAAACUGGAAAUAAAUUUCUUUUUAAAAAAUGAUAGUAAAAUAAAGGUUCUAAUCAAAGUCGUACCACUAAAUAAGUGUGGAUGCGUCUAAAUGAAUGAAUGUCAUUAUCAGUAUCCAAACAAUACAACUCUAUGAGUCUAUGCAUCCAUAACUAUAUCUACAUCCCUUUGAAGGAAAGAGUAGCCACAGCCUCGGGCCCAACAAUAUAUAACUCAACAAGAUAUUAGUGUCAAAAAGUUGAAAACUAAGGUAAACGAGGACACAAAGCUACUAAAAGGGUCUAAUCAGAAAAUAUUUUCCAAAAUACUAGGUAAUAUAGUAAGUCUUUUACUAAAGGAUCCCUUAUGUAAAUCUAUGGUUAACCAAGUCUAUAACUAGGUGCAAUAGGAUUGCACAACCUUAACAUGUAUCCUAGUCUAAGGUUCAUAUCUCAGUUCUAUUCUAAAUUCAUUAAUUAGGUCAAGUCAUGAUAUAUUUUAGGUAUAAACAUAUUUUAUAAUUCCUACCUAGUAUGCAAAAUAUACAAUACACAAUCUCAUAUAGAUAAGUAGAUCAAAGCCUACCACCUCAAUGUCGACUAGCAGCCUCAACCAUCCACAAGUUGCCCGUCCCCUCCUCACAAUCUCUAAAAACUGCCACAUCAAGAACCUCGAAGAAUCAGAAAAAUUCUCCUAAGCACGAGCUUUGUACUAGAAUACGAACUUGAAUAACUUGAUAAAGAUAGUUGAUUUUAUUUUAAUGAUCAAAUACCGUAUCCAAAAGAUAAAUUUUUCUCCGACUUCUCUUUAACGUACACAUAUGAGUAGAUUUAUUAGGUGAAAUAAUGUAUUAUGCCUACUUAUCUUUUAUAAACGUAUGCACUAAAAUGAAAAUGGGCAAAAACUAAUUUUUUAUCUUGUGAAAAAUGAAAGGGAAAAGCAUGUAAAACAACGGUCACUUUUAAAUUGAACAAUUUGUUCACUACAAAUUAUAUCAUAAUGCCAAAACAUGGCCAUUCAUUAUGGACAUUCGGUGUAGACUCUUAAUUCUUCCACAUGAAAUAUUGUGGUGUUAAUACCACAAUUGACUUUAUCCACUUUAUUGGACAUGGUCCAUAUUAAGUAUGUACUUUGAUAUUUCAUAGGUUCAUGAUAAAAUAAAUACAAUAUUUUGAAUAUAUCAUAAUUAAUAAAAAAUUAUUUUGAAUAAAAUCUCUAUUAUAUAAUAAGAAUUUUUAAAGAAAAUUUUCAUAAGUAGCAAAUUUAUUAUAAACACGUAACUUUUUAUCAAAUCUAAAAUUUUACGCCAUUUUAGUAUUUAAAUACUUUUUAGGUUUAAAUUAGACAUUUUGAUGUUAUCUUAUUUUUUACUAAAGUUAUUCUAAAACUUUCAAAAACUACAAAAAUAGAGUUACAUUUUAAAUAAGUUUUUAUUUUUAUUAUUUAUUUAUUUAUUUAUUUAUUUAUUUAUUCUCUAAAAAAAGAAACAAAAUUUUUUAAACUAUAUUUAUUUUCUUCCAUUACUUUUUAACAAAUAAUCUAGUGAUAUUAAUAUUUUCUUAGUUAUAUUUAUAGAAUUACUUAACUUAUCUAUAUUUUAUUAUUUUUAAAUAAAUUUUAGUUUUAUUUAAAUUAUUAAUUAAAAAAAUCAAAUUCUAAACUACCCUAACCUCUUCCCACAAUUCCACUUUCACUUAACCUCCUCCCAGGAUCCCACCUUCACUUAACCUCUCCAACUCCCUCCCACACACAACACACGAAAAUGCACAUGACAACAAUAUAAACACACGCACACUUAUAUAAAGAAGACACCAUAAUACACUUAGGGAGAGACAAUAUACCUAGGAAGAAAGCAAAAUUCAUAGAACACACGAGAAAGGGAGUAAAAACAGAAAAAGGAAAAAAAAAUCAGGAGAGAGGACAAGGUGAAAUAUUCAAGAUUUUCAUUCGCGGUUUCAAGUUCGUGGCUCAUUAAUUAGGAAGUUGCAUUGACUUUGUUUGUAAAUUAAUAUUCACAAGAGGUAACUCUCAAUCCUUCUUUGCAUUAUGUAACGUCAUCAUUAUACGAGAAUUGAUUCCAAUAUUAUGAAGUUGCUCAAAUUUCACAUGUGUUUAAACGUUCAUAAUUUUACAUAGUUAAAUCCAGAGAAAAAUUGAUAAAUUAAAUGAUUAUUUUUGCAUGCUUAACUUAAUUCAUUUUUCCUUAAAUUGAUAAGAAAAUUGUUACGCAUAAUGUUGGUAUUGACAUAUAACGUGUAAUAUAUAGUAGGUAAAUGUUAGUUCAUAUAUUAGAUCUAAUAAAGGAUAAAUAGUAAUAUGAAAUGUGUAAGAGAAUUUGGGGUUUUAACAUUAUUUCUUUUGGCUCCACAUUGUUAAAAUUAAAGUUAGUCUAACAUGAAAUUGAAAGUGAAAAAAUGCACAAAUAGGAAAACAGAUUGAGAGAAAAGAUUUUUUUUUUUUUUAAAGUGAGAAGGAUAGAAAGAAUAACAUGAAGCAUGUCAAAGAAAUAGAGGAGGCUAGAGAGAAAGAAAAUAAUACACAACAAACAAGAGACAUCAUUGAAGAUUGUGGUUUGGAGUUCGAGUGUUUGGACCUCGAGUUUUCGUCGACAUCGUUCUUUCUUCUAUAUUUAGUCAAUUUUAUCACACAGGUUCUUAUUCGGUUCUUUUCUAUUCAAUUUUAGUAAUAUUAUUGUGAAACAAAGCAUCAAUAAGAUUUUGUGAGUAUUUUGUUUAUGUAUUGAUUAGUAUGUAGAGAUGAUAACUUACAUGACAUUAUCGUGAGAUGCAUGUUUUAGUUAUCCAAACACAUAUAUAUUUACUUCAAAAUUUGAGAGUUGAUUAAAAUGAUUAUUGAUAAAAUUGGGCUGAUAAAUAUAUAUAUAUAUAAUCUGUGAAUCUAUACCGCUGCUACCUUGUAUUAAUGCACUAGCAAUGGUUAGUGGGAAUAGGGUGUUUAAAAUGGAAAAAGAAUACCUUACUAUUUAAGAAUUUAAUUGAAAGUCGGCUACUGCGUUUCGAUCAUAAAUUAAUUAAAUGAAAAGAAUUUGGCUAAAUAUCAUUUUAGUUAAAUUUUCAUUUUUCACUUUGGUUUUCAAUGUGAAGUUUUUCCUUUUCUUUACAAAUACUAGACUAUAAACCUAAUUUGAUUUCCUUGGCAGAAGAAUUUCAACGAAUUUUGACUAACCAGUGAUUCAAUAAAAUAUCCUUUCAAAAGUCUAAUAUAAGUGAAAGCUAACGAUGAAGUUGGAAAGUCCUGUUACUGAUCAUUCAUUAUAAUAAAAUUAAUUACAUAGGAUUUUAAAAUCGAUCUAAUUGGGAUGGGUAUAUUUUUAAAUAUGUUAGAAUCUUAUUAGACUUGAGAAAAAUGGGAGCAAUCCAUAAAUGCCUCAAAGGCGUGAGAAGUAUAUCAAGACUUGUGAUAUGACCGAAAAGUACUGCUACCGGUAAGCUACUAAAAGCGUGUAACUUUUAGGUUAACAACUAUUAUAUAGCUAAAAAGAUUAAUUUAAGCCAGACGUAUGUCAUUAAAGCACUGUGCUAGAACCACGGGACUGAGGGGUGCCUCACACCUUCCCCUUGAUCAACAAAAUUCCUUAUCCGGAUUUCUAAUUUGCAGACCAAAGAGAAAGAGUCAUUUUCUUUUGACUAGGGAUUCAAUAAGGUGACUUGGAACAUCAUAUCUCAAUUUCAAGUAGAGACUCUGUAAAAUAAAUAAUCCCUUUUCAAAACAUCACUUUAAUUGGAAAAAUUCAUUUUCUCUAAAACCAACUCCCUAGCAGGGUUGGGGCAAUAAAAAUAGGGGUGUGACAGAUGGCGACUCUGCUGGGGAUAACCAGAACUUCAUCUUUUAGAUUGUCUUGUUUGGCUUUAUGUAAUGUUUUAUAUUGUUAUUUAUUGGCCUACAUGUGCUAUGUGUCUAAUUGUUUAUCGCUUUGAUAUUAUUUGAAUUACAAUAUAAACUGUCUUCUCUCGCGCACCCAUCGGAGUCUUCUGAGAUACUUUAUAUUCGGAGAAGCGGCAUACGCUCCCGAGCCUUGAGAUAUCAGAGAUGCGGCAUACGCUCCCGAGCCUUGAGAUACCAGAGAUGUGACAAUGCUCUUGGGGAGGAUUCUAUAGUCACACAUGAUUUAGGAUGGGAAGGGCCAAUGGUGAGGCCGGAAAGCACUGCUACCGGCGAGCUGUCUCUGCCUGACUCGAGUGCUCCGCUCAUUUUACAACCAGUCUAGACACCUACCUCCAUUAGGUUAAACCUAGUAGAAUUGAAACUUAGACAUGGUCAUCCCUAUUAGACUCAGUUUUAUUUGCAUCACAUGCAUUUUUGACUUAGCGGAGGCUCAACAAAGGUUUGAAUGUCUAAAAGUACUCUCUUUUUAGACUAUCCUUUUUCUAUACAACUAGUUGCAUUAACUGUCAAGCUGUUUCGAAUGUUGAUCAGCUUUAGGAUCCAUUAACAUAAGAGAUGGUGAAAAUUUCUCUUUAAAAUCUAUUCUUUAUCGAAACCUAAAUGAGGAGUAAGGUUUGCUUUCACAAAUAAAAGAAAAAAAUAGUAUCUAAAUUAUUGAGUUUGCCCCAAUCUGGAUGAACUAUACAUAUCUGAUUCUCAUUUUAGUGAGAUAUGUAGGCAAGCCUCCACAAGUUCGGUGAUUCUUAAAAACGAAGGUUACAUUUUCUUAAAGAAAAAAAGAGAAGAGUUUUGAUCUUUAUAAAAAAAAUCAAUCAAUUUGUUUUCAAAUUUUUUUAAAAAAUCUUUAUUAAUAAAUUCAAAAAAAAGUUAUUCUCUUUUCAUUAUUCAAAUAAAAAGUGGGUUUCUUCAUGUCUCCAGUUUUACGAACUACGGAUAUCUGAUUCUCAUCUCAAUGAGAUAGGUAGGCAAUCCUUUUUGGGUUCGGUGAUCCACAUUCAAAAAAAUAUUUAUUGAAAAAAGGUUGUUGGUUAAAAAAAUAAUAAAUACAUAUUUUAAUUUUUUUCUUUCAAAAGUACAAAAAACAUAUAUAUAAAUUGUUCGUAUUAAAUUUAAAAAAAAAGGAAAAUAAAAGUUUUUCGUCCUUAUUCAAAAUUCAAAAAAAAAAAAUAAUUUGCUAAUUCAUAUUUUAAGCUCCCUGAACUAUGUUUGACCUUAUUCUUAUUUCAACAAGAUACGUGGACAACUUUUCUUUUGGGUUCAAUCUCAUCUAAAAAAAUCUUGACUUAGUAAUUGCUACCAACAUACUUAAAAAUAUGAAUUUAAAAAAGUGUUAAAUUAUAAGACAUGAUAGAGUGGACCAACUUGAUUGCGAACUGUAGAUUCUUUUGGUACCUUUAAUUAUACUUAAGUUGCACUUGUAAAUUUUUUUUGUUCUAAGUCAAGUUUAAAAUAAAUUGUACCACAUUGUUUCAUGUGCAUCGUGUGGUGAGCUUUAGAUUGAAAAUUUAAUGACAUCGCUCUGUUGACUAGAACUUGGCCUGAAUAUUUGUUGUGGUGAUAUUUUGAGCAACACUUAACUUGAGAGAGGAUUGUAGGCUUUCUUUAACUCGAUUAUGCCUUUGAAGCUUACCGAAUAAAAUGUAAUCCCUAGACUUCUCCUUUUGAAUUUAAAACCUUUUAUUUGAUACCCAAAUCUUAGCCUAUAUCUUUAUUUGAGUGCAUAAAUGCACAAUCUAUCUUUUGGCCCCAUCUUCCUCAGUGCAUUGUUAAAUAUCUAAAUCAGAUGGCAAAGCAAUUGGAUAUGCAAAUAUUCAAAAAAAAUCUAUAGACAAACAAAAAUUUUCACUCCAAGGAAAAAGAAAAGACAAAAGGGAAAAAAAGAAAAAAAGAGAAAGAAAAUCAUCCGACAAGAAGUUUAAAAAGAACUCCAGAAAAAAAAGGUAAUUUAAAAACUAACUUUGAUGGAAGGAAAAAGAAACAAAAAACGACAAAAGAAAGCAACAAAUCAAAUGAAGAUCAACUGCAAAAUGCAAGUAUUGAGAGCAAAGUGCAAUGCUUAAGGAGAGAAUAGUCACUUUAUCCCAAAUGAAUAUCCUACCAUCCCUAAGCUAACACUACAAGUCAAUGACAAGUCCUACUUGACUUCAUUUUGAGUGUUCUCGUAUUAGUGGAUACUUACAUAAUGGCCAAACUUAUGGUAUCUCAUUGCAUGCAUUGAAUAUCUUUCUUAGUGUGAGUGCUUCUUGAACGUCCUAAAAUUUAAACUCUUUUAUGGUGAGUGAAUUAGGACUUUAUUUGUGGUAAGGACACUAAAAACAUGAGGAUAAGAGUAAUUUAAACGCUUGAUUUGGAGAAAGACAUAUACAUCAUGUAUAAAAUUUAAGUAUAUCUGAGGUAUUAAUUGAAACUAUAGUGAUUGCUUUUGAGUUGACCUUGGUUCUUAUUUAAAAGUAAUUCGAGGUGAAUCCUAUGCAUAAAACUAAUUUUUGGUAUCAAUCGAAGUCAAGAAAUAAGUUAUUUUCAUUCUUCUGAUCUUUACAAAGCACAUACUUUCAAAAAAGAAUGAAAUAAAAAAACAUUAUGUUUUUGUGAACUACAUUAGACCUAAUUCUUGUUAUACAAGAUACGUAGGCAGUCCUACAAUAGGGCUCAGUCUUGCUGAAUAAAUAUUUUUACACAUCCCUAAAAGAUAUAAUACCGGGUAUUAUACCUAAAAGGUACAAAGCACAUACUUUCAAAAAAGAAUGAAAUAAAAAAAUAUUAUGUUUUUGUGAACUACAUUAGACCUGAUUCUUUCAAUACAAGAUACGUAGCCAGUCCUACAAUAGGGCUCGGUCUCGCCGAAUAAAUGUUUUUACACAUCCCUGAAAGGUAUAAUACUGGGGUAUUUUUUAAAAAAAGUCAAUAGAAUUUCAAAGUUCCUCACAUCUAAAAUUGGGGCAUUUUUUUUCAAAAAAAAUUGAGAAAAAAAUAUAUAUCAUCACUUGCCUUAGCAGGGUAAAAUAUCCCCCGAUUUCACUUUAGGGAACAAAACUCCCUAAUAUUCUUCCUUAAAUCUUCAUAGGGUACGAUAUCCCAUAGUUGUCAUUUUUUAAAAACAAAAUCAUAUUUGUUUGUUCUUUCAGUCCUUACAAGGUACGACAUCCCUCGAUUAUCACUUUAGAUGAAUAAAUUUUCUAUUUUUAUACUUUAAGUCUUCAUAGGGUACGACAUUCCCUAGUUGCCACUUUAGGAGACAAAAUUUCUUAUUUUCCUCCUUAAGUCUUCAUAGGGUACGACAUUUCCUAGUGGCCUUUUAGAAAAUGAAAUUUUCUAUUUUCUCCUUUAAUUUUUCAUAGGGUAAGACAUUCCCUAGUUGCCAUUUAGGAAAAGAAUUUUUCUAUAUUCUCCUUUAAGUCUUCAUAGGGUGUGACAUUCCCUAGUUGCCAUUUUAGGAAACAAAAUUUUUUAUUUUCUCCUUUAAGUCUUCACAAGUACGACAUUCCCUGGUUGUCAUUUUAAGAAAAAAAAAACUCUCUAUUUUCUUAUUUAUAUCUUCAUAGGGUACGACAUCCCCUAGUGACCUUUUAGGAAAUGAAAUUUUCUAUUUUCUCCUUUAAGUCUUCAUAGGGUAAGACAUUCCCUAGUUGCCAUUUUAGGAAAUAAAAUUUCCUAUUUUCUCCUCUAUGUCUUCAUAGGGUAAGACAUUUCCUAGUUGCCAUUUUAGGAAAUGAAUUUUUCUAUCUUCUCCUUUAAGUCUUUAUAGGGUACGACAUUCCCUAGUUACCAUUUUAGGAAAUAAAAUUUUUUAAUUUUCUCUUUUAAGUCUUCAUAGGGUACACCAUUCCCUAGUUGCCAUUUUAGAAACCGAAUUUUCUUAUCUUCUCUUUUAAGUCUUUAUAGGGCACGACAUUCCUUAGUUGUAAUUUUAGAAAAUUAAUUUUCCUAGCUUCUCCUUUAAGUCUUCAUAGGGUACGACAUUCUCUAAUUUCCAUUUUAGGAAACGAAUUUUCCUGUCUUCACCUUUAAGUCUUCAUAGGGUAUGACAUUCCUUAGUUGCCAUUUUAGGAAAUGAAUUUUCUUAUCUUCUUCUUUAAGUCUUCAUAGGGUACGACAUUCCCUAGUAGCCAUUUUAGGAAAUAGAUUUUUCUAUCUUCUCCUUUAUAUCUUCAUAGGGUAUUCCCUAAUUGUCAUUUUAGGAAAUGAAUUUUUCUAUCUUCUCCGUAGUCUUCAUAGGGUACAACAUUCCCUAGUUGCCCUUUUAAAAAAUAAAUUUUUCUAUCUUCCUUUUUAAGUCUUCAUAGGGUACGACAUUCCCAAGUUGCCAUUUUAGGAAACAAAUUUCCUAUCUUCUUCUUUAAGUUUUCAUAGGGUACGACAUUACCUAGUUGUCAUUCUAGAAAACAAAAUUUUCUAUUUUCUCUUUUAAAUCUUCAUAGGGUACGACAUUCCCUAGUUGCCAUUUUAGGAAACAAAAUUUUAUAUUUUUCUCUUUUAACUCUGCAUAGGGUACAACAUCCCUAGUUGAUAUUUUAGAAAAUAAAUUUUCCUAUCUUCUUCUUUAAGUCUUCAUAGGGUACGACAUUCCUUAGUUGUCAAUUUAGAAGACAAAAUUUUCUAUUUUCUGUUUUAACUCUUCAUAGGGUACUGUUGACAUCCAAUUUUGGCUGUACAUACUUAAAAUUAGCACUUUAGGCUUUAUGAUCAUUAAAGUACAUAAAAUAUAAUUUUUCACACUUUUUUAUAAUUUUUUAGCAAACGAGCGAUAAUCAUCAUUUUUUAAUUUUUUUUUAUCAAUUUAUUGUCAUAUUUUAACUUUGCAUAAUUUAUUGAUAAUUAUUCUUAGUUUCGUAAAUUUUAGAAUUUUUAUUAAUUUAUUAUUAUUUUAAUAUUUUUGCACAGUCAUCUGCAUAUGUACAUAGCAUAACACUACAAUUCUUUCUUACAUAUUAUAAGUUUAAAUGUUUAUAGUGUAAUAUAGGUUUUAGAUGAUUUUGUUAUAUUUGUUAUUUUCAUUUUUCUGUGAUUAUACAUCAGCAUUCAUAUUUUUGUUCAUUAUUUAAUAUGAUCUGUAAAUAUAAGUCGACUUAAUUAUUUUAAAUACACAGAGAAAUAAAUUAGUCAAGUCAAAAUCAUGUCAAUUUUUUUUAAAGAUGACAAUUGAUAUGAUUGAUUAGAUCUUUUACCCUUUAGUCAAAAUACUAUUAUUUAAUAGUUAAAACGGGUAUUUUUUUGGUUAAUAAUGGACACCACUUUUUAUUAUAAAUAAAAUGGGAGGACAAUUAUUUAAUAGACACACUACACGCACAAACACACCAAAAAAUAUCAAUCUCCCUCUCCCUUCUCUUCUCUUCCUUUUUUUCUCAAAACCAAUCUGCCACCCACCACCCCUGCCGACGUCGAAGUCCGGCAAAACCUCCACCACCGCGCUACCCUCCCUCUCUUUCUCUUGUCUUUUUUGUCGCAUCUCGCUGGAUGUAACGAUCGGCGAGCUGCCUCCGGCCACCACCAUCACUGUAGCCUCUUUUCCUCUCCAUUUUCAUUGCUUCUAUGCUGGAAGUGAUGGCCGGUGAAGCUCCCCAACGAGCAGCCACCAUUAUGGCUAGUUUUCCUCACCCUUUUCUCCUUUUUCCACCGCUGCCUCACUAAAAUUGAUGGCUGGCAAGCUCCCAACGCAUCACCACUGCCAUUGCCUUAUCAGAUAUGGCCAGAUCUGGGCAAGAUUUUAUUUCUUUGGUGUUGCUCCGGUGAAUACCAUUGACGCAAUGCCACCAACAAUCUUUGUUGUCUCCGAUUUCAUUAUUUAUUUGGUUACUAUGCUUUAUUUUCUUAAAAUAGAUCUAUGCAUUUCUUGUUCUCUAACUAUGCUUGACUGAUUUUGGGUUGCCUUUCAAUAUUUUUGGUGGCCUUGAAUUUUCGGGCAUCCUCCUUGUUUUCUCUAGAUGAAGCUACUACUAAGUUUGCUCAUUUUUGGUAGUUCUAUUAUUGUUUAGCCGCUGUUUUGCUACUUGUGGACUGAUUUUUCUCUCACUUUUACUCUUUUACUGCAUUUGAUAUUUUUAUUAAAUUGAUAACGAAUAAAUGCUACAUUAUUGGCCGAUGAAGAAAUUUUUUGUCAAUUUUUUAGGCCUUCACAAAUAAAAAGACGGAUAUUGCGUAUAUAAAUACGUAAUAAAAUAAAUAUUUUGGGCGAUGAUGGAAUUUUUGUAGCAACGCAAAAGUUUUAUGAUUCGUAUCUUGGUAAGACAAUUUAGGACGGCUAAUAAAUUGAGCAACCAUUUCGUAGACAUGCGUACCUAAAAUCUGAUCAAAGCCCACACUUUUAUUGAAAAAUCUUAUUUUUUUAUACAUAUAUGCACACACAUCUUCUCAUUUUUUUGAUAAUUAUUUAUUGGUUAUUAAUAUUUUUAUUACAAGUGUUUAUACAGGUUAUUGAAAAUAUUUAUCAGGAAUGACAUGCAAAGAAGACUUUAAUUUUUGUGUUUCAUAUUUUUAUAUUAUUACAUUUGUAUAAAUAGCAAUUAUAGUGAAAAUUUAAUUUUUGGGGCGUUAGGCGGGAAUGCUUUAACUUAUACUACAUUCGUCACGCAUUUACGCAAAAUUUAGGCAGUUACUAUUUACUUAAAAGAAUUAAAUUGAUUUAGAUAUUUAAUCAAAUAAUUUUCAUUUUUUUACAUUAAACAUGGCUUAAUCUUUUUCUGUAAAAUAAAAUUUCAUUAUCUAAUCUUUUCUUUUGUUUUUCAUACAUAUUUUCAUGUACUUUCGUUUACCUUCAUACACUUUUAUACACAUAUUUUUUCGAUAACACAAUGUAAUUUACACAUUCUUUAUACAUAGAUUGUUUAUUUUAAUAUACAUUUUAUAGUUGCAUUUAGAAACAUUGAUUUUUUUCCUCUUUUAAUAAUAACCUAAGUCUAGCCGGAAGUAAAUUGAAAAAGAAUAGCCAAGCAAUAUGCCCUACAAAGUGUAGUUUUUUUUCAGCCUCUGAAAACAUAGGAAAACCUACUUUUCGUACUCGAUGUUUAGCCGGAUCUGAUGGUCGUGACGGCUGUCGGCCUGCCUCCAACGACGAAGGCUGGUCAACCUAGUCAACCUACUGAUGAUACUCCAAAAACAUUUUUUGCUAAUGUUUUUCAAAAUCCUUGUAAACCUCACAAGAAUAUACCAAUGAAAGAAAUAUCAUAUUUGCAUAGGGAACCAUGUAUUAUUUGGGAGGAGGAAGAGGCCAAUCAAAUGAUUGUCAAUGAGAAUCUCCAAUAUGCUUUCAUUGGAAAAUUUUCUUAUGGUUGACCAGAGGUAGAGGAUUUAAGGUGCUUAGUUCCAAAACAAUGUGAUUUGAAGGGAGAAGUCAAUAUUGGGCUUUUAAUCAAUAGAUAUGUUCUGAUAAGGGCGGCAAAGAUUGAAGACUAUGUUCAUCUUUUAUUAAAUCCGCAGUUUUACAUCACCAAAAAUUAUUGGUCUUACCCAAUGAGAACACUGAAAUGGGAUCCAAUGUACAAUCCAUGGGAGAAAACUACGACUGCAAUAGCUUGGAUUUCUUUUCCCUCCCUACCACCUAAUUUAUUUAUAAAGGAAGUUGUGUUCUCUCUAGCAGCUAUUGUAGGAAAACCUUUGCAUAUGGGUUUAGCUACACAGAAUAAGACUAGACCAAGUUAUGCUAGAGUCAACGUAGAAGUAGACUUACUUGGAGAGUUUCCUAAGAGAAUCAAUAUAAGGAUGAGAAAGAAAUCAGGAGAAGUUACAGCGAAACGGAUUUAGAUUAGAUAUGACUAUGUCCCCAAAUAUUAUAAAGAAUGUAAACGCCAGGGACACAAUGAAAAGAAUUGCUAUGUUAUACAUCCAGAAUUAUAUCUCAAAGAAGAAAAAGAAGGGAUAGAGGAGAACAGUGAUCAGAACAAAAAAUUUAACAAUCAAGAAGAGGACAAAGAAAACAUGAUUACAAAUGAAGACAAAGAAAAAUCCAAUGAGGAAGGUGAAAGGAAAUUUCACAACAAAGAAGAAGGUAGAUAAGGAGAAAUGGAAAACAACCUUAUAGAGGAAGACCAAAAAUGCUAUGGAACCAAAGAUCUCCUGCUACAAUUGAGGAGGAAUUUGCAACAAAAAACACCUUUGGGGCCUUAGAAGAAAAGGAGUCAGAACAGGUUGGCAACAAAAAAAUGCAGGGGACAUAGGGGAUUACAAUGCUAAAGAUCAAGAAAACCAAAGAAAUGAAACAACUUCUCCACAAAGUAAUAACAAAAGUGUGAAAAAAAAAGAGAGAAGUAAAUGAAAAAAAAAUCUCAAAGCUCAGUAAAGGAAUACAACAUUCAGUUGACUCAAGCAAAGAGACAGGGAAUUCAACAGUAAAGGAAAUAAAUGUGUAGAGUAGUGAUAACAAACAAAUGAUAACAGAUAACCCUGAAGAUGAAAAAAUAAGUAAAGAGAUAACAGAUAUUCCCAAAAUUCAGUAUCUUUCACAUGAAGGAAUAUAGAGAAGUAGGAUUUAGAGGAAGAUGAAGAUCUGGAGGCAAAUAUAUACCAAAUUGGUCGAGAUGGAGAUUUAUCUCCAAGGAAAAUUGGUCAUUUAAAAGAAAGAAAUAAGAAGGAACACAAGAAUACGACAGUCAAGUCUCAUAUUAAUACAAGGAGUAAGACAAGUUCUAAAACCACUAGUGAUCAAUGAUUAAUAGAGUGAUUUUUUGGAACAUUUGAUCUGUUAUAACUCAAAGUUCUUUUGACAGACUAAUAGAACUACAUAGAAGGAAUCAAUACUCUUACAUUUCUUUAGUGGAACUGUAAUACCCCGUGAUUUUUUCUAGCUUAAAUGCAUACCGAAAAUGACCAUGAGUAGCUUUUAGAAUGAGUGGUGUUUAUUUUGUGUGGAAUUAUUUAGAUUUGGACUUUCCAUGGCGUAGAAAAUUGAAUUAGAUUUCCAACGAUAUAAGAUUUGCCUAACCGGAUAAGAAGUUAUGGCUAUUUAAAGUUCCAGUCAUGAAACACCAUCAUUUAGACCUUUAGCACACCGCGGAGCAGUGUCAAAUCCCAAUUGUCAUUUUCUAGUGGCCCUCCAUGAUAUUGGUGCAUCGCAGAGAGACCCAAUUUUCCAGUUGUCAAUUUCCAGAGGUCCAACGCGAUAAUGGCGCAUCGCGCCAUGUGCUAAAAUGAAAUUUCAAAGGGGCACCACGAUGGCUCUACAUCGCAGACUCUACCCAGUCCAUUUGUCAAUUUCCAGUGAGCUACCGCGACAGUGGCGCAUCGCGGUGGCCACCCGGAUCAGAAAAAGAAUACAUUUUUUAGUUUUGUUUAAUAAUUUAAAAGGGUAUUUGGAAAAUCCCCCAACCCCCAAUCCGUUCAAAAACAUAAGAUUACUCAAAUAUCAAAGCACUUUAUGCCCUAUUCAUUAUUCUCCUCAAAGCAAAACCCUAGUUCAUUAUACUUCCUCUCCAAAAAAACUCAGAAUUCCUUCAUUAAUUCUCCAAGAUACUCCAAAUUUAAGGAUUCCCAAUACAAGAACACUAAGAAUUCAUCUCCAAAGCAUCAAUAGGAAUCCAAGAUUCAAGCCUUUCGUCAAAGAUCAUCAAUUAAGGUAUGCGGGAUUUGAACCAAGAUAAUUCUUUCAUCCUUGUGUCAAAAACUUUGUUUUAAUUACAAACUUUCUGAAUUAUAUAUGAUUUUUCAUGAAUUUCAAGUUGGGGUUUAUACCUAUUAUCAUUAUUUGCAAGAUUAUGAGAUUUUCCAUGAUUUAGAAGUUGAAUUACGUGAUUAUGUUUAUGUUUCCAUCUAUAUUACUGAAAUUUCCAGAUUUUGAGUUGAUUUAUCAAUAUCAUAUUGUUGACACUCAAUUUUUGCUCUCCGUGCCUAAAAUUAACGUCUUCGGGCUUUUUUUUCGUUAAAGGGCACGAAGCAUAAUUUUCACAUCUUUUUAUAAUUUUUUGAUAAAUUAUUGAUAAUUAUCCUUUCUUUAGGAUUUUGAUCAAUUUUUGUCAUAUUUUUAUUUUUUAUAAUUUAUUAAUAUUUUUUCUAAUUUUAGAAUUUUUAUCAAUUCACUAUCGUUCUUAACAAUUUACAAUCACCCGCACACAUACACGACAUGACGUUAUAUAUAUAUAUAUAUAUUUUAAUAAUAUUUUUAAAUUAAUUAUAUUUUAAUAAUUUUAAUGUUCUUUACAUUUUUUCAUUCAACAUCUAUAUUUUAUAGUCCGCAAACGCUGAGUCGGAUCAAUUAUUUUUGCGCAGUAUAAUAAUUCGACGUCUUAUCACAUUCGACAAUAACUACACAAUAAUGUCUUGUCACGUCCGAUAAUGACCACUUAGUAUUGUCUUGUCACAUCUGACAAUGACCACUCAAUGACACUACCCUUUGGACAAUAACUCUAUCCAUUGGUCAAAAGGGUGAACAUCCUUUGGUCAAUAUCUUAAGAACUAAAGGAUGUGCUAUUAUUAAAAGAGGGAACACCCCUUUAUCCAAUGGAUAAUAGGAGUGCCCAAUUUUAUUAUAAAUAGGCAAGGAUGGAAGACAAUUUUAUUCAUCUUUUCUCUCUACACACACAUUUUCAUACACCCACACAUAUUUUUUCUCUCUCUCAAAUACAUACACAAAANNNNNNNNNNNNNNNNNNNNNNNNNNNNNNNNNNNNNNNNNNNNNNNNNNNNNNNNNNNNNNNNNNNNNNNNNNNNNNNNNGUAUUUCUUUGUUUAUGGAUGCUUAAUGAUGGUUAUUGUCACUUCUCAGUGAAUUUUCACAUUUUUCAAUCAUGUUUGAACUAUUAUUUCUAUUUUAUUACAUUACUCUGUUAUACAAUUAGGAAUUUUAUGCUAUUUUUGUUAUUUUCAAUUACUUUGUCAUGGCUACAUCAUUUUUAUUCAUUAACUUUGACCUUUUUGUUAUUUUAUUAUUUUAAUCAUUGAUAAUCGUUUGAAUUUCUAUGUAUGAUUUUGAUAUGCGUUUAGUGACUUUGUUAAUUUUUCGUCAUUUUUAAUUGUUAUUAAAUACCAUUAAUUAUUUGGCCGAUGAAAAUAUCUAUCCGUCGGAUACUUGAGGUCACUCCAUUACAAAUGACGAAUUUUAUUUUCAAUAGAUUGCUAUUUUAAAUCAAAAUAAAUGCUUGGCCAAUGAUAUUAUCUCUCCGUCGGAUACUUGAGGCCACCCCGUGACAAAAGAUGGAUUUUUAUUUCUCAAAGUUUACUUAUUUACAUCAAAAAUAAAUAUUUCGCCAAUGAUAUUAUCUGUCCGUCGGAUACUUGAGGCCACCUCAUUACAAAGACGGACUUUAUUUUUCUCAAGUUUAUUUAUUCAUAUCAAGUAUCAAUACAAUGGCCGAUGAAAAAUUAUUAUUAAUUUGAGGCCUCCGUAAAUAAAAGACGGACUUUACGUGUACAAAUACGUAAUAAAAUAAAUAUUUUGGGCGAUGAUGAAAAUUUAUAACAAUACAAGAUUUUACAAUUCAGAUUUUGACAAGACGAUUUAGGACGGCCAAUUAAUUGAGCAAUCACUUCGUAGUAAAAUGAUUUAGGACGGCCAAUUAAUUGAGCAACCAUUUCGCAGUCAUGACUUUAACUGAGCCCACUUUUUAACAAAAAAAUAUCUUUUUAAAUAUUUAUAUACACACAUACUUGCUCAAUUUAUUUUGAUUAUUAUUUAUUAGUUACUAACAUUUUUACAAGUAUUUAUACAGGUUAUUUGGAUUACUCGUCGAGAGUUGCAUUCAAAGAGGCCCUUUUAAUUUUGUAUUGUAUUUUUAUAUUUGUACAAAUGUUAUUAUAGUGAACACUUUAUUUUUGGGGUGUUGGGCGNNNNNNNNNNNNNNNNNNNNNNNNNNNNNNNNNNNNNNNNNNNNNNNNNNNNNNNNNNNNNNNNNNNNNNNNNNNNNNNNNNNNNNNNNNNNNNNNNNNNNNNNNNNNNNNNNNNNNNNNNNNNNNNNNNNNNNNNNNNNNNNNNNNNNNNNNNNNNNNNNNNNNNNNNNNNNNNNNNNNNNNNNNNNNNNNNNNNNNNNNNNNNNNNNNNNNNNNNNNNNNNNNNNNNNNNNNNNNNNNNNNNNNNNNNNNNNNNNNNNNNNNNNNNNNNNNNNNNNNNNNNNNNNNNNNNNNNNNNNNNNNNNNNNNNNNNNNNNNNNNNNNNNNNNNNNNNNNNNNNNNNNNNNNNNNNNNNNNNNNNNNNNNNNNNNNNNNNNNNNNNNNNNNNNNNNNNNNNNNNNNNNCUUUACAUAAUUUUAAAUAUUUAUAUUAUUUUAUAUUUAAUACAUACACUUCUACAUUAUUUUUUAUACCUCCUCCCUCUUUGAAAAAUUUAGUCUAGCCGGGUACCACACUUGUGGAUUCUGAAGGAUGCCGAACCCUUUUCCUUCGGAAUAACUUGAACCCUUACCUAGAAUCUCAAUUGGUUUUUUUGCAGACUAAAAACAUUAAUCGCAUGUUAAUACUUCAAUAGGUUUCCUUAUUUUCCUUAAAAAUUAGGUGGCGACUCUGUGCAAAUUUUCAUUCUUUUAGAGUCCAUAAUGUCGUGCUCGUUUUAACCUCAGGUAAAAAUAGGGUAUGAAACAUAUUAUCAAGCAUGAACAUUUUGAUGAUUUAAUCUAAGAUUGAUGUAUGGGUCAUUUAUCCCAAGAUUGAUUAUGGUUACUUUUAGAAAGAUGAUGCUUUAAACAUCUUGUAAACAUAUUAUUUUCAUAUUUUCAGAAAAACUUUGAUCUUUGAUCAUUAAUUUAGCUAUGGAAUCCGCUUUACAGAAUUUAAAUCAAAUUUAUUUACAGAUUUGAAAAUUUAAAUGCAUAUUUGGUUUUAGAUAAACCCGUAUGCUAGUUUUAAAAGUGGAUUUCCAACAGAAUGAGCAUAGCAAAAAAUAAGAGAGUAGUAUUUAGCACUGAGUGGGAAGUGUGGGUUUGGCGCAUUCUACUAUCACAGAACUACGUAGACAACGAAGGUACAAAGUAUCAGAUUAUUUCCACUUCUAUGUGGAUGACAGUUACUGAUGUGAUCAUUUAGCUCAGGUUAUACUCCUUGGCAAGAGUAUGACACCUCUCUCCAACAUAAGGUUUCUUUCUUAGGAAGACGAGACGUUGGACUCCAUGUUAGCUCACAUGGUUUAUGUCAGUUAAGAAAACCUUCCUUCAGAUAAAGUAAUUUCUUUAAAGCUCUAAGAUGAAGUAUUUUUUAGAUUUUAGAAACUAAGUGUAAAGGUUCACAAACUUACUCAGAUAUUACUUUACUUAAAAUUUUAGUUACAGAAUUUCAGCUUUUAGUUUUCAGACAUAAAAGAUGAACCCUUUUUCACUUAGCCUAUAUGGUUUGACAACAAGAAUAGAAUACAAAUUUUAGAACUAAGUGUAAUGGCUUACAAAAUUUCGAUUACAUGUUUUAUUAUUCAUGAUUUGACUUUCAGUUUUCAUAUUACUCAAGCUUGCGUGAGCCAUUUACAUUUAGCAUACAUGAUGUUUUCUAUAAACUGUGAUGCUAUUAUUUUCUUAUUGCAUGCACCUCCAUAUACUCAGUAUAUCAUCAAAGUACUGAUCCACAUAUACGUCUAUGUGCUAUAUUGUCUCAUAAUGUAGGUUCAGGUGCUCAGUCUCAGCAGUGAAAGUGAUUAUUGAGAAUCUCAUCUACAUCCCUGCAGUUGGUAAGUCCUCUUAGUUCGGGGACUUAGCUAUUCAGAUUUCCAGUUGCUAGUAAAUAUUUUUAUUAUUCUCUUCAGACAGUCUGAGUCAGCUGAGGCCUGUUCUAGUGACUCUCUAGAUUUAAUUAGUAGAGGCUCGUCGGACUACAAGAUUCACUCAUAGAUUUCAGAUAUCGUAUUUAGAUCAUUCACUAUUUGUUUUAUUAGAUUGAUGUGAUCAACAUUUUUCAGAUAUACUCAGACUUUUCAGAUGGUUUUUCAUAUUUGUCAAUAUCAUAUAUUUAUUUUUCCUUAUUUUGAGAUUCAGAGUUAUUUAAAGGUAGCCAGGGUUAGCUCAGGACUACUUGUAGUUUGGAGCAUAGUGUGGCAUCUUGGGAACCAAAUUUUGAGGUAUUACAAACUUGGUAUCAUAGCCUAAGGUUUAGAGAGUCCUAGGAAUUCAGACAAACCACGUUACAUAGAGUCUUGAUCAUCAGUAUGAAGCGCGCCACAUCUAUGAGCAAGAGGCUAUGGAGUAUUUUAGGAAAUCAUCUCUUCUUUCAUAAUCCAUCGUGCUUACAACUAUCUCUAUCUGCUAUUAACUCAUGCUUUUUUAUGAUAGAAUAUGCCUCCAAUUAGAUCUAAUACGCAUAUAAAUGAUAACCAACCACCUCAACUCACAGAUCCUUUGAAUGAGAAUGUGUCACAUACAGAAUUUUGUGCUGCCUUUCAAGUGCUAGACCAAGCGGUGACAGCAAAUUUUUAGGGUAACCAUUAGGCUAUAGCCCCACGUCAGCAAGAUGGGACUUAGCCACAGCUAGAAUUCAAGAUUUUAUGAGAAUAAACCCACCAGAGACCCACAACUUUAUCUAUUUAAAGUGAAGAAAAUCACCCAAAUUAUGCAUAUUUCUGAAGAAGAAAGUCUAGAGUUAGCAUCCUAUAGACUAAAGGAUGUUUCUUAUGAUUGGGUAGUGAUGUCGAAAAGAGUAUAGGGGAAAAUCCAGCUCGCAUGACUUGGAAGAUAUUUUAGGAUGUGUUCUUAGACAAGUUCUUCCCAUUUGAGAUAAGGGAAGAUAAGAUAGAAGAGUUCAUGAACCUGAGGCAGGGCUCUAUGAUAUUGAAGGAGUAUUGGCUCAAGUUUAAUCAGCUGUCUAAGUAUGCCCUUGAUCAGAUGACCGACUCUGGAACAAAUAUGAGUAAGUUUAUGAUCGGUGUGUCUGGGUUGGUGGUUAAGAAGUGUAGAACUGCUAUACUUAACAGGGACAUGAACCUUUCUAGAUUGGUGAUGCAUGAUCAGCAGAUUAAGGCAUAAAAGAUGAAAGAGAGAGAGAGAGUAAAUAAGAGGGCUAGAACAGGGCAGUUUGAUCAUGGUCAGAAUAGGUUUGGAUAAGAAAAUCAUUUGCAGUUUCAGAAUCAUUCAUCCAUGACUGCAGCUUCUUCAGCUAGUGCUCCUGCACCCAAAAAUAGGUAGGAACAGUGAGGUAACUCAUCUAUGCCCAGAUCUCAAAGUAGUGUGGGUGGUAGGCCCAGUUAUCCUCAGUGUUCUAAGUGUGGUAAAAAUCAUCCUGGCGAGUAUUUGGUUGGUCAGAAAGGUUAUUUUGGGUGUGGUAAGUUGGGCCACAACAUUCGAUAUUGUCUGCAUGCUAGACAGCGAAAUAGGGAAGAACACCCUCAAACUUAGGCUAAUAGUGCACUAGCUCCUCUAGGUCGCUCAGCCCCUUCUUAGGGUGCUUCAUCCAGUACUGGUAGCGGUUAGUACCAAAAUUGGUUCUAUGCUUUACCAUCGCUCCAGGAGCAGGAGGAUUCUCCAGAUGUUAUUAUCAGUAUGCUUCGUGUCUUUUAUUUUGAUGUUUAUGUGUUGUUAGACCCUAGGUCGAGUUUCUCUUAUGUGACCUCAUUAGUUACAGCAAAUUUUGAGGUAAGUUUCAAAAAAAUCCCUGAGCCUUUCCUGGUUUCUAAUCCAUUAGGUGAGUCAGUUGUUGCUAAGCGAGUCUAUAAAAAGUAUUCUACCACUGUUCUUCAUAGAGUCAUGUUAGCAGAGUUGAUAGAGUUAGACAUGGUUGAUUUUGAUCUUAUUAUUGGUAUGGAUUAGCUCCAUUCCUAUGAUGCUUCUAUAGAUUGUCGCACCUGAGUGGUGAAGUUUCAGUUUCCAGAUGAGCCAGUCUUUGAGUAGGAAGGUAAUUCAGUGUCUCCGAAGAGUCAUUUCAUAUCUUAUCUUAAAGCCAGAAAGUUGAUUUUCAAAGGUUGCAUCUAUCAUCUAGUUUGAGUUAAAGAUACUAAGUCUGAGACUCCAACAGUUCAGUCAGUCAAUAUAGUGAAUGACUUUCCUGAUAUUUUCCCAGAAGAUCUCCCAGGGGUGCCUCUCAAAAGGGAAAUAGAAUUCGGUAUUAACCUUUUUCCUGAUACUCAGCCUAUUUUUAUCCCUCCAUAUCGUAUGGCUCUCACAGAGCUUAAAGAUUUGAAAGAGCAACUCAAAGAUCUUUUAGAUAAGGGUUUCAUAAGGCCUAGUAUUUCUCCAUGGGGCGAUCCCCGUCCUAUUCUUGAAACAAAAGAUGUUUCUUUGUGAAUGUGCAUUGACCAUCAGCUAAAUAAGGUAACCUAUUUGACCUAUUUGACCAAUUGCAAGGUGCAAGUUAUUUCUCAAAGAUAGACCUUAGAUCCUGCUAUCAUUAGCUUAAAGUAAGGGAAUGUGAUAUUCCAAAGAUAGCUUUCAGAACUCGUUAUGGUCAUUUUGAGUUUCUAAUCAUGUCUUUUGGGCUAACUAACGCCCCAGCAGCUUUCAUGGACCUCAUGAAUCAAGUGUUCAAACAAUAUCUAGACAUGUUUAUAAUAGUAUUCAUAGAUGAUAUCCUUGUAUACUCCCGCAGUGAGGAUGACCAUGCAGACCACCUUAGAAUUGUCUUGCAAACUCUUAGAAAGCAUUAAUUGUUUGCCAAAUUCAGGAAGUGUGAAUUUUGGCUAAGGUUAGUCGCGUUUCUCAGUCAUAUUGUUUCCGCCGAUGGCAUUAGAGUUGAUCCUCAAAAGACAGAACCCGUAAAAAAUUAGCCUAGACCUAUCUCUCUAUCAGACAUUAGGAGUUUCCUGGGUUUAGCUAGCUAUUACCACCGUUUUAUUGAAGGUUUCUCAUUUAUUGCGUCUCCUAUCUAGAUUGAUCCAAAAGAAAGUUAUGUUCUUGUGGUUGGACUCCUACUGGGAGAGUUUUUAGGAGUUAAAGACUCGACUUACUUCAACCUCACUCUUAGCAUUACCUAAUGGUACAGAUGGCUUUAUUGUUUAUUGUGAUGCCUCUAGAGUUAGUUUGGGUUGUGUGUUAAUGCAGAGAGGUAAGGUCAUAGCCUUUGCCUCUUGACAGUUGAAGCUUCAUGAAAAAAAUUACCCAACCCAUAAUCUGGAAAUAGCUGCUAUGGUAUUUGCUUUGAAAAUCUGGAGACAUUAUCUAUAUGGUGUACAUGUUGAUGUGUUCACGGACCAAAAAAGUUUGUAGUAUGUGUUUACGCAGAGGGAUUUGAAUCUUUGUCAGAGAAGGUGGUUAGAGUUGUUGAAAGAUUAUGAUAUGAGUGUGUUGUAUCAUCCGAGAAAGGCUAAUAUAGUGGCAGACGCCCUUAGUAGAUUGUCUAUGGGUAAUGUUGCCCAUGUGGAGAAAGAUAAGAAAGAGUUAGCUUGAGAAGUUCAUCAUUUAGCUAGAUUGGGUGUUAGGUUGGUUGACUCAGCUAAAGGUAAUAUUUGGGUUCAAAGUAGUUUCGAAUCUUCCUUAGUUUUGAAUGUAAAGGAGAAAUAAGACAUUGAUUCUAGUUUGGUCAAACUGAAGGAAUUGAUUAAAUACCAAAAGGUAGAGGUUUUCUCCCAAGGGGGAGAUGGUGUGUUGAGAUACCAGAGUAUAUUAUGUGUGCCUUGUGUUGAUGAUUUGAGGCAGCGGAUUAUGGCGGAAGUGCAUAGUGUACGGUAUUCUAUUCAUCCAGGUGCUACCACGAAGUACCGCGACUUUUGAGAAAUCUAUUGGUGGAGUGGUAUGAAAAAAGAUAUAGCAGAAUUUGUAGCCAAGAGUGAAACUUGUAAAUAGGUUAAGGUGGAGAACCAAAGACCUAGUGGUAUGUUGCAAGAGUUUGGUAUCCCCACCUAGAAGUGGGAAGAGGUGAAUAUGGAUUUUGUGACUAGUUUACCCCAAUCGCGUCGUCAUCAUGACUCGAUUUGGGUUAUUGUAGACAGAUUGACUAAGUUAGCGCAUUUCUUGCCAGUUCACAUGUCCUAUAUAGUUGAAGAUUAUGCCAAGUUGUAUAUCCGAGAGUUAGUCAGAUUUCAUGGAGUUCCCUUGUCUAUCAUUUCAGAUAGGGGUACUCAGUUCACUUUCCAGUUUUGGAAAUCCUUUCAGAAGGGUCUUGGUUCCCAAGUCUACCUUAGCUCAGUUAUUCACCCUUAGACAGACGAUCAGGAAGAGAGGACCAUCCAAACUCUAGAAGAUAUGUUGAGGGCAUAUGCUCUUGAUUUCAAGGGUAGUUGGGAUAAGCAUUUUCCAUUGAUUGAGUUCACUUAUAAUAAUAGUUAUCAUGCUAGCAUUCGAAUGGCUUCGUUUAAGGCUCUUUAUAGGAUGAGAUGUAGAUCACCCAUAGGUUAGUUUGAAGUGGGUGAGGCCAUUUUUCUUGGGCCUGAUGCAGUGUUUGAGGCCAUGGAGAAAGUUAAGUUGAUUAGAGAAAGAUUAAAAAUAGCCCAGAGUCGUCAGAAAUCCUAUGUAGAUAUGAGAAGAAGGGACCUCAAGUUUGAGGUUGGUGAUUUUACGUAUCUGAAGAUUUCACCCAUGAAAGGGGUGAAGAGAUUUGGCAAGAAAAGAAAUCUUAGUCCCCGAUAUGUUGGCCCUUAUAGAAUUUUAAGUCGUGUUAGGGAAGUAGCUUAUGAGCUUGAGUUGCCCACAGACUUGUCAUCCGUUUAUCCUAUGUUCCACGUCUCCAUGCUUAAUAAGAGUAUCGGUGACUCUACCAUUGUAUUUCCUUUAGAAAGAUCCUAUAUUUAGAACAGCCUUUCGUACGAAGAGAUUCCAGUUGAGAUUUUAGAUUACCAAAUUCGUAGACUAAGGAACAAAGAAGUUUCCUUGGUCAAAGUUCUUUGGCAGAAUCAGUUGGUUGAGGGAGCCACUUGGGAAGCAGAAGAAGAUAUGCGAGCCAAGUACCCUCACUUUUUCUCUGCAGACUUAGAUUUAGCCGAAGGUAAUACUCUUCCUUAACUUAGUUUCUUUCUAAUCACAGAUUCAGCUAUAUAAUCGUCUUCAUGUAAGUUCAUGCACUCACAGAUUACUCAGAAGCUUAGAAUGAUUUAGAUUCAGUUGCUCAGUUCACUUCAGUUGUGCAUGCUAUCUUAUUUCUUAGAUUCCUCAGAAAUUUCAUCUUAACUAGUCACAUUCGAUAAUGAAUGUUUCAAAGGGGUAGAUAUUGUAAUACCCCGCGAUUUUUCCUAGCUUAAACUCGUCCUAAAAAUGACUAGGAGUAGCUUAUAGAAUGAGUAAUGCUUAUUUCGUAUGGAAUUCUUCAGAUUUGGACUUUUUAUGGCGUAUAAAUUUGAAUUAGCUUCCCAACGAUAUAAGAUUCACCUAAAUCUGAUAACCGGGUAAGAAGUUAUGGCUAUUUAAAGUUCAAGUCGCGAAACACCGUCAUUUAGACCCUUAGCACGCCGCGAAGUAGUGUCAAAUCUCAAUUGUCAUUUUCCAAUGGCCUUCCGCCAUAUUGGUGCAUCUUGGAGAGGGCCAAUUUUCCAGUUGUCAAUUUCCAAAGGUCCAGCGCAAUAAUGGCGCGUCACGCUAUGUGCCAAAAUGUCAUUCCAAAGGGGCACCGCGAUGGCUCCACAUCGCAGAGUCUACCCAGUUCCUAUUUGUCAAUUUUUAGUGAGCCACCGCGAUAGUGGCACAUCGCAGUGGCCACCCAGAUAGGGAAAAAAUACGUUUUCCAGUUCCAUUUAAGAAUUUAAAAGGGGUAUUUUGGUAAAUCCCCUAAUCCUCAAUCCAUCCAAAAACAUAAGAUUACUCAAAUAUCAAAGCACUUUAUGCCCUAUUUAUCAUUCUCCUCAAAGCAAAACCCUAGUUCAUAAUACUUCCUCUCUAAGAAACUCAGAAUUCCUCUGUUAAUUCUCCAAGAUAGUUCAAAUUUAAGGAUUCCCAAUACAAGAACACUAAGAAUUCAUCUCCAAAGCAUCAAUAGGAAUCCAAGAUUCAAGUCUUUCAUCAAAGAUCAUCAAUUAAGGUAUGUGGGGUUUGAACAAGGAUAAUUUUUUCAUUCUUGUGUCCAAAACUUUGUUUUAAUUUCAAACUUUCUGAAUUAUAUAUGAUUUUCCAUGAAUUUUAAGUUGGGGUUUAUGCCCAUUAUCAUUAUUUGCAAGAUUAUGAGAUUUUUCAUGAUUUAGAAGUUGAAUUACAUGAUUAUGUUUAUGUUUCCAUGUAUAUUGCUUAAAUUUCUAGAUUUUGAGUUGAUUUAUCAAUAAUCAUAAUAUCAAACAUGAACAUUUUGAUGAUUUAACAUAUGAUUGAUGCAUGGGUUAUUCAUUCCAAGAUUGAAUAUGGUUACUUCUAGAAAGAUGAUGCUUUAAGCAUCUUGUGAACAUAUUAUUCAGAUUUUUAGAAAAACUUUGAUCGUUGAUCAUCAGUUUAGCUAUGGAAUCCAUUUUGUAGAAUUUAGAUCAGCUUUAUUUAUGAUUUAAAAAGAUAAAUAUAUAUUUAGUUUUAUAUAAACCCUUAAGCUAGUUUUAAAAGUGGAUUUCCAACAGAAUGAGCAUAGCAAAUAAUAACUGAGUAGUAUUUAGCAUUGAGUGGGAAGUGUGGGUUUAGUGCAUCCUACUGCCACAGAACUACGUAGCCAACGUAGGUACAAAUUAUCAAAUUAUUUCCGCUUCUCUGCGGAUGACAGUUACAGAUGUGAUCACUUAGCUCAUGUUAUACUCCUUGGCAAGAGUAUGACACCUCUCCCUAAUGUGAGGUUUCUUCUUUAGAAGGAUGAAACGUUGGACUCCAUAUUAGCUCACAUGGUUUAUGUCGAUUAAGAGAAACUCCCUUCAGAUAAACUAAUUUCUUUAAAGCUCUAAGAUGAAGUAGUUUCCAGAUUUUAGAAACUAAGUGUAAAGGCUCACAAACUUAAUCAGAUAUUACUUUACUUAAGAUUUUAGUUACAGAAUUACAGCUUUUAGUUUUCAGACAUAAAAGGUGAGCCAUUUUCACUUAGCCUAUAUGAUUUGAGAACAAGAACAGAAUAUAGAUUUCAGAACUAAGUGUAAUGGCCCACAAGAUUUAGAUUACAUGUUUUAUUAUUCAUGAUUUGAAUUUAAAUUUUUAUAUUACUCUAGCUUAUGUGAGUCAUUUACAUUUAGCAUGCAUGAUGUUUUCUAUAAAUUGUAAUGUUAUUGCUUACUUAUUGAAUGCACCCCCAUAUACUCAGUACAUCAUCAAAGUACUGAUCCACAUAUACGUCUAUAUGUUAUAUUAUCUCAUAAUGUAAGUUCAGGUACUCAGUCUCAUCAGCGAGAGUAAUUUUUGAGCAUCUAAUCUACUUCCCUACAGUGGGUGAGUCCUCUUAGUUCGGGGACUUAGCUAUUCAAAUUUCCAAUUGCUAGUAAAUAUUUUUAUUAUUCUCUUCAGACAGUCUGAGUCACUUGGGACCUAUCCUAGUGACUCUCUAAAUUCAGUUAGUAGAGGCUUGUCGGACUACGAGAUUCAGUCUUAGAUUUCAAAUGUCGUAUUUAGAUCAUUCAGUAUUUAUUUUAUUAGAUUGAUGUGAUCAUCAUUUUCAGAUAUACUCAGACUUUUCAGAUGGUUUUCUGUAUUUGUUAGUACCAUAUAUUCAUUUUUUCCUAUUUUGAUCUUCAGAGUUAGUAGAAGGUAUCCAGGGUUAUCUUGGGACUACUUGUAGUUCGGAGCACUGUGUGGCAUCUCGGGAGCUAGAUUUUGAGGCAUUAUAGGAACCUUUUCAAAGUCCAUCAGAACUGGAAGUUUACAGAAGUUAAUUAGGUUUAGCUCAUACAAGGGAUAACAGUUCAGCUAAAAUUUGGAUAUUCUGGAAUGAUAAAUGGGAAUAAAUGGGUUUAACAGACUCAAUACAACAACUGACAAUGGAAUACAAGCUAAGGGGAAGAAAUGUCAGUUUCAAGAUCACAGUUGUGUAUGCUAGAUGUAGUAGCCUGGACAGACUGGAAUUAUGGGAAGAUUUGGAAGAUAUUGCAAUGAAUACUCAAGUUCCUUGGUUAGUUGGAGGUGAUUUUAACACUAUACUAGAUGAUUCAGAAAAACUAGGUGGGUUACCAGUGACACAACAGGAAAUAAGUGAUUUUUCUUAGUGUAUAGUUGCUUGUGCACUAAAUAAAUUGAAGUUUACAGGAAGAAUAUUUACAUAGUGGAAUGGCAGAAUUCAGGAGGAUUGCAUUUUUAAAAGAUUGGAUAGAGUUUUUGCUAAUAAUAUGCUUUUGGAGAUAAUACCAUACUGUGAAGUUCACUAUUUAAUCAGGCAGGGGUCAGAUCAUGCACCCCUUUAUGUUACCUAUAACACUGAUCAAGUUCAGGUGAAGAAGUCUUUUAGGUUCCUAAAUUCUUAUACCAAGCAUAAAGACUUUCAGAUGAUAGUGCAAGAUAGUUGGAAGGACAAUAUCAUGGAAUCCCCUUUUUAUUUAGUGCAUGAAAAAUUUGUGGUGUGGAUUAAAGAGAUUUAUGGUGACAUCUUUCAAAAAGUUGCAACUCUUGAGGAUAUGAUAAAGGAUAAGGAAGCUCAAUUCAAAAUCCAUCCAUCCCUUGAAAAUAGAGAGAAAUUGAGCAAGGCAGAGGCAAAUCUAAAAAGAAUGUUGAAGAUUGAGGAGGAGUUCUGGAAACAAAAGGCUGGGAUGAAAUGGUUUAAAGAUGGAGACAGGAACACUAAAUUUUUUCAUUCAUAUGUCAGAGGCAGUAGAAGGGAAAUACGAAUUGCAGAGAUACAAACAUAACAAGGGGAUGUUAUAACAACUCCACAUAAUAUUGGAGAGGAGGCAAUAAAUGUCUUCAAGGAGCAGUUUAUGGAAUUAUAGAAUUUUGUACAACAUGAGAUUCUCAAUUACAUCAACAAAACCAUUAUUGAUGAUUAGAAUAAAAGAAUGGAAAGGAUUCCAAACAAAGAGGAGAUUAAAUAGGUGGUUUUAUCUUUAAAUUGGGAGAGUGCAAGUGGACCAGAUGGUUUUUCAGGAAAAAUUUUCAGAGUUGCUGGAAUAUUAUUAAGAAAGAUAUCACUAAAUUGGUCAAAAUUUUCUAUAGUAGAAGUGAAUUACCCAGGUGUAGUACUCAUACCAAUUUAGUCUUAAUUCUAAAAAAGGAGAUAGUGAUACUUAUGGUGAUCUGAGACCUAUUAGUCUUUGUACUUUUGUUAACAAAAUAAUUUCUAAGGUAAUUCACUUGAGAAUUGUGAAAGUUCUGCCAAACAUAAUCUUUAAUAAUCAAUCUGGGUUUGUAAAGGGAAGAAGCAUCACUAAAAAUGUGCUACUUCCCAAGAAAUUAUUAGAGAUAUAAACAGAAGGAAUAAAUUUCAUAAUGUUGUGGUGAAAUUGGAUAUGAAAAAGGCUUAUGAUAGGGUCUCAUGUAAAUUUUUAGUGGUGGUUCUGAGGAGGUUUGGUUUCUCAAAAAGAGUGAUUGUUAUGGUAGUGAGGUUGGUUAGUAAUAAUUGGUAUUCGGAGCUUAUGAAUAGGCAAUCAUAUGGUUUCUUUCAAUCAUGAAAGGGUUUGAAGCAGGGUGAUCCAUUGUCACCAACUUUAUUUAUCAUAUCAACUGAAGUUCUAUCAAGAAGCUUAAAUGAACUCUUUAUUAAUUCGGAAUUCAAAGGGUAUAGUAUGCCAAAGUGGAGUCCUGAUAUUAAUCUUCUAGCUUAUACAGAUGACACUAUUCUAUUUUGCUCUAGACAUACUUACUCAAUUAAGAAGAUGAUGGGGGUUUUGAGAAGAUAUGAGGAAGUCUCGGGACAGAUGAUUAACCAUGAAAAAAGUUUGAUUUAUUUUCAUAGAAGAUUCCUAAUAGAGUCAGCAGCAAGAUAAGGAGGAUUACUGGAAUAAGACAAGGUAAAUUCCCUUUUACAUACUUAGGAUGUCCUAUUUUCUAUGGCAGAAAGAAUAAAGGACAUUUUGAAGAAUUGAUCAAGAAGGUAACUAAGAGACUUCAUGCUUGGCAGAAUAAAUAACUUUUUUAUGAGGGAAGAUACAACUUAAUUGAUCAUGUCUUACAAUCCAUUCCCAUCUACACUUUCAGCCAUGAAUCUACCAAUUAGUGUCAUCAAUCAGCUUCAUAAGAUUUUUGAAAAGUUUUUUUGGGGUAAUGCCACAGGAGCAAAGAAUAAAUAUUGGGUGAGUUGGGAGAAAAUAUGUCACCCAAGGAAUGAAGGAGGACAGGGAUUUAGAUCUUUGCAUGAUAUGUCCAAAGCUUUAUUUGCAAAACUUUGAUGGAUAUUAAGAACUUCAACAUCUUUACUUUGGUUUCAUUCAUGUGGAAUAAGUAUUGUAAAAGAUUACAUCCUUUAAUCACUAAAGGAUUUAGAGCCUCUUAUGUAUGGAGAAAAAUGAUUUUGGUGAGUGAAGAGGUGGAAACUAAUAUAUGGUGGCAAGUAAAGGCUGGCAACUUAAGCUUUUUGUAUGAUAAUUAGAAUAAACAAGGAGCUCUAUAUUAUGUAGAAGAUGAGAAUAUUCAAGAUGAGGAAAUUGAAAUUAGAAAUUUUGUCAAAAAUGGAUAUUGGGACAGACAGUUACUCUUAUUAGCUAUAUCUGAAAAAUGGUGGAUCUUAUUGUGUAAAUAGUAAAACCUCCAGUGAAAGGGUUUCAAAAUGAUACUUCCUAGUGGAUGGGAAAUACCAAUGGUCUUUUUACUAUCAAGUCUGCCUGGAACUGUAUCAGGAAAAGAAAAGAGAAAAGAAGAGAUUAUGAGUUCAUUAGGAAUAAAAAGUUUCCUUUUAAAUACAACUUCUUUCUUUCGAGGGUGUGGAUCAGAAGAAUUCCAACAGAUGAUAAUCUAAAGAGAAUGAAAAUUUAGUUGGUAUCAAGAUAUUGUGCUGUGACUCUAAAAAUGAGGAGACAAUGGACCAUGUUUUACUAACAGCCUCUGUAGUCAAUAGGCUUUAGAGGCAGUUUUGCUCAUUUUACAGGUAUACAUAUGGAGAACAUGCAACUAAAGCAAUCAAUUGUGUCAGGGUGGAAUAAGGAAUCCAAUCCAAAACUGACAAGGAUUUUCAAAGCAUUACCAGCCAUAAUUAUGUGGACAUUAUGGAGGAGAAGAAAUUGCAUAAAACAUGGAGGCUCUAUGUCGUUUACAAGGCUGGUAGAACAAGUACAGGAAGUGAUUAAGAAGAUGAUUAAUAGCUUAUUUCCUUGGAUUAAAAUAAAUUCACAGACAUGGCCAGAGGUAGUUGAAAUAUUAGGAGUUUACAAACCUAAGAUCCAUUAUCAUAAGGUAGUAUGGUCAAAGCCAGGAGUUGGAUAGGUUAAAUACAACAUAGAUGGAGCUAGCAAGGGCAAUUCGGGAUUGAGUUCUUAUGGCUUUUGUAUUACAGAUGACAAAGGUGACUUGAUUUAUGCUAGAGCUAAAGGUUUGGGGGUUUGUACUAACACCAUAGCUAAAGCUUUGUCUAUCAAGAAGGCUUUGGAAUACUGUCAUGAAGUAAACCUUAAGGAUUUUGGUAAUACCCCAAUUUUCUAAACCGAAAUGCUACACGGUGCUCAUGACCCCAAAGGACCACAAGCUAACCCAUGACUGAUAUCUGUACCUGUAUACUACAUAAAAUACUAAAAAAUACAUAAACAUGUACUAAACGGCCAUAAGGUUUAAAUCUAAAUAAACAUCAGAUAUGAACAAUGUCUAAAAGUGAUAUAACAAUACCAAAACAAAUCUGAAAUAACUGUCUGACAUGCUAUAGUCUUAAAGACUCUAAACUGUCUGAAUAAGGAGUUGAUGGAAUAUGUCCCCAACUAACUCCAUCUACUAAAAUAAUUAAGUACUGAAAGAAUGAACUAAUCAAAUACUAUUAUCCUCGAAUGAUGAGGACUUACUGCUAACUCUGUCUGCUGAAAUCUGAAAUACUAUUGAUGCUCUGGAGCUCGUUCUUCUAAACCUAUGGUAUAAGACACUAUAGCACAAAUGCUUCAGUACUUUGAAUGUACUGGUAUGCAAGUAAGGUAGGCUAAAUUCAAAGGGUUAUAUGAAUGAACAAUGCUGACUGAUAUGAACGUGAGAAUACAUACAUACAUAAGUGAAUGUAACUAAACUCGUGGUGAUACUGACUACGGAGUCUGAAUAUUGACAACAUGAGCUUACUGAUACUGAGAUACUGAUUGAUUGAUUUUACUGAUAUUAAUAUGUAAGUCACUUAUAAGUAGGCAACUAAUACUAUAUUGUUGAAUACUAAAGGACUGAAAUUAUAUUACUGAUACAUGAAUAACUAUUUCUGAUAGUUCUAAUUAUGAAGAACUGGCAUGGUUUACUGUAUCUGAUAGUCUAAUUAUAAAGAAUUAAUUUGAUUGAUUGUAUCUGACAGCUAUGAAUAUGAAGAAUUGAUAUGCUUGACCGUAUCUAAUAGUCCUAAAUGUGAAUACUGAUAAUAUGAGUUUUGAUAACUGAUAACAUUAGUGACUGUAUCUGACAGUCCUAAAUCUGAUGGAACUAACUGAGUUCCGUACUAUAUCUGAGUUAACUGUAUCUGACAGUCAUAAAAUUUGAAGGACUAUCUGAGUUCUUUUACUGAGACUGAGAAUGAAAAUGAAACUGAGACUGUGGGAAGUAGCCAUCUAACUGACAUGCCUUGAAUCUGAACUGGUGGGGUUCAACCUAUAACUCCAGCUGGAAGGGUAUCAAUACCAUGCCACGAGUAGAGACAACAUGUGAGUAAACCCUAUUCUGUUUAGGAGCUCUUUUCGUCUUCCCUUACUAUCAGGUAAACUCAAAUGAGAUGUAUUAUCCCUAUGUGUAGAGACAUCUCAACCUACGCUGGCUACGUAGUUCUGGAACUUAGGGAUUGCUUCUAGGGAUCUCAGUCCUAUCUAGCAGGUGAGUCCCCAUCCCUAGGCUCACUCGAUGCUGAAUCCUACUCCCAACUGAAGGACACUGAACUGAUUAGCUGAGCUGAACUGAUUAACUGAAUUAAAAUGAUUAGCUAAACUAAUGUUAGUGGGAUUAUUUAGUGGAGCUAAAUUGAGUUUACUAAGUUUCGUUGACUGACGGAAUGUACUGAUGUAUGAGGAUUAACUGAGAGUACUGUAGUUAUUGAGUUUUACUUGGAAUACUUCUGAAUUCUACUUUCUAUCUGAAUAAGGCUGAACUUUACUAGCUGAUGAGGUUACUGAGGUUCUAAACUGAAUACUUACUGAGACAUGAUAACUAGCUGAGAUUACUGAACUACUGAAACUACUGAGAUUUCUGAGUUUUCCUGAGUGACAUGACUAACUGAAUUCUAUGGAUCAUGGCUUGACUGAGAGUAUCGUGAUAACAUGACAUGGCUCUGGGCACACAGCUAUAUUUUUUGGGUAUGAGUACCCCCAGAACUCGAUGGAAGGAAACUAACAAACAUGAAUUUCUUUAAUGCAUGACCAACAUCAACAUUCCAUAAUAUCAUAACUUGGGAAAUUUCAUGAAGUACAUGGUUAUCAUACAUCUUUUACAUAAGUGGGAUUCUUGCAAGUAAGUAUAGCAUAAUCUCAUAAGACUAGUUCAUGAACAAUCCAACAACAUUUACAAGACACAAUAUCAACAUGAAAAUCAUUGGAGCAUAGGGGCAUAUCAUGAAUCCUUUACUUAGUCACAAUUUAGCUAUAUUGCAUGAUAUCUAGUUUCUUAGGCAUUUUAUCAAGCACCUUACAUGCACAAUUUUGGGCAUAGGUAUAUUUAUCAACAUAACAAUCUUAAUCCAUCUAAAAUUCAUGGGUACAACUAUCCUACUCAUAUGCUUCAUGAAAACAUAUCAAGAUACAACCUUGAACUAAAAUAAUAAUCAUCAACAUGAAUAUAGUCAUAACACAACAAGAAAAUCACAAUUUAUAAUUUAAAAUAUGAUUCUUGAGCUCUAUGGAUGAAAGGUAUCCAUGGAUGAACACUACGAAUACUUUAAAGCUUGAUCUUGAAAGAGAUCUAAUGUUUCUUGGAGGUUCCUGAAGAAAUCCUUAGGCUUGCUCUUGAUUUUUCUUGACUAGGGUUUAACCCCUUUUGGAGUGAAUGUUCUUGUUCUUGAGGAGAUGAUCUUGAGAGAAAACCCUAAUCUUGUGGUUGAGAGUGUAUGCAAGAAUUUUUGAGAUGUUUAACUGAAGAAAAAUAGGAGAAAGUUACGUCCCUUGAGGGUUUUAAGUCGUGGAAAGUGAAGAAAAAGAUCAAAAUACCCUUACGAAACCACUUCCUAAUUGCUGAAUUUAUCAGCUGACAACCAAGGUUGAUAAGCCGUCAAAUCCUUGAUAGCCCGUCAGCCCAGGUAGUCACCUGGGAGCUGAAAUUUUUGGAUUUCUGCCUAGGCCUGAAGACAUUCGUGAUAAGCCGUUAGGCUUGUGAUAAGUUAUAAUAAAAUGUCGUCACUCAGUUUUCGAGCCUGAUAUGCUGGAGUAAAAUGGGCAUAACUCUUUGCUAUGAUAUCGAAUUUAGGAAAAAUUGGUAUCGUUGGAAAGAUAAUUCAACUAUAUAUAUUUUAGUAGGUCAUGAGCACAACAAUUCGAAGUAUAAAGAGAUAUAUUCUCAUUUGAAGUUGACUAUAGCAAUAUCCUUCCCAAGAAUUCAAUCGGUAAGGAAUGUUUUGAUUCGUUUGAUAGUUGGGAGUUAUUUGAAGACUUAAUAUACAUCUAACUUGCUCAUAAAAUUAUGACAAAAUCAUGAUGUAAUAUACGUGAGCUUGAAACAUGGCACUAAUAUUGGUUUGGACUUUUCGGAGUAUUAUAAUUUUAUACUGGAAACAAACUCUUUAUGCCUUAAAAAUAUGAUUUCGAAGCAAUGGAAAAUUCCCUGGGAAGUUGCUGAAAUUAUGGAAAACAUCAAAAAUUUUGUUCAUGUCCUUAAUAUUACAAUUUCUCACAUUUUCAGGGAAGGGAACACAGUUGCUGACUCACUAGCAAAUGAGAUUAUUGAAUCACAAGGACAAAAGGACUAACAUGUUUUUCAACAACUUCCAACACAGAUAAGGAAAUAAUUAAACAUAGAUAAAUACCAAAUUCUACAACUUUGAAUCAAGACUCGUAGGAUAGUGCAACAAUGAAGAUAGAUAACAGUAGUUAUUUACCCCAUAAAACUUUAACAUCAUUCACAAGUCAUCAAGCAAGAAGUAAAGGAAAGAAACAACACAGAAGAGUAAGUUUUAAUGUAUGCCCGAAAGAAGGAAUGAGAUCUGUGUUAAGCAAAGUUAGAUGUACUACACUAGCUAUAAAUUCUACACCAAAAAGUGGGGAAGAUAUCCAGCAUCUUCAACCAACAUAUGGACACAUCUGGGUGAACUGGAGAGAAUCUGAUCGUACAUGGUCAAAACCACAUAAAGAUGAGUGCAAGAAAUUACAGAAAAAGCUAAAAAUGAAGACAAGUCAGAGAGAGAUUCAAGCACCUGAUGAGAGUGAGGUACAUAAGUAGAGCAGUAGCAAAAGUAGCAAUGGAUUCACUCGAAACAUCACCUAAAAGAGGAAGACAUGUAGCUGGAGUUCCAUCAGCAACAUUGUUGAAGACGGCGAUGAGCUUCAAAAAAAAGUACUUAGUACUUUUGUAUUAGCCUUUUAUCUAAUAGAAAAAUUAGGAAACCUUUUCAAUUUCCAAUUUUCGGACCCAAUCUUGGAUUGGACCAGGUCCUUUUUUGUGCUUUGGAUUUUUGUAAACUUGGCCAAUGGGCUUCUUAUUGAUAAAAUGGUCUAAAAGAUCAACAAAAAUUCAUCUAAAAAAAAACUAAUUCUGGUCGGGAACCACAUUUGUGAAUUCUCAAUGGUGCCUAAUCCCUUCCCUUUGGAAUAAUUUGAACCCUUAUCUGGAAUCUAAAAUAAUUUUGUAGACUAAAAUAAAGUCAGACUUGUUAAUAAAUAAAUAGGUUUCCUUAUUUUUCUUAAAAAUUAGGUGGCGAAUCUGUACAAAUUAAUUCUUUUUAGAGUCCAUAAUGUCGUGCUAGUUUUGAACUUAGGUAAAAAAUGGGUAUGACAGUUUGGCGACUUUGCUGGGGAUUGCAAUGUUCUAACCAUUACAGAUUUAGGUAAAUAUUUUUAAUUUUUCGACAUUAUUGUUUGUUUCUUUCUAAUUGACUUGAUUUAUCUUGUUUGUAUGGCAAAAAAUUGUUAUUUGUUUUAUAUAGCUUAUUUACUUAUUUAUUGCUUUAUAUAAACUGUCAUUCCGUUCAUAUUUUUUCCAUUUGGGAAAGCUGACACAAUCACACAUACAAGUGAGGUGUGUUUUUCGCACCCGUAAAUUUCUUUCAAAAUCCUAAAGUUUAGGAGAGUUGGUGUAUGUGCGGGGUGUUCAAAUCUUUUUCUGUGUGCCCAUGUAGCCUUCUCACUUGUGUAGUCUGCUCGACUCACUCUUAGUCGAACAUAGGAUAAAGUUAAAACAACAACUUUUAGGCACAUGCAUCAGUAGUCAACUUUAUGUUCUAAGGGUUGACAAUCCACGUGACACAUUAUUAUAGUCUUUGUACAUAUUUGAAGGAUUAUUGUAUCUGUACUUAUUCAUUUGUUCUAAAUUGUUUAUUCUUUUGUGGGAAGGCAUAACCUAAUCUUUGUUUUGCAUGGUUGAUCAGUUAAAAGAUACACCUUACCAACAUCGCCACUAGUUACGUAUGAGUUUGAACUACGUUUUGACCUGAUUCUUGUCCUGAAAAGAUACGUAGGCAACCCUGCAUUAGGGUUUGAUCUCUUCACUAUUUUAGAAUAAUUUCUCAGGUAUUCAAACUGGAGCAAUUUUCUGAAACAGUUCAAAGACGCUCUCCAAAAGCCUUCAAGAACGCAAUUUAAUAUCUCCUCAAAUCCAAAUCACAUUAACAUUAGUGCCAAUCCAACCUAUCUCCAGAUCUUCACCCGAUUUUGAUGUAAGAAUAUCUAGCUUUUUCUUUCGAACGUCGUAAACCAUUAAAUUUAUGACGUAUCAAUCCUCACUUUCAAAAGCAAGAGUUCAAUAUUUUUUCAGUUAUAAUAAUUCUGCCAACUGCGGUGAAAUAAGGCCAUAAUUUCUUCAAUAGAUCUUUUUUAGUUUUGUCAGCAUAUUAAAGUUGUGUUAAAGCUCUCCCCAUGCUUUACAUCCACUCUUUUGAUUAUUUGAUCAGAACAAUUUUGAUGCAAAAAGUAAUUCUUUUCUGAUCUUCUUUCACAUUAUUUUUAUGAAUAACCAUUAAUUUAUUUUACAAUCAUACAUUGUACAUAUAAAUUUGCAAAUUUGCCCGAACUACACAGAUCUGAUUCUUGUUUCACAACACAAGAUACGUAGGCAACCCUCAUUUGAGUUCGGUCCAAUUCUUUUUUAAAAAAUAAAAAAAUUGACUUGGUUAGUACCAAUACAGUUAGGAGUAUGCAUGAUGUCGCGCCUCAUUUUCCUCGUAGAAAGAGGUAUUCGACGUGACCACUCUUUUUGGGAUUAUUUUGAAGGUAGAGUGUGAAAAGUCACCACCUAACGAAUUAAGGUGCGUUAGGGCACCGGUUUAGACUACUACGAACCUAUUUUUAUUGUUUAGUCUUAGUUCACUAGAGUUUGGGUAAGGUUUAAAAUUACUUCGAAAGGAAGGAGUUAGGCACCUUUCGAGCUCCACAAAAAUGGUUCCCGGCCGAAUUCAUACUUUACGUGGGGAUUCUAUGUGAUCAAAUAAGGCUUCUUGUUUUAUUAUUAAUUUAAUGUUAACUAAGUGGUAAAGUAAUGAAUAAACAAGCACAAGUCAUUUUAUUCUUCCUAAUUAUUAAUUAUCUAAGCAAUAAAAAUCAGUGAAAUACGUAAAUAAGACAAACAAAGGGAGAGAGUGAUAUAAAUUAUAACAAAAAUUAUUAAGCAAGGGAAAAAAUUUAAACUACCCCAAAUAAAUAAAGAAAUAAGAAAAAUACACAGUAACUAACUUAUUUUGAUAGAGAACUAUAUUCAAAACUUGAAAAAUAAAGAGUUAUUGUUUCUUAAAAAAAAUGUUUAUUGCUUUAUAGAAACAACGCCACGAUACCAUUAAUCGCGCUCAUUCAACUUAGCAACAAUUUUAAUUAGAGGUUAGUUUUAAGUGAAAAUAAUAAAAUUAUAAUUUUAAAGACAAGUGAAAAAUAAACAAAAAAAACAUUUAUGUAUGUAUGCAUAAUCUCUGCUUUUUGAAACUUUUGGUACGUAGAGCUCCCAAAACUGUAACAAAUUAAUUUAGGAUAUGAAGAUCUGACCCCGUGAUUCUUUUUACUUUCCCGCUAACUAUAGGUUAGGAGAUAGUACAAAGAGUAAAAUGUCAUGUCUAUUUUAAAUUGUGAAAGUCAAAACCGCACAAUGACUUUGAUACAGAAAUAAAAGUCUUUUUUUUUGUUAAAUACGUAGAUACUGAAAAUUAUUUUACUAAGUAGAAAUUAAUGAAACAUACGAAAACAAAAAUAGGAAUGCUGAAAAUUAAUUAUAAUGUGCCAAAAAUAUUAUUUUAAAAUGCUGAAAAUUAAUUUUAAUAUGCAAAAAAUACUAUUUAAGGUGCUGAAAAUAUUAUUUAAAAUGCCAAAAAUGUUAUUUUGAAUGCUAUGAGUAUAAUUGUUGAAAGGGUGAUUUAAAAUGCUAAGAAUGUCAUUUAUAAAAUGUCCGCAAUUGUUAAACAUGCAAAAGUCAAUAAACAUGUUGUAAAUUAAGUUGCCAUAUUCAAAUGUGAAUUAACAAGGCAAGUAUUAAUUAAACUCCUGAAAACAAGAUUUCUAGGCGGAUCAACUAAUAAGUCGUAAAUUAGAUAAAUCCUAAAUUAGAUUUGCCUAAAUGACAAACAAGUCAAGUAACAAAUCCUAAAUUUAUUUUCCUAAGUGAUUCACAUGGUACGUAAAGCACAUAAACCCCCGCUUCCUAGCAGUUUCCAUAAUUUAUUAUUACACAAAUGUUUAUACAACAUAUUAGUUCAAAUUUAAAUCGCAAUAAAAGAGAAAUAGAAAGUAAAUUAAGGCGAGAUAUCCCUGAAGGUGGCAACAUUUUAGCACAACUUGACCAAAGCACCUGCUCGAACAUCACAAAAUACACAAACAAGUUGUACGGUGCACGAAUUCUCAAAUUGAUCGAAUAAAACAUGAUUCCAAUCACAAAAGACAUCAAAACAAAACAAUUCAAGCAGUCACAAAAGUGACAAUGUGUCAUCAUGAAAGGAGUUUAGGAAUGCGAAAAAUUAAAUAAGAAAACUAACCGGUUAGGUGAAGUAAUAUGAAAAUAAAAUCAGAAUAUUGCAAUAAAGAGAGCAACUACAGUUCGAGAUUGAACCAAGUGUUUUGGAAGCCGCGAGCAAAAAAAUUUUGUUCCUCUUAUCUUGUUUUUGUAUAGAGUGUAUGAGUAUGAUAAAAGCUAUAGAGUGUGAGUUGUCUCAAUAAUCAAAAAGGUUGUUGUUUAUAUAGUAAAAGAAUCAAGACAAAUAAAGAAAAAGGAAUAUCUUUUGUCAAUCAAUUAAGAAAAUAAUAAAAUCAGUCGAUCAAUCAAUGAAAUUUUCCCUAUAAAUAUCACACUUCAUAUUAACAGUCAAAAUAAAUAAAAGGAAGGAAAAAUAUCAAUCAAUUCAAAUUUACUGUCUAACAUGCUUACAAAUUAAGGCAAAUCAUUAAGAGUAUGUAAAUAACUACAAAAAAAAGGAGAAUCGUUAAUUUGGCAAAAUCUUUUUAGAAGUGUCAGAAUCAAUUUACAUAAAAUUAAUCAAUCUAAAAAUAGGAAAAAUAUUCAAUCAAUGGAAUUAAUUAUUCAAAUCACCAGAGAAGGAAAAAUAUAUUACCAAGCCAUUCAUAGUGAAACCAAAUAAUUUUAACAUUGGUGUAAAUAACAUCAGUUCAAUAUCAAUCACGCGUAUGAAUUUCAAGUAAACAACAGUAACAAUACUCAUCGGCAUACCCAAAAUUAUGAUACGUAAUAACGAGGAAUGAAUUCAAUAAGCCAUGAGCACCUUUUCGAUGCAAAAUUAGGUCUAAUAGUAAUCCAUAUGUUAAUUAAAGAAUGUAAGCAAAUACGAAAUUGGAUUAAUCAAAAAUCAAAAUCAAAUAUUACUAAUUUCAAAUUCAAUAAUCUAUCAAAGAAAAGAACGAGAAGAAGAUAACAAUGUUAGUUUGGGACACAAAAUUAAAUGGGGUACAAACUUGGACGAAUUCGCUAUGAAUCUGUCGUGUUUCGCCGAUGAUGAAUGGAAAUGGUGACGGCUGAGAAGCGGACCAAUAGUGGUCCUUUGGGCUGGCGGCUGUGUUGUUGUUGUUUUUUUGUCGGCGGUAUGGGUGGCUAGAGAAGCGGAGGCUGGGGCGUCUGACAGGGGCUGAAGUAGCGAUGGAAACUGAAAACUAGACAAUGUAUUUGUAAAAAAUGUGAGUGUGCAUAGUUACGAAUAAUUUAAUAAAAUUAUGUAAAAAUAUCGUAUUUGAGUUUUAAAAUUAUAAAAAUUAUGCUAAAAGAAAAUAAAAUAGUUUUUGUGAAUUUUUCUAAAUUAUGAAUGUGAUACGUCAAUAUGUAUUUAAUAUAAGAAUAACGUGUAAAAAUAUUAAUAAUCAAAAUUAAAUAAUUUUGAUAAGAUAGCAGCCUAAAAGAGCAUCGGGUGGUCAAAAUUGGGUAUCAACACAUGAGAAAGAACAAACUGGUAUGAUGUAAAGGAUUGAUUUCAUGGUAAACCAUAGAUUAUUUUGGUACCUUUUAUCACACCUGAGCAACACUUGAAAAAUUCUCUUGCAUACAUCUAACGCAAGAAUGAAGUCAACCUCGUUGUUUUAUGUGCAUUGUGUGGUGAGUUUAGUUUAAUUCAUUGCAUUGCAUCGUUGAUCUAAAACCUGUCCUAAAUAUCUGUUGAGACGACAUUCUGAGUUGCACUUGGUUUAGGAAAGGAUUGUAGGCCUUCUUUGAUCUGAUUGUGCCUUUUAUAGCCUACCAAAUGACAUUAAUCCCUAGCAUUCCCUCUUUUGAGCCUAAAACCUUUUCUUGGACAACCGCAUCUGAACCUAUACCUUUUUGAGUGCUUAUAUGCACUAUCCCUGUUUCGCCCUAUCUCCUUAAGCGCACUAAAUACGUGCAAAUUACGAACGAAGAUUCAAGUUUAAAGACACAAAAUGCAAAGAAUAUAUCAUCUCAGAUGAAAAAAUGAAAAAAAUGACUUCAAAUAAAACAAAAACCCCACAAAAAAAAAGAGAAUGAAAAAAACAUAUAGUUUCUUAGAGAGGAGAAACUCUAACACAAGAUUCAAAAGAAGCCGAAGCAAAUACAAAACAAGGGGCAACAUAGCACAACUAGGAAGAUCACGCGUUAAAGCACAACAAAUUUUGAAAACACAGAUAUAAUGCAACGCUUAUUGAGAAAUUAGUCACUUUCAUCUCAAAUUUAUCCUACCUGCCUGAUGCCCACAUUACAAGCUAAUAACAAGUCCUACAGGAUUCUAUUCCAAGCAUUCUCACAUUAGUGGAUACUUACAUGAAGGUCAAGUCUAUGGUAUCACAAUUGCAUACAUUGAUAUUCUUUCUGAGUAUGAGUGUAUUUCCCUAUAUGUCCCCAAAUUCAAAAAGAAAAAUUACUCAAAUAUGUGCGAAAUGGGACUUUUUUUCAGGAGAGGGCACUUGAAGCAUGAGGAUAGGCAUUGCUCGAAACAUUUUUUUGAAGCAAGACAAAAAGUCUUGUCGUUUCUUAGGCGUGUUUGAGGUACCAUUUGAAACUAUAGGAGUGACCCUGAAGUCAAUCUCGGUUAGCUGGAAAAGAGAUAAGGGAAUCCUUAUGUAUACUACUAAUUAUUGGUACUAAUUGAAGCCAAGACAUGAUUGUGUCUUCUUCAUCUUUCAGCAUUUUUUACCAAGAAAAUGCAAAAUUCUUUCUUUCUUUUUUUUUUCAAGAAGCCCACCUUCAAAUACGGCCAUUCUUUUUUUAAAUUUCAUUCAAGUUGCCCACUUUCACAUACAUGCAUUUUACUUUUUAUUAAAGGCGCCCAGUUUUGAAGUACGGGCAUUUGACUUUUUCUUUCAAGCAUAUACCUUUAAAUAUCGAUAUUUUAUUUUUCAGUCAAGCACCCAUUUUUGAGUAUUUUUAUAUUUUUUAUAGCCCCUCCAAUCGAGAGCCUAUUACAUUUGUUUUGUAGUCUAGAGCCUUUUACAUUCCAAUAGCCCUAUCAGUUGAGAGGCUAUUGAGGGCCUUAGUUUUCAAAGACAAUCGGAGAUGGAAAUCACCAUCAUUCUUCGUAACAAUCAGAGACGUCAUACAUUUUUUCAAGACUUUUUCUUUCUUUUCAGAUAAUAUUAACCAUAGAUCAUACACUAGGGCAAAUUUUGAGAACCACCUCAACAAUUUAUUCUAUUUUCUCGUAUCAAACUACAUUGACUUGAUUCUCGUAACACUCAAGAUGAGUAGGAUGCUCUAUGUAGAGUUCGGUCAGCACAAUCCAUAAUCAUUCUUUCUCCCCAUCAAGUACACAAUCUUGCAUCCCCCAAUAUCUCAGAAUUUGAUAGUGGGACAAUUUUGAAAGUAGCAUUAGAAAUAAGUGAACACUUUCCUUCCCAAAUAAUUCUUUGCUAAAUAUUCAUUUCGUGGCUCUGUCCAUCCUAAAAUAGGACAAAUUGGGUUGGUUUGCCCUCAAAAAGACAGUUAUGCAUGUUUUUCUUUAGUUAAAUACUUAUGUUUGCUUGCCGUUACUUGCAUGUAUCGCACUGUAUUUAUUUCAUUUACAUUACAUGUUAUCUUUGUCUUUACUUGCACGCACUACAAUGCAAUUAUUUUAUAGUUUAAGCACUAUAGUCUAUCUUUACCUUUACUUGCACGCAUCGAAAUGCAUUUAUUUUAUUAUUUUAAGCACUGCAUGUUAUCUUUGUCUUUAUUUCCAUACAUCGCAAUGCAUUUAUGUUAUCCUUUAAGCACUCGCAAUACAUUUAUUUUAUUAUUUAAGCACUGCAUAUCACCUUUGUGUUUACUGGCUCAUAUCACAAUGCAUUUUGUUAUUUAAGCAUUGCAUGUCUAGCAAAUAUCGCAAUGCAUUUAUUUCAUUAUUUAAGCACUACAUGUCAUCUUUGCCUUUACUGACGCAUAUCACAAUACAUUUAUUUUCUUGUUUAAGCACGACACGCAGAUAUUGUAAUGCAUUUAUUUUAUUAUUUAAGCACUACAUGUCAUUUUUGCCUUUACUGGCUCAUAUCGCAAUGCAUUUUGUUAUUUAGGCACUGCAUGCCUUGCAAAUAUCGCAAUGCAUUUAUUUUAUCAUUUAAGUACCACAUGUUAUUUUUGCAUUUAUCUGGCACAUAUUGUAAUGCAUUUAUUUCUAAUAUUUUAACACUGCACGCAUAUAUCGCAAUGCAUUUUAUCAUUUAGGCAUUGCACGCCUCACAAAUAUCUUAAUGCAUUUAUCUUAUUAUUUAAGCAUUGUAUGUCAUUUGUCUUUACUGGCACAUACCGCAAUGCAUUUAUUUAUCAUUUAAGCACUGCAUUUUAUCCUUGCUUUUACUUGCACACAUCGCAAUGCAUUUAUUUAUUUUAUCAUUUAAGCACUGUAUGUCAUCUUGGCAUUUACUUGCGCAUAGCAAUGCAUUUUUUUUUAUAAUUUAAGCACUGCAUGUCAUCUUUACGUUUACUUGCACAUCGCAAUGCAUUUAUUUUGUUAUUUAAGCACUGCAUGCUUUGUCUUAACCUACACAUAUUAAAAUGUAUUUAUUUUACCAUUUAAGCACCAAAUGUUAUAUGUGCAUGUACUAUUUUUUAAGCACUGCAUGCUAUUUUUUAAUUUUUUUUUAAAAGAAAAAAAUAAGAAGAAAAAAUCAAGCUUAAUUUUUCGUUUGAAUUUUAUUGAUCAUUACUUCUUAGUUUGAUGCAUUUGCAAGCAUAUAUUUUGAGGACAUUGAGUUCGUCCAUUCUAAAAUAGGACAUAUUGAGGUAGCAACUCUAAAUUAGAGUUCCCUCAAUUUUUUUAAUCAAAAAUAAUUUUUUGUCAAGAAAAAUUGGCUACACGUUAAUAUUUUCGUCUAAAGACUUCUAUAUUGUCUUCAAACGAAAAGGGGCAAACUGUUGACACCCAAUUUUGGCUCUUCAUACUUAAAUUUAGCACUUUUAGGCUUUAUGAUCGUUAAAGUACAUAAAAUAUAAUUUUUCACACUUUUUGUUUAUAAUUUUUUAGCAAAUUAACGAUAAUCAUCAUUUUUUAGAAUUUAUUAUCAUAUUUUAACUUUGCAUAAUUUAUUGAUAAUUAUCCUUAAUUUCGUAAAUUUUAGAAUUUUUAUUAAUUUAUUAUCAUUUUAAUAUUUUUGCAUAGUCAUUUGCAUAUGUACAUAGCAUAACACUACAAUUCUUUCUUACAUAUUAUAAUUUUAAAUGUUUAUAGCGUAAUAUAGUUUUUAGAUGAUUUUGUUAUAUUUGUUGUUUUUAUUUUUCUGUGAUUAUACAUCGACAUUCAUAUUUUUGUACAUUAUUUAAUACGAUCUGCAAAUGUAGCUGACUUAAUUAUUUUAAAUACACAGAGCAAUAAAUUAAUCAAAUCAAAAUCAUGUCAACUUUUUUUAAAGAUGACAAUUGACAUGACUAAUUAGAUCUUUUACCCUUUAGUCAAAAUACUACUACUAUUUAAUAGUUAAAAUGGAUAUAUUUUUUUGGUUAAUAAUGGACUCCACUUUUUAUUAUAAGUAAAAUGGGAGGGCUAAUUAUUUAAUACACACACUACACGCACAAACACACCAAAAAAAUAUCAAUCUCUCUCUCCUUUCUCUUCUCUCCCUUUUCUCUCAAAAUCAAACUGUCGCCCACCACCCCUACCACCGUCGGAGUCCGAUGAAACCUUUACCACCACGUCACCCUCUCUCCCUUCAUCUUCUCUUUUCUGUCGCAUCUUACUGGAUGUGACAACCGAUAAGCUGCCUCCGGCCACCACCAUUACUGUCGCCUCUUUUCCUUUCCCUUCCCCAUUUUCUUUUUCAUUGCUUCUUCGCCAAAAGUGAUGACCGGCAAAUCUCCCCAACGAGCAGCCACCACUAUGGCUAGUUUUCCUCACCCUUUUCUCGUGUUUCCAUCGCUGCCUCAUUGAAAUUGAUGGCCAGCAAGCUCCCAAAGCAUCACUACCGCCACUGCUUUACCAGACAUGGCCAGAUCUGGGCAAGAUUUCAUUUCUCCGGCGUGGCUUCGAUGAAUACCUUUAACGCAAUGCCACCAACAAUCUUUGUUGUCUCCGAUUUUGUUAUUUAUUUGGUUACUAUGCUUUAUUUUCUUAAAAUAGAUCUAUGCAUUUCUUGUGCUCUAACGAUUCUUGACUGAUUUUGGGUUGUCUUUCAAUAUUUUUGGUGGCCUUGAAUUUUCGAGCAUCCUCUUUGUUUUCUCUAGGUGAAACUGCUACAAGUUUGCUCAUUUUGGGUUGUUCUGUUAUUGUUUAGCCACUGUUUUGCUGCUUGUGGACUGAUUUUUCUCUCACUUUUGCUCUUUUACUGCAUUUUACAUUUUUAUUAAAUUGAUAAUGAACAAAUGUUAUAUUGGCCAAGAAAUUUUCUGUCGAUUUUUUAGGCCUUCACAAAUAAAAAGACAGAUAUUGCGUAUAUAAAUACAUAAUAAAAUAAAUAUUUCAGGUGAUGAUAAAAUUUUUAUAGCAACACAAAAGUUUUAUGAUUCGUAUCUUGGUAAGACGAUUUAGGACGGCUAAUAAAUUAAGCAACCACUUCGUAGCCAUAGUGUACCUAAAAUCUGAUCCGAGCCCACACUUUUACUAAAAAAAUUUAUUUUUUAUACAUAUAUGCACACACAUCUUCUCAUUUUUUUGAUAAUUAUUUAUUUGUUACUAAUAUUUUUAUUACAAGUGCUUAUACAGGUUAUUGAGAAUAUUUAUCGGAAAUGACAUGCAAAGAAGACUUUAAUUUUUGUGAUUCGUAUUUUUAUAUUAUUACAUUUGUAUAAAUAGCAAUUAUAGUGAAAAAUUUAUUUUUUGGGGUGUUAGGCGGGAAUGCUUUAACUUAUACUACAUUCAUCACGCGCUUAGGCAAAAUUUAGGCUGUUACUAUUUACUUGAAAGAAUUAAAUUAAUUUAGAUAUUUAAUCAAAUAAUUCCUACUUUUUUUUUACAUUAAACAUGGCUUAAUCUUUUUCUGUAAAAUAAAAUUUCGUUAUCUAAUCUUUUCAUUUUUUUCAUA
rnacentral:lncRNA from 1 species